rnacentral:lncRNA from 1 species
UGUUUUUUGUUUUUGUUUCUGUUUAGUAAUAAAUUUUGCGUCUACCUUCUGUUUAGAUGUGUUUUUAUGUUUUAGUUAGUGUUUGUGCCAAGUAGAACCUAUAGGAUAACCUAUGGUGAUAGUUAAUUUGAUUCUGCUGAAAAACAGAAACUUUGCACGCACGAAAUUAGUUUUGUUAAAUCACAGAAACGUGCUUUUGCGUUGAUUAGUUUUUCUGAUGAUCAAUAGAUAAAUUGCCCAGGACUUCCUAUUUUGGUAGGAUUUUUAGAGUUCCAGAAGUUUGCGUUAGUUACAGAUUGCUAUAGACUGUUCUGUUUUUGACAGAUUCUGUUUUUCGUCUAUUGUUUGCUUAUUUUGAUGCAUCUAUGGCUAGUAUUAAGUGGUAUGAACCAUAGAGAACUUGAAAUAUAGUAGGUUUAACACCAAUAUAAAUAAAUAAUGAGUUCAUUACAGUACCUUAUGUGGUGGUUUUGCUUUCUUUCACUAACGGAGUUAUGAGAUUUCCUGUUGAGUUUUGUGUUGUGAAGUUUUCAAGUUUUGGGUAAAGAUUUGAUGGACUGUGGAAUAAGGAGUGGCAAAAGCCUAAGCUUGGGGAUGCCCAUGGCACCCCAAGAUAUUCAAGAAUAGCCAAAAUCCUAAUCUUGUGGAUGCCCCCGGAAGGCAUCCCUCUUUCGUCUUCGUUCAUUGGUAACUUUACUUGGAGCUAUAUUUUUAUUCGCCACAUGAUAUGUGUUUUGCUUGGAGGGUCGUGUAUGAUAUUAGUAUUUGCUUCUCAGUUUUCCACAAUCAUCCUUGCUGUACACACCUUUUGGGAGAAGCCCACUUGAUUGAAAUUUAUUAGAAUACUUUAUGUGCUUCACUUAUAUCUUUUGAGCUAGAUCGGUUUUGCUCUAGUGCUUCACUUAUAUCUUUUAGAGCACAGCUAUGGCUUAAUUUUGUAGAAAUUGCUAGUCUCUCAUGCUUCACUUAUAUUAUUUUGUGAGUCUUUUAGAACAGCAUGGUAUUUUCUAUGGUUAUAAAAUUGGUCCUAGAAUGGUAGGCAUCCAAGUUGGGUAUAACAAAAACUAUCAUAGGAAGUGAAUUGGAUGCUAUGAUCAAUUUGAUACUUGAUAAUAGUUUUGAGAUAUGGAGGUAGUGAUAUUAAAGUCAUGCUAGUUGGGUGAUUAUGAAUUUAAAGAAUGCUUGUGUUGAAGUUAGCAAGUCCCGUAGCAUGCACAUAUGGUUAAAGUUGUGUAACAAAUUUGAAACGUGAAGUGUACUUGGAUUGUGCAUCCUUAUGAGUGGCGGUCGGGAUGAGCGAUGGUCUUUUCCUACCAAUCUAUCCCUCUAGGAGCCUGUGCGUAGUGCUUGGUUUUUGAUGACUUCUAAAUUUUUGCAAUAAGUAUAUGAGUUCUUUUGACUAAUGUUGAGUCCAUGGAUUAUACGCACUUUUACCUUUCCAUCACUGCUAGCCUCUUCGGUACCGUACAUUGCCCUUUCUCACCUUGAGAGUUGGUGCAAACUUCGUCGGUGCAUCCAAACCACGUGAUAAGAUACGCUCUAUCACACAUAAACCUCCUUAUAUCUUCCUCAAAACAUCCACCAUACCUACCUAUUAUGGCAUUUCCAUAGCCAUUCCGAGAUAUACUGCCAUGCAACUUUCCACCGUUUCGUUUAUCAUCAUGACACACAUUACUUUUGUCAUAUUGCCAUUGCAUGAUCAUGUAGUUGACAUCGUAUUUGUGGCAAAGCCACCAUGCAUAAUUUUUCAUACAAGUCACUCUUGAUUCAUUGCACCAUCCCGGUACACCGUCGGAGGCGUUCAUAUAGAGUCAUAUCUUGUUCUAGUUUUGAGUUGUAAUUCAUGUGUUGUAAAUCAGUAAAAGUGUGAUGAUCAUCAUUAUUAGAGCAUUGCCCGAAAAAAAGGAAAAAAAGGAAGGCCAAAAGAAAAAAAGAAAGGCCAAAGAAAAAAAGAAAAAAAAAGAAAAAGAAAGAAAAAAAUAAAAAGGGGCAAUGUUACUAUCUCCUUUUCCACACUUGUGCUUCAAAGUAGCACCAUGUCCUUCAUAUAGCGAGUCUCAUAUAUUGUGCUUCAAAGUAGCACCAUGUUCUUCAUAUAGCGAGUCUCAUAUGUUGUCACUUUCAUAUACUAGUGGGAAUUUUUCAUUAUAGAACUUGGCGUGUAUAUUCCUACGAUGGGCUUCCUCAAAAUGCCCUAGGUCUUCGUGAGCAAGCAAGUUGGAUGCACACCCACUAGUUUUCUUUUGUUGAGCUUUCAUUCAUUUAUAGCUCUAGUGCAUCCGUUGCAUGGCAAUCCCUACUCCUCAUGUUGACAACAAUUGAUGGGCAUCUCCAUAGCCCGUUGUUUAUCCUUGUCAAUAUGUGACUUUCUCCUUUUUUGUCUUCUCCACACAAUCCGCAUCAUCAUAUUCUAUUCCACCCAUAGUGCUAUAUCCAUGGCUCACGCUCAUGUAUUGCAUGAAAGUUGAAAAAGUUUGAGAUUAUUUAAGUACGAAACAAUUGCUUGGCUUGUCAUCGGGGGUGUAGAAUUUGGGAACAUUUUUGUGUGACGAAAAUGAAGCAUAGCCUAAUUAUAUGAUUUUGUAGGGAUGAACUUUCUUAGCCAUGUUAUUUUGAGAAGACAUGAUUGCUUUGAUUAGUAUGCUUGAAGUAUUACUAUUUCUUGUGUCAAUAUGAACUUUUAUUUUGAAUCAUUUGGAUCUGAACAUUCAUGCCACAAUAAAGAAAAUUACAUUGAGAAUUAUGCUAGGUAGCAUUCCACAUCAAAAUUUUUGUUUUUAUCAUUUACCUAUUCGAGGACGAGCAGGAAUUAAGCUUGGGGAUGCUUGAUAUGUCUCCAACGUAUCUAUAAUUUUUUAUUGUUCCAUGCUAUUAUAUUACCCCUUUUGGAUGUUUAUGGGCUUUAUUUUACACAUUUAUAUCAUUUUUGGGACUAACCUACUAACCGGAGGCCCAGCCCGUAUUGCUGUUUUUUGCCUAUUUCAGUAUUUCGAAGAAAAGGAAUAACAAACGGAGUCCAAAUGGAAUGAAACCUUCGGGAGCGUGAUUUUUGGAACGAACGUGAUCCAGAGGACUUGGAGUGCAAGCCAAGAAGCAGUCGAGGCAGCCACGAGGGUGGAGGGCAUGCCCCCCUGUCUCGUGGGCCCCUCGGGUGGCCACCGACCUACUUCUUACUCCUAUAUAUACCCACGUACCCCGAAAACAUCCAGGGAGCCAACGAAAAACAAUUCCCAUCUUGGAGCCUUCGCCGGCGCUCUACCGGAGGGGGAAUCGACCACGGAGGGCUUCUACAUCAACACGAUAGCCCCUCCGAUGUGUUGUGAGUAGUUUACCACAGACCUUCGGGUCCAUAGUUAUUAGCUAGAUGGCUUCUUCUCUCUUUUUAGAUCUCAAUACCAUGUUCUCCCCCUCUCUUGUGGAGAUCUAUUCGAUGUAACUAUUUUUGCGGUGUGUUUGUCGAGAUCCCAUGAAUUGUGGGUUUAUGAUCAAGUUUAUCUAUGAGAAAUAUUUGAAUCUCCCCUGAAUUCUUUUAUGUAUGAUUGAGUUAUCUUUGCAAGUCUCUUCGAAUUAUCAGUUUGGUUUGGCCUACUAGAUUGAUCUUUCUUGCAAUGGGAGAAGUGCUUAGCUUUGGGUUCAAUCUUGCGGUGUCCUUACCCAAUGAUAAUAGGGGUUGCAAGGCACGUAUCGUAUUGUUGCCAUCGAGGAUAAAAAGGUGGGGUUUAUAUCAUAUUGCAUGAGUUUAUCCCUCUACAUCAUGUCAUCUUUCUUAAUGCGUUACUUUGUUCUUGUGAACUUAAUACUCUAGAUGCAUGCUGGAUAGCGGUCGAUGUGUGGAGUAAUAGUAGUAGAUGCAGGUAGGAGUCGGUCUACUUGUCACAGACGUGAUGCCUAUAUACAUGAUCAUGCCUAGAUAAUCUCAUAAUUAUUCUCUUUUCUAUCAAUUGCUCGACAGUAAUUUGUUCAUCCACCGUAAUACUUAUGCUAUCUUGAGAGAAGCCACUAGUGAAACCUAUGGCCCCCGGGUCUAUCUUUGAUCAUAUAAGCUUUCAAUCUACUUUUAUUUGCAUCUUUACUUUUCCAAUCUAUAUUAUAAAAUACCAAAAUAUAUUUAUCUUAUCAUAUUAUCUCUAUCAGAUCUCACUUUCGCAAGUGGCCGUGAAGGGAUUGAAAACCCAUUUAUUGCGUUGGUUGCGAGUUCUUUGUUUGUUUGUGUAGGUGCGUGGGACUUCUGAGGAGCCUCCUACUGGAUUGAUACCUUGGUUCUCAAAAAUUGAGGGAAAUAUUUAUGCUACUAUUGCUGCAUCACCCUUUCCUCUUCAAGGAAAACCAACGCAAGCUCAAGACGUAGAACAGGAUCUUUGGAUAUGGCAUUCUUUCUUUGGCAUGGCAGGUUCUCACAAUGAUAUGAAUGUGCCGCAGCGUUCUCCAGUCUUCGCAAGGCUUGUAGAAGGCCACUCCCCACCUGUCAACUUUGAGAUCAACGACCACCAGUACAACAAGGGAUACUACCUAGCUGAUGGUAUAUAUCCUCAGUGGUCAACUUUUGUGAAGACAAUCUCGAACCCCCAAGGUGAGAAGAGAAAGAGAUUUGCCCAAAUGCAAGAGAGUGCUAGAAAGGAUGUGGAACGUGCUUUUGGUGUGCUUCAAUCCCGAUGGGGUAUCGUUCGAAACUCUGCAUUGACAUGGGAUUAAGGGAUGCUUUGGGAGGUGAUGACUGCUUGUGUGAUCAUGCACAAUAUGAUCGUUGAGGACGAGCGUGAUGACAUGAUCUUUGACCAAGGAUUUGAUUUUCAAGGUGAAAAUGUUGAACUCCUGCGCCAAGAACCGGCCACAUUUGAACAGUUUGCCCAAUUUCAUCGUGAAAUGCGUGAUUGGCACACUCAUUUGGAUCUUCAAAAUGACUUGGUUGAGCACGUGUGGACUCAGAUUGGCAACCAAUAGAUGUAUUGGUUCAUUAUGUUUAUUCAAGACAAUUUUGAUUUGGUUGUAAAACUAUUUUAUUAGAGACAAUUUAGAUUGGGUUGUAAAACUAUUUUUAUUUUUAGACAAUUAAUAUUUGGACGUGCAAACUUGUUUUGAACAUUGAAAUAUGAAUAUAUGGGCAUUUUUGGCCGUGACGGACAGGAUGGGGCCAAAGGAUGCGUCCAUGCGCAGGGCGCAUGGCCACCGCAUCCCAGGAUAGGCCCGGACACGACCUCAUUGCCCUACCCAAACGGACAAAAUCCUAGCAAAACGGACGUCCGUUUGGGGUCGUGCGCUGGAGUUGGCCUCGGGAGCCUUGCUGCCUUUUGCAUGUGCGUGGGACCUGGCGAGUUCAAUACAUGCCAAAAGAAAAGCAAAUACAUGACAUAUACAAUGCCAGCGCGCAUCCCCGUAGUGAUGCAGCAGCCGAGAUUCUAGCCUGCCUGCAGCGCGGUCACCAUUGGCAUUUUCCGUCAGUACGUGCCGCUUCACACAACCUUCUCUGCUUCCCAAUGUCGUUUUCUCCGCGUGCACUCCCCCUACCCCCUCGCCCGAGCAUCUGCUUCCCCAUUGGGAUAAACUCCACUUCCCGACACUCACCACAACAUUUGAAAAUGGAGAAAAAAUUGGGGAUGCAUUUGAGGUGACCUAACCUUGGUCCUUGCGAUCGAUGUUGAGCCUGCAUACAUUUCAAAGCAAGUUUGAACAAAUGGAAAAAAAUUCAUGCAAAUGGAUUUCAUUUAAACAUGACCAAAUUAAUUACAUUUUUGGCACAUUUCAACUAAACAAAAACACACAAGACAUUUUUAACCUGGUAUAAAUGAUCGCCGAACGUGGCGGAGUCCAUGUCCCACGUCUUGUCUUCGUUAUGUCCAGCAAGCUCAUCAGUCAUGAGCCUCGAGAAGUGAAGUGCGCGAGGGGAAGAGUAGGAGUGGUCUUCUUGGACCCAAUCCAUGGCAUCGUCCCAUGUGUUACUCUUCCUUGCAUAGUCCACCGCGUUGAUGGCGAUGGACGUGGACGGGCCGGCCUUGUGGUCGUGGCGUCCGGGCAUGACCCGCGCAGGAUGUGCGACCGACGCGGAGUUGGCGUCAUCUGUGAUUGCCGGCACCGCCUUUUCGGUCACCUUCGCAUCAACCUCUGCGAACAGGGUGUCCCUCUCCGACAGCGCCUGCAACUCUUCCGUCAUUACAAUGUCAUAGUGUGUCAGCACCUGCUCCAAGGUGCUAGCGAGGGCGAGGGCAUGUGCUCGUCUUCGUACACAUUGUCCAUCAUCUUGUCGGCGUUGUUGCCCUCUAUAGCAAGCUCGCCGACAAGCCAACCUCUAUCCGGCUGGAACAGUGGGCCUGCCAGCCGGAUGCAAUGUCGGCCAGCUCCUACUUCUGUUCGGUGGUGAGGCGGUCCCACAAUGCUUUGGAGCUCGAGGCCAUGGCGGACAUGAUAUAGGAAGGAGAUCGAGAGCAAAGGCAGUGGGGAUCGUGGCGGGCUUGGCCCUGCAUAAGUAGUAGGCGUCGGAGAGGCUAAGUGGCAGACUGUGUGAAUGUAGGAUGUACUAGAUCAUGCAGGCGCCUUUGCCGCGCCCGUCCUUGAACCCUCAUAGCUAGAGAAGCCUAACAUUAUAUGCAUCAAAGAAACCUCUGAAUUUUUCAAGAACAAACUGGAAAAAAGGGAAACCUACUACAGACCUUCUAAGAACAUGAAAUUUUCCACUAAAUAUCAGAAUUUAGCUAUCUAACAACCUAAUGGAACAAAAGAAUGGUAAAAGUAAUGCUCAUCAAUUGAUUAAUAACUCAAGUUUUCUUCUCAUGAUACAUGAUGUAACUAUUCUUGAAUCCUAAUAAAGUGGGGUGAUUACUGUAAACUAAAACUGAAGUUUUCUUCUCAUGAACAAUUGUGAACUCAAAAUUUGAAAAUAUACUUAGCAGUUUCUGGUGGUUUCAUAUACGGUGUAUGUAAGCGAUUAAACAUAGCUUUUACAAUGUUGUCAAUAGCCCAAAAGGGAAUCUUGCCUUAGCCGUGCAUUUGGCAUAUCCAACUCAUCCCUGCUAUCUUCUUUGACCGAUCUCGUUGAUUUUGCUUCCAUAGAAGAAUGAGGGAGUCCUGGACUAGGGGGUGUCCGGACAGCCGGACUAUCAUCAUCCGCCGGACUCCAAGACUACGAAGAUACAAGAUUGAAGACUCCAUCCCAUGUCCGGAUGGGACUUUCCUUGGCGUGGAAGGCAAGCUUGGCGAUACAGAUAUGUAGAUCUCCUACCAUUGUAACCGACUCUGUGUAACCCUAGCCUCCUCCGGUGUCUAUAUAAACCGGAGGGCUUUAGUCCGUAGGACACAACAUACAUUACAACAAUCAUACCAUAGGCUAGCUUUAGGGUUUAGCCUCCUUGAUCUCGUGGUAGAUCCACUCUUGUAAUACCCAUAUCAUCAAUAUUAAUCAAGCAGGACGUAGGGUUUUACCUCCAUUGAGAGGGCCCGAACCUGGGUAAAACAUCGUGUCCCUCGUCUCCUCUUACCAUCCGCCUAGACGCACAGUUCGGGACCCCCUACCCGAGAUCCGCCGGUUUUGACACCGACAUUGGUGCUUUCAUUGAGAGUUCCUCUAUGUCGUCACCAAUAGGCUUGAUGGCAUCUUCAACCAACGAUGUUGUCCAGGGUGGGACCUUUCUCCCCGGACAGAUCUUUGUAUUCGGCGGCUUCGCACUGCGGGCUAACUCCCUUGGCCAUCUGGAGCAGAUCGAAAGCUACGCCCCUGGCCAUCAGGUCAGAUUCGGAAGCCUAAACUUCACGGCCGGCACCCGCGGGGACUUGAUCUUCGACGGGCUCGAGCCAAAGCCAAGCGCGCCGCACUAUUACGAUGGGCAUGAUCUAGCUCUGCCGCCGAACAGUGCCUUGGUGGCCGCACACGAAUCCGCUUUGGCCUUUAGUCCGAAGCCAAUCGCCCAGAUCGAGGAUCGGUGGAUGGACACCACUUCGGGGGCUUCAACUUCCACGGUGAUGGAGCCGCAUGCUAAUCUUGUCCCUCGCGAAACUCGUGACUCCGAGGUGCCGGACUCCUUGCCGGACUCCGGACCUCCCCCGCCCCUACCAAUCGAAUCGGGUUGGGCACCGGUUAUGGAAUUCACCGCUGAGGACAUCUUCCAAUAUUCGCCCUUCGGCGACAUUCUAAAUUCGCUAAAGCAUCUCUCGUUGUCGGGAGAGUCUUGGCCGGACUAUGGCCAGGAUGGUUGGGAUACGGACGACGAAGAAAUUCAGAGCCCACCCACCGCCCACUUUGUAGCCACUGUCGACGAUCUAACCGACAUACUAGACUACGACUCCGAAGACAUCGAUGCUAUGGACGACGAUGCCGGAGACGAACAAGAACCAGCGCCUACAGGGCACUAGAAGACCACCUGGUCAUAUGACAUAUACAUGGUGGACACCCCAAAAGACGGGGACGGCGAAGAAACAGCGGAGGCGGAUUCCUUAAAGAAACAGCCCAAGCGCCGGCGUCAGCGGUGCUGCUCUAAAUCCCGCGUUAGCAAGAAUGGAGAUUCCGGCACGGGAAAUAACAGUACCCCAGAGAGUGUCGAAGAUAACCCCCUCCAGCAAGACUCAGCGCAGGAGGACGCAGAAGUAAGCCCUCACGAGAGGGCGACAGACGAAGAGGCUGAGGAUUAUAACUACAUGCCUCCCUCCGAAGACGAGGCAAGCCUCAACGACGAUGAAUUCGUCGUGCCCGAGGAUCCCGUCGAACAAGAGCGUUUUAAACGCAGGCUUAUCGCCACGGCAAAUAGCCUAAAGAAAAACCAGCAGCAGCUUCAAGCUGAUCAGGACCUGCUGGCCGAUUGAUGGACCGAGAUCCUCGCGGCCGAAGAGUAUAAACUCGAACGCCCCUCCAAAAGUUACCCAAGACGCAAGCUGCUUCCCCGACUAGAGGAGGAAGCAUACAUACCUCCAUCACCAGCGCACGAUACGGCUGACCGACCACCACGUGGUCGUGACAGAGAGGCAUCUAAGCCCCCAACCAAGACCGUACCCCGGCAUCGCUCCAAAAGUACGAAGCCAAGAGGGAACGCGCCGGACUUGCGAGAUAUAUUGGAGGACAAAGCAAGGCAAUCCAGAUCCAUCUACGGAUCACGUGGGCGCCCCACGACCCGUGACGAAUACCGUCGCACCGGAUACAAUAACCCCGGCUGGGCCGAACACAGCAGACAACGCUCUCUCGAGCUGCGUCGUGAUGUUGCUCAAUACAGAGGCGCCGCACACCCGCUAUGCUUCACUGAUGAAGUAAUGGAUCAUCAAAUCCCUGAAGGGUUUAAACCCGUAAACAUUGAAUCCUACGAUGGCACAACAGACCCCGCGGUUUGGAUCGAAGAUUAUCUUUUCCACAUCCAUAUGGCUCGCGGCGACGAUCUCCAUGCCAUCAAGUAUCUCCCACUCAAGCUUAAAGGACCAUCUCGGCAUUGGCUCAACAGCCUGCCCGCAGAGUCAAUUGGGUGUUGGGAAGACUUGGAAGCCGCAUUCCUCGACAACUUCCAGGGCACGUAUGUGCAACCACCAGACGCCGAUGACCUAAGCCACAUCAUUCAGCAGCCAGACGAAUCGGCCAGACAAUUCUAGACACGGUUCUUGACAAAGAAAAACCAAAUCGUCGACUGUCCGGAUGCAGAGGCCCUAGCAGCCUUCAAACAUAACAUCCGCGACGAAUGGCUUGCCCGGCACCUGGGACAGGAAAAGCCGAAAUCCAUGGCAGCCCUCACAUCAUUAAUGACCCGCUUUUGCGCGGGAGAGGACAGCUGGCUAGCUCGCAGCAACAAUCUCCGUAAAAAUUCUGGCAGUCCAGAUACCAAGGACAAUAACGGCAGGUCACGUCGAAACAAAAACAAACGCCGCAUCAACGGCGACGAUAAGGAGGAUACGGCAGUCAAUGCCGGAUUCCGAGGCUCUAAACCCGGUCAAUGGAAGAAGCCAUUCAAAAGAACAACUCCGGGUCCGUCCAAUUUGGACCGAAUACUCGACCGCUUAUGCAGAUACAUGGCACCCCUGAAAAGCCACCUAAUCACACCAAUAGAGAUUGCUGGGUGUUCAAGCAGGCAGGUAAGUUAAUUGCCGAAAACAAUGACAAGGGGCUAAAUAGUGAUGACGAGGAAGAUACCCGACCGCCAAACAAUAGAGGACAGAAGGGUUUCCCCCCACAAGUGCGGACGGUGAACAUGAUUUACGCAACCCAUAUACCCAAGAGGGAGAGGAAGCGCGCACUCAGGGACGUCUAUGCGAUGGAGCCAGUCGCCCCAAAGUUCAAUCCAUGGUCCUCUUUGUUGGAAAUAUGCCCUAGAGGCAAUAAUAAAUUGAUUAUUAUUAUAUUUCCUUGUUCAUGAUAAUCGUUUAUUAUCCAUGCUAGAAUUGUAUUGAUAGGAAACUCAGAUACAUGUGUGGAUACAUAGACAACACCAUGUCCCUAGUAAGCCUCUAGUUGACUAGCUCGUUAAUCAAUAGAUGGUUACGGUUUCCUGACCAUGGACAUUGGAUGUCGUUGAUAACGGGAUCACAUCAUUAGGAGAAUGAUGUGAUGGACAAGACCCAAUCCUAAGCCUAGCACAAGAUCAUGUAGUUCGUAUGCUAAAGCUUUUCUAAUGUCAAGUAUCAUUUCCUUAGACCAUGAGGUUGUGCAACUCCCGGAUACCGUAGGAGUGCUUUGGGUGUGCCAAACGUCACAACGUAACUGGGUGGCUAUAAAGGUACACUACGGGUAUCUCUGAAAGUGUCUGUUGGGUUGGCACGAAUCGAGACUGGGAUUUUGUCACUCCGUGUAAACGGAGAGGUAUCUCUGGGCCCACUCGGUAGGACAUCAUCAUAAUGUGCACAAUGUGACCAAGGGGUUGAUCACGGGAUGAUGUGUUACGGAACGAGUAAAGAGACUUGCCGGUAACGAGAUUGAACAAGGUAUCGGUAUACCGACGAUCGAAUCUCGGGCAAGUAUCAUACCGCUAGACAAAGGGAAUUGUAUACGGGAUCGAUUGAGUCCUUGACAUCGUGGUUCAUCCGAUGAGAUCAUCGUGGAACAUGUGGGAGCCAACAUGGGUAUCCAGAUCCCGCUGUUGGUUAUUGACCGGAGAACAUCUCGGUCAUGACUACAUGUCUCCCGAACCCGUAGGGUCUACACACUUAAGGUUCGAUGACGCUAGGGUUAUAAAGGAAGCUUGUAUGUGGUUACCGAAUGUUGUUCGGAGUCCCGGAUGAGAUCCCGGACGUCACGAGGAGUUCCAGAAUGGUCCGGAGGUAAAGAUUUAUAUAUAGGAAGUCCUGUUUCGGCCAUCGGGACAAGUUUCGGGGUCAUCGGUAUUGUACCGGGACCACCGGAAGGGUCCCGGGGGCCCACCGGGUGGGGCCACCUGCCCCGGGGGCCACAUGGGCUGUAGGGGGUGCGCCUUGGCCUACAUGGGCCAAGGGCACCAGCCCCUAGAGGCCCAUGCGCCAAGAUAAAGGAAAAAGGGAAGAGUCCUCAAGGGGGAAGGCACCUCCGAGGUGCCUUGGGGAGGAUGGACUCCUCCCCAUCCUUAGCCGCACCCCUUCCUUGGAGGAGGGGGCAAGGCUGCGCCCUUCCCCUCUCCCUUGGCCCUAUAUAUAGUGGGGAAAAGGAGGAGCAAUCAUACCCAAGGCCUUUGGUUGCCUCCCUCUCCCUCCCGUGACACAUCUCCUCUCCCGUAGGUGCUCGGCGAAGCCCUGCAGGAUUGCCACGCUCCUCCAUCAUCACCACGCCGUUGUGCUGCUGCUGGAUGGAGUCUUCCUCAACCUCUCCCUCUCCCCUUGCUGGAUCAAGGCGUGGGAGACGUCGUCGGGCUGUACGUGUGUUGAACGCGGAGGUGCUGUCCGUUCGGCACUAGAUCAUCGGUGAUCUGAAUCACGACGAGUACGACUCCAUCAACCCCGUUCACUUGAACGCUUCCGCUUAGCGAUCUACAAGGGUGUGUAGAUGCACUCUCCUUCUACUCGUUGCUGGUCUCUCCAUAGAUAGAUCUUGGUGUUGCGUAGGAAAAUUUUUGAAUUUCUGCUACGUUCCCCAACAGUGGCAUCAUGAGCUAGGUCUAUUGCGUAGAUUCUUUGCACGAGUAGAACACAAAGUAGUUGUGGGCGUCGAUAUUGUUCAAUAUGCUUGCCGUUACUAGUCUUAUCUUGACUCGGUGGCAUCGUGGGAUGAAGCGGCCCGGACCAACCUUACACGUACGCUUACGUGAGACCGGUUCCACCGACAAACAUGCACUAGUUGCAUAAGGUGGCUGGCGGGUGUCUGUCUCUCCCACUUUAGUCGGAUCGGAUUCGAUGAAAAGGGUCCUUAUGAAGGGUAAAUAGCAAUUGGCAUAUCACGUUGUGGUUCAUGCGUAGGUAAGAAACGUUCUUGCUAGAAACCCAUAGCAGCCACGUAAAACAUGCAAACAACAAUUAGAGGACGUCUAACUUGUUUUUGCAGGGUAUGCUAUGUGAUGUGAUAUGGCCAAAAAGGAUGUGAUGAAUGAUAUAUGUGAUGUAUGAGAUUGAUCAUGUUCUUGUAAUAGGAAUCACGACUUGCAUGUCGAUGAGUAUGACAACCGGCAGGAGCCAUAGGAGUUGUCUUUAUUUAUUUGUGACCUGCGUGUCAACUUAAACGUCAUGUAAUUACUUUACUUUAUUGCUAAACGUUAGCCAUAGUAGUAGAAGUAGUAGUUGGCGAGGCAACUUCAUGAAGACACGAUGAUGGAGAUCAUGAUGAUGGAGAUCAUGGUGUCAUGCCGGUGACGAUGAUGAUCAUGGAGCCCCGAAGAUGGAGAUAAAAAAGGAGCAAAGUGAUGAUGGCCAUAUCAUGUCACUAUUUGAUUGCAUGUGAUGUUUAUCAUGUUUAUACAUCUUAUUUGCUUAGAACGACGGUAGUAAAUAAGAUGAUCCCUUACAACAAUUUCAAGAAGUGUUCUCCCCUAACUGUGCACCGUUGCGACAGUUCGCUGUUUCAAAACAUCACGUGAUGAUCGGGUGUUUUAUUCAGACGUUCAAAUACAACGGGUGUUGACGAGCCUAGCAUGUACAGACAUGGCCUCGGAACACAUGCAAAACACUUAGGGUUAACUUGACGAGCCUAGCAUGUACAGACAUGGCCUCGGAACACGGAGACCGAAAGGUCGAACAUGAGUCGUAUAGAAGAUACGAUCAACAUGAAGAUGUUCACCGAUGAUGACUAGUCCGUCUCACGUGAUGAUCGGACACGGCCUAGUUUGACUCGGAUCAUGUAAUCACUUAGAUGACUAGAGGGAUGUCUAUCUGAGUGGGAGUUCAUAAGAUGAACUUAAUUAUCCUGAACAUAGUCAAAAGACCUUUUGCAAAUUAUGUCGUAGCUCACGCUAUAGUUCUACUGUUUAGAUAUGCUCCUAGAGAAAAAUUAGUUGAAAGUUGAUAGUAGCAAUUAUGCGGACUAGGUCCGUAAACUGAGGAUUGUCCUCAUUGCUUCAUAGAAAGCUUAUGUCCUUAAUGCACCGCUCAGUGUGCUGAACCCCAAACGUCGUCUGUGGAUGUUGCGAACAUCGGACAUACACGUUUUGAUAACUACGUGAUAGUUCAGUUAAACGGUUUAGAGUUGAGGCACCAAAGACGUUUUGAAACAUUGCGAAACAUAUGAGAUGUUUUGAGGGCUGAAAUUGGGAUUUCAGGCUCGUGCCCAUGUCAAGAGGUAUAAGACCUCCGAUGACUUUUUAACCUGCAAACUAAGGAGAAAAGCUCAAUUGUUGAGCUUGUGCUCGGAUUGUCUGAGUACAACAAUCAUUUGAAUCGAGUGGGAGUUGAUCUUCCAGAUAAGACAGUGAUGGUUCUCCAAAGUCAUUGCCACCAAGCUGUUAGAGCUUCGUGAUGAACUAUAACAUAUCAGGGAUAGAUAUGAUGAUCCUUGAGGUAUUCGCGAUAUUUGACACCGCGAAAGUAGAAAUCAAGAAGGAGCAUCAAUUGUUGAUGGUUGGUGAAACCACUAGUUUCAAGAAGGGCAAGGGCAAGAAGGGAUACUUCAUGAAACGGCAAAUCAGCUGCUGCUCUAGUGAAGAAACCCAAGGUAAAACCCAAACCCGAGACUAAGUGCUUCUGUAAUAAGGGGAACAACCACUAGAGCAGAAUUACCCUAGAUACUUGGUAGAUAAGAAGGCUGGCAAGGUCGAUAGAAGUAUAUUGGAUAUACAUUAUGUUAAUGUGUACUUUACUAGUACUCCUAGUAGCACCAGGGUAUUAGAUACCGGUUCGGUUGCUAAGUGUUAGUAACUCGAAACAAAAGGCUACGGAAUAAACGGAGACUAGCUAAAGGUGAGCUGACGAUAUGUGUUAGAAGUUUUUCCAAGCUUGAUAUGAUCAAGCAUCGCACGCUCCCUCUACCAAAGAGAUUGGUGUUAAACCUAAAUAAUUGUUAUUUGGUGUUUGCGUUGAGCAUAGACAUGAUUGGAUUACGUCUAUCACAAUACGGUUAUUCAUUUAAGGAGAAUAAUGGUUGCUCUGUUUAUUUGAAUAAUACCUUCAAUGGUCUUACACCUAAAAUGAAUGGUUUAUUAAAUCUCGAUCGUAGUGAUACACAUGUUCAUGCCAAAAGAUAGUAAUGAUAGUACCACCUACUUGUGGCACUGCCACGUAAGUCAUGUCGGUAUAAAACGCAUGAAGAAGCUCCAUAUUGAUGGAUCUUUGGGCUCACUCAUUUUUGAAAAGUUUGAGACAUGCGAACCAUGUCUAUUGGUGUAUGUGCAUGAAGAAACUCCAUGCAAAUGGACCGUUUUGACUCACUUGAUUUUGAAUCACUUGAGACAUGCAAAUCAUACCACAUGGGCAAGAUGACUGAAAGCCUCGGUUUCAGUAAAAUGGAACCAGAAAGCAACUUGUUGGAAGUAACACAUUUUGAUGUGUGCAGUCCAAUGAGUGCUGAGGCAUGCAGUGAAUAUCGUUAUGUUCUUACUUCACAGAUGAUUCGAGUAGAUGUUGAGUAUAUUUACUUGAUGAAUCACGAGUCUGAAUUAUUGAAAGGUUCAAGUAAUUUCAGUGUGAAGUUGAAAGAUCGUCGUGACAAGAGGAUAAAAGAUCUAUGAUAUGAUCAUAGAGAUGAAUAUCUGAAUCACGAGUUUGGCACAGAAUUAAGACAUUGUGGAAAUUGUUUCACAACUGAUACAGCCUGGAACACCAUAGUGUGAUGGUGUGUCCGAACAUCAUAACUACACCCUAUUGGAUAUGAUGCAUACCAUGAUGUCUCUUAUCGAACUGCCACGAUAGUUUGUGGGUUAGGCAUUAAAGACAACCACAUUCACUUUAAAUAGGGCACCACGUAAUUCCGAUAAGAUGACACCGUAUGAACUAUGGUUUAGAGAAACCUAAGCUGUCAUUUCUUAAAAGUUUGGGGCUGCGACGCUUAUGUGAAAAAGUUUCAGGUUGAUAAGCUCGAACCCAAAGCGGAUAAAAUGCAUCUUCAUAGGAAACCCAAAACAGUUGGGUAUACCUCCUAAUUCAGAUCCGAAAGCAAUAUGGAUUGUUUCUAGAAUCGGGUCCUUUCUCGAGGAAAAGUUUCUCUCGAAAGAAUUGAGUGGGAGGAUGGUGGAGACUUGAUGAGGUUAUUGAACCGUCUCUUCAACUAGUGUGUGACAGGGCACAGGGAGUUGUUCCUGUGGCACCUACACCAAUUGAAGUGGAAGCUUAUGAUAUUGAUCAUGAAACUUCGGAUCAAGUCACUCCCAAACCUCGUAGGAUGACAAGGAUGCGUACUACUUCAGAGUGGUACGUAAUCCUGUAUUAAAGGUCAUGUUGCUAGACAACAAUGAACCUACGAGCUAUGGAGAAGCGAUGGUGGGCCCGGAUUCCGAUAAAUGGCUCAAGGCCAUAAAACCCGAGAGAGGAUCCAUGUAUGAAAACAAAGUGUAGACUUUGGAAGAACUACUUGAUGGUCGUAAGGCUGUUAGGUACAUAUGGAUUUUGAAAGGAAGACAGACAAUGAUGGUAAGUGUCACCAUUGAGAAAGCUCGACUUGUCGUUAAGAUGUUUUUCGACAAGUUCAAGGAGUUGACUACGAUGAGACUUUCUCACUCGUAGCGAUGCUAAGAGUCUGUUGGAAUUAUAUUAGCAAUUACUGCAUUAUUUAUGAAAUCUUGCAGAUAGGAUGUCAAAACAUUGUUUCCUCGACGAUUCUUGAGGAAAGGUUGUAUGUGAUACAACCGGAAGGUUUUGUCUAUCCUGAAAUAUGCUAAUAAGUAUGCAAAGCUCCAGCAAUCCUUCUGAGGACUGGAGUGAGCAUCUCGGAGUUGGAAUGUAUGCUUUGAUGAUGAUCAAAGAUUUUGAGUGUAUACAAAGUUUAUGAGAAACUUGUAUUUCCAAAGAAGUGAGUGGGAGCACUAUAGAAUUUCUGAUGAGUAUAUGUUGUUGACAUAUUAAUGAUCAGAAAUGACGUAGAAUUUCUAGAAAGCAUAUAGGGUUAUUGGAAGGUGUUUUUCAAUAGAAAACCUGGAUUAAGCUACUUGAACAUUGAGCAUCGAGAUCUAUAAGGAUAGAUCAAAAUGCUUAAUAAUACUUUCAAAAUGAGCAUAUACCUUGACAUGAUCUUGAAGGUGUUCAAGAUGGAUCAGUCAAAGAAGGAGUUCUUGCCUGAGUUGUAAGGUAUGAAGUUAAGACUUAAAGCUCGACCAUGGCAGAAUAGAGAGAAAGGAACGAAGGUCGUCCCCUAUGCUUAAGACAUAGGCUCUACAAUAUGCUAUGCUGUGUACCGCACCUGAAGUGUGCUUUACCAUGAGUCAGUCAAGGGGUACAAGAGUGAUCCAAGAAUGGAUCACAGGACAGCAGUCAAAGUUAUCCUUAGUAACUAGUGGACUAAGGAAUUUUCUCGAUUAUGGAGGUGGUAAAAGAGUUCGUCGUAAAGGGUUACGUCGAUGCAAGCUUAACACCUAUCCAGAUAGCUCUGAGUAGAGAUACUGGAUACGUAUGAUGGAGCAACAAUUUAGAAUAGCUCCAAGUAGAACAGUUAUUUGGAAUAGCUCCAAAUAGAACGUGGUAGCUGCAUCUAGGAGAUGACAUAGAGAUUUGUAAAGCACACACGGAUCUGAAAGGUUCAGACCCGUUGACUAUAACCUCUCUCAAAAGCAUAACAUGAUCAAACCCAGAACUCAUCGAGUGUUAAUCACAUGGUAAAUGUGAACUAGAUUAUUGACUCUAGUAAACUCUUUGGGUGUUAGUCACAUGGGGAUGUGACCUUGAGUGUUAAUCACAUAUCGAUGUGAACUAGAUUAUUGACUCUAGUGCAAGUGGGAGACUGUUGGAAAUAUGCCCUAGAGGCAAUAAUAAAUUGAUUAUUAUUAUAUUUCCUUGUUCAUGAUAAUCGUUUAUUAUCCAUGCUAGAAUUGUAUUGAUAGGAAACUCAGAUACAUGUGUGGAUACAUAGACAACACCAUGUCCCUAGUAAGCCUCUAGUUGACUAGCUCGUUAAUCAAUAGAUGGUUACGGUUUCCUGACCAUGGACAUUGGAUGUCGUUGAUAACGGGAUCACAUCAUUAGGAGAAUGAUGUGAUGGACAAGACCCAAUCCUAAGCCUAGCACAAGAUCAUGUAGUUCGUAUGCUAAAGCUUUUCUAAUGUCAAGUAUCAUUUCCUUAGACCAUGAGGUUGUGCAACUCCCGGAUACCGUAGGAGUGCUUUGGGUGUGCCAAACAUCACAACGUAACUGGGUGGCUAUAAAGGUACACUACGGGUAUCUCUGAAAGUGUCUGUUGGGUUGGCACGAAUCGAGACUGGGAUUUUGUCACUCCGUGUAAACGGAGAGGUAUCUCUGGGCCCACUCGGUAGGACAUCAUCAUAAUGUGCACAAUGUGACCAAGGGGUUGAUCACGGGAUGAUGUGUUACGGAACGAGUAAAGAGACUUGCCGGUAACGAGAUUGAACAAGGUAUCGGUAUACCGACGAUCGAAUCUCGGGCAAGUAUCAUACCGCUAGACAAAGGGAAUUGUAUACGGGAUCGAUUGAGUCCUUGACAUCGUGGUUCAUCCGAUGAGAUCAUCGUGGAACAUGUGGGAGCCAACAUGGGUAUCCAGAUCCCGCUGUUGGUUAUUGACCGGAGAACAUCUCGGUCAUGACUACAUGUCUCCCGAACCCGUAGGGUCUACACACUUAAGGUUCGAUGACGCUAGGGUUAUAAAGGAAGCUUGUAUGUGGUUACCGAAUGUUGUUCGGAGUCCCGGAUGAGAUCCCGGACGUCACGAGGAGUUCCGGAAUGGUCCGGAGGUAAAGAUUUAUAUAUAGGAAGUCCUGUUUCGGCCAUCGGGACAAGUUUCGGGGUCAUCGGUAUUGUACCGGGACCACCGGAAGGGUCCCAGGGGCCCACCGGGUGGGGCCACCUGCCCCGGGGGCCACAUGGGCUGUAGGGGGUGCGCCUUGGCCUACAUGGGCCAAGGGCACCAGCCCCUAGAGGCCCAUGCGCCAAGAUAAAGGAAAAAGGGAAGAGUCCUCAAGGGGGAAGGCACCUCCGAGGUGCCUUGGGGAGGAUGGACUCCUCCCCAUCCUUAGCCGCACCCCUUCCUUGGAGGAGGGGGCAAGGCUGCGCCCUUCCCCUCUCCCUUGGCCCUAUAUAUAGUGGGGAAAAGGAGGAGCAAUCAUACCCAAGGCCUUUGGUUGCCUCCCUCUCCCUCCCGUGACACAUCUCCUCUCCCGUAGGUGCUCGGCGAAGCCCUGCAGGAUUGCCACGCUCCUCCAUCAUCACCACGCCAUUGUGCUGCUGCUGGAUGGAGUCUUCCUCAACCUCUCCCUCUCCCCUUGCUGGAUCAAGGCGUGGGAGACGUCGUCGGGCUGUACGUGUGUUGAACGCGGAGGUGCUAUCCGUUCGGCACUAGAUCAUCGGUGAUCUGAAUCACGACGAGUACGACUCCAUCAACCCCGUUCACUUGAACGCUUCCGCUUAGCGAUCUACAAGGGUAUGUAGAUGCACUCUCCUUCUACUCGUUGCUGGUCUCUCCAUAGAUAGAUCUUGGUGUUGCGUAGGAAAAUUUUUGAAUUUCUGCUACGUUCCCCAACACUCUUGUCCGAUCACUUUCGAUCGAAGAGACCAUCCGACCAGCAUACGCCAUGGCGGAUUCGCCGCAUUGGUUCUAGACCCAAUCGUCGAUGGAUUUCACCUCACGAGAGUCCUGAUGGACGGCGGUAGUAUCCUGAACCUGCUUUAUCAGGAUACAGUGCACAAGAUGGGCAUAGACCCCUCAAGGAUUAAACCUACAAAGACAACCUUUAAAGGUGUCAUACCAGGUGUGGAAGCCAAUUGUACGGGCUCCGUCACAUUGGAAGUGGUCUUCGGAUCCCCGGAUAAUUUCCGGAGCGAAGAGUUAAUCUUCGAUAUAGUCCCAUUUCGCAGCGGCUAUCACGCUCUGCUUGGACGAACCGCGUUUGCAAAGUUCAACGCGGUGCCGCAUUACGCAUACCUAAAGCUCAAGAUGCUAGGCCCUCGCAGAGUCAUCACGGUCAACGGAAACACAGAACGCUCCCUCCGAACGGAGGAGCACACAACGGCUCUCGCGGCAGAAGUACAGUGCAGCCUCCUAAGGCAAUUCUCGAGUCCGGCCGUUAAACGGCCGGAUACAGCAAAACGCGCCCGAAGCAACACCAGCCAAGACCACCUGGCGCGAUCAGAGCACGCGUAGCAAUGCGGCCCCAACCCCCGCCCUUGCAUGAUUGCAAGAACAACCCUCCGCGUACAUCAUUACGCUUUGGAGAUACCAUGGGCGCACGGGAAGGGGCACGGUCACAACGGACCCAGAGUGCGGCUCGACCACACCAGGGGCUCGCAAGUAUGCCCCCCCUUUUUUAUUAUCAUUUCCCUUCUUUUUGAAUACAGGACUCCGCUAACAAGAGGCCCUGUCCGGAGGUGAACCUGCCGAACUCAUGAUGCAACAGCCAAGGAAGAAAGAAGGCUGCGACGAACACUCAGGUGGUCUCAAUUACGAGCAUUAAAUUCGAUUAUAUACACCAAGUCCGCAGCUCACCCCUGGAGGGAGACACGUUUAACCAGUCCAAAUCCCUUGCGUACCGCACUAUUUGUAUCAGUUCGCAUUCAUAGCAGAUUUCCUUUAAUAAAAAAUGCAACACUUUUUGACGGNNNNNNNNNNNNNNNNNNNNNNNNNNNNNNNNNNNNNNNNNNNNNNNNNNNNNNNNNNNNNNNNNNNNNNNNNNNNNNNNNNNNNNNNNNNNNNNNNNNNNNNNNNNNNNNNNNNNNNNNNNNNNNNNNNNNNNNNNNNNNNNNNNNNNNNNNNNNNNNNNNNNNNNNNNNNNNNNNNNNNNNNNNNNNNNNNNNNNNNNNNNNNNNNNNNNNNNNNNNNNNNNNNNNNNNNNNNNNNNNNNNNNNNNNNNNNNNNNNNNNNNNNNNNNNNNNNNNNNNNNNNNNNNNNNNNNNNNNNNNNNNNNNNNNNNNNNNNNNNNNNNNNNNNNNNNNNNNNNNNNNNNNNNNNNNNNNNNNNNNNNNNNNNNNNNNNNNNNNNNNNNGACAUCUUGCACCCGUAUGUUUUGGUACAGCCGAAUACACCAGGGGCUCAUGUUCCCCACAUUAUGGUGUGAUAAGUCCAAACACUUUCACAAGUGCGGCACCCCGAACUUAUAGCAUUAUAUGAAUCAGCUCUGAAUCAUGUCUUGGGUCAAUAGUUGGGUUUGCCCGGCUCCCACGUUUUGGUGCCUUACGUUCCGUUCUGUCGGCUAAGGUGGCACUGGGAGAACCACUGCGAUUGCGCCCCGGUUGAGCCGGGCGAGCGCCUCAGUGGAGAAAGCUAAAACUGACCGGCAUGAUAAGGCGAGAGACUGGUCGCUGUUCGAGAGGUUUUUUUGGGUUCUUAAAGACUCACGCCGCUUCGAGCGAAGUUCCUGACAAUGUCCGACGAAGGCGUGGAUAGCGCCCCGGAUUCGAUCUUCCGAAUACCAGGGGCUUCGCCGAAAUUUAAAAUUAUAGAAUUCUAUGGCUAAGUGAGAGUGUUCAAGCAUCAUAAGUCUGGUUGCCUUGUUCGCUGUGUUGAGCGCCUCCCUAGAUGUACCCAAAAAUGGGAACAAGAGUGCUCAAGUUUAUGCCGAACACCCCAGCACUCGCGGCUCGGGGGCUGAAGCCAACGACUUGCCAUCUCUCAGAUUCUAUAAAUGGCCGCACAGAAGGUAAUAUUUUAAAUUAACCAAGCAUUGCUAAAGGCGCAUAUGAACGAAGUUUUCAGCGCACAGGACAAUACAUAGCGAGUUUACUCAAAGAUUACAUUUCUGGGGCACUCAUCCGCAAUAUCGCGGGCUCCCUUCAGGACAGUUUUAUAAUACAUUUCGGGCGUACGAUACUCCUUGCCCGGUGGCGGUGGGUCCGUGAGAAGCUUCUCCGCAUCCAACCUGCCCCAAUGCACCUUCGUGCGGGCAAGGGCCCGACGAGCACCUUCAAUACAGGCGGAGCGCUUGAUGACCUCCACCCAGGGGCACGCAUCCACCAGCCGCCGCACGAGGCCAAAGUAGCUGCCAGGCAUGGCCUGUCCAGGCCAUAGCCGGAUUAUAAGGCCCUUCAUGGCCUCCUCAGCUACCCUGUGGAGUUCGACCAGCUGUUUCAGCUGGUCGCUGGGGGGCACCGGAUGGCCGGCCUCAGCAUACUGAGACCAGAAGACCUUCUCCGUCGAGCUCCCCUCCUUGCCACGAUAGAAUGCGGCGGCAUCGGACGCACUACGUGGCAGAUCUGCAAACGCCCCUGGAGAACUCCGAAUGCGGGUAAGUGUCAGGUAGUUCACAUUAACAUGCUUGCUUUGCAUGAAAAAUGCCUUACCCGCCGCUAUCUUCUUUACAUCUUCAACCUCCUGAAGGGCCUUACGGGCCUCGGCCUUGGCGGACUUGGCACUUUCGAGAGCCGAGGCAAGCUCGGACUCUUGAGUCUUGGAGUCACGCUCCAAACUCUCAUGCUUCUCCAUGAGAGCCUGGAGCUCUUGCCGUACUUCCGCCACCAGGGCCUCCUGCUUUUCUCGCUCUGCCCGUUCCGCGGCUGCACUGCGUUCGGCCGCGGACACAGCCUCCUUCAGGGCUGCCACCUCAUUCGUGGCCCCUGCAAUACCCAUAUUGUCCUUGUUAAUUUUAUUGCAACCAAAAUCCUUUUCUGUAAGGUAAUUAUUCAAAGCGGUGUUACUCACCUUCUUUGUCCUCGAGCUGCUUCUUGGCAUGGCCGAGCUCUUUCUAGGACCGCUCGAGAUCCUGUUUUAAGGCACCGACCUCCGCAGUCAGUGCGGCAGAGGUCAGCAGCGCAGCCUGCAAACCCAUAUCGACAUAUUUUUUAGCAACCCUGCGUAUAUCUUUUAAGAUCCUCAGUCCGGCUUUUUUUUUGAACACCGAACUGAGCACCAGGGGCUACUGUCUAUGUGGUAUUACAUUACAUAAUUAUAACUUCUUACCUCAAAGCCUGUUAGAAGGCUGCUGCAGGCUUUGGUCAGCCCGCUCUUGGCGAGCUGAACCUUCUGAAUCACCGCACUCAUAAUAGUGCGGUGUUCUUCCUCGAUGGAAGCGCCUUUGAGCGCCUCCAGCAAGUUGUCCGGCGCCUCCGGUUGGACGAAGGCCGCCGGCGUCACGGUCUUGCCCUUCUUUCGAAGGGGCCGCCUGCUGGACUCCGGAACCAUUGCAGGUUCCGAGGUAGAGUCUGGCGCAAAGUCCGGGAGGCUGCCUUNNNNNNNNNNNNNNNNNNNNNNNNNNNNNNNNNNNNNNNNNNNNNNNNNNNNNNNNNNNNNNNNNNNNNNNNNNNNNNNNNNNNNNNNNNNNNNNNNNNNNNNNNNNNNNNNNNNNNNNNNNNNNNNNNNNNNNNNNNNNNNNNNNNNNNNNNNNNNNNNNNNAUCCACAUCUGACGGGGCCAACGACCCGCUCGAUGAAGCGGGGAGAUCAUCAUCAGCCGGACUGCGGAUAGUAUGCGGCAUUAGAAAGGCACUAUGUGGCACGAAAGAAAUUUCAUAUUAUACAGGGAUCUGAAUACUUACGAUCUCGCUGGAGGCCUUGCCCUUAAAGGCCACUCUUCCUCGUCGACGAUGGUGUCGGCGAAACUGUCUGGGGGGAUAGUUCUCCCCCUCUUGGACCCUUCGGCCUCCCCUAUUGGGGAAGCCUUCCUCUUCUUCUCCCCCUCCUCCGGAAAAGAAUCUUCUUCCUCCUCCUUGUCUUCGGGAGAGGAGUCCGCCUCGUCGUCGGACACCUGGAAACGGGUACUCUUCCGAGUACCCGUGGCCACCUUCUUGGCCUUCUUCUCCGGCACCACGUGCGGUGCCAGAACCAGCAACCCCGCUAGACGGGCGUCCACUGGGUCUUCUGGCAUGGGGGGCGGGUAGAUGAGCUGCUCGGCCUUCUUCAUCCAUUCCUGUCAAAGGAGAAGGAAGAUUGAAAACCCCUUUUAGAAUUAAUCUAUUUACCACAAGUGUCCCGUAAAGGGGUUGAAUCACUUACCUCGUCAGCUGGAUGCUGGGAGCGAAAUCCGCGAUCUUCCGUCGCGGAUGCAGGGGCUUCGGCACCCUUAAACAGCACCCUCCAGGCGCCUUCAUACGUUGUGUCGAAGAGUCCGCUUAACGCCUGGUGCUAUUCCGGAUUGAACUCCCAUAGAUUGAAUGCCCGUUCUUGGCAUGGGAGAAUCCGGCGGAUGAGCAUGACCUGGACCACCUCGACGAGCCGGAGCUUAUUGUUCACCAGCUUCUGGAUACAGGUUUGCAGUCCCGUCAGCUCCUUCGGAUUGCCCCACAACAAGCCCUUCUCUUUCCAGGAGGUGAGCUGCGUGGGGAUGCCAGAUCUAAAUUCGGGGGCUGCCGCCCAUGUGGGCUCGCGCGGCUCAGUGAUGUAGAACCACCCUGAUUGCCACCCCUUAACGAAGUCCACGAAGGCCCCUUCGAGCCAAAGAACGUUGGGCAUCUUGCCCAACAUGGCGCCUCCGCAUUCUGCUUGCGUGCCCAUCACAACCUUCGGCUUGACGUUGAAGGUCUUGAGCCACAGGUCGAAGUGGGGCCGAAUGCAGAGGAAGGCCUCACACACAACGAUAAACGCCGAGAUGUUGAGGAUGAAGUUCGGUGCCAGAUCGUGAAAAUCCAGGCCGUAGUAGAACAUGAGCCCCCGGACAAAAGGGUGAAGAGGAAAACCCAGUCCGUGGAGGAAGUGGGGGAGGAAAACGACCCUCUCAUGGGGCCUUGGGGUAGGGAUGAGCUGCCCCUCGUCGGGCAGCCGAUGCGCGAUGUCGCCGGAAAGGUAUCAGGCGCUGCGCAGCUUGGUGAUGUGCUCCUCCUUGAUGGUGGAUGCCAACCAUUUGCCUCCCGCUCCGGACAUAUUCGGAGAAGGUCGAGGCGAGAUGCGCAAGCUUGGGCGAUGGAGCUUGAGUGCGCGGAGAUGGAUAAGCAAAGGAGGAAGAAGGCGUAGGUGAAAGGGUGAAUCCUUAUCCCUUAUAUAUAGGCGGACGAAUACUAUGUGUCCCCCACUGGCCUGGUAAAACUCGCUUAUCUCCUAAGCGCCACCAUCAAUGGCGCGGUUGGGUUACCCACGUCCGUAUUGAUGAGAAUCCCGGAAUAAGGGGAACACGAUCUCUGCUUCGACAAGACGUGCCAAGGAAACCGCUUCGCUAGACGUGCUGAGGUGGUAUAAUAAAAAAUGAUUCAAAUAAAGGCUUGGAAGCGGUGUGAUGUCAUGACGCAUAAAACGUCAGCAGAUUGGAUUUACGUGCUUUAUUCUCUCUACGGUGGAAUGUGGAAUUUAUUUUGCAGAGCCGGACACUAUCCUGGUGUUCAUGAUCUUCUCUGGAUUAUUCAAGGGAGGAACCCGCCUUGCAAUGCCGAACAUUAUGCGCGCCGGACUUAUCGUCAUUGAAGCCUGGUUCAGGGGCUACUGAGGGAGUCCUGGACUAGGGGGUGUCCGGACAGCCGGACUAUCAUCAUCCGCCGGACUCCAAGACUACGAAGAUACAAGAUUGAAGACUCUGUCCCGUGUCCGGAUGGGACUUUCCUUGGCGUGGAAGGCAAGCUUGGCGAUACGGAUAUAUAGAUCUCCUACCAUUGUAACCAACUCUGUGUAACCCUAGCCUCCUCCGGUGUCUAUAUAAACCGGAGGGCUUUAGUCCGUAGGACACAACAUACAUUACAACAAUCAUACCAUAGGCUAGCUUUAGGGUUUAGCCUCCUUGAUCUCGUGGUAGAUCCACUCUUGUAAUACCCAUAUCAUCAAUAUUAAUCAAGCAGGACGUAGGGUUUUACCUCCAUCGAGAGGGCCCGAACCUGGGUAAAACAUCGUGUCCCUCGUCUCCUGUUACCAUCCGCCUAGACGCACAGUUCGGGACCCCCUACCCGAGAUCCGCCGGUUUUGACACCGACCAUGACCAUAUGAUUGAAAAUAAUCAAUAUUAUAUAGCAUAAAUUAAACAUUUAGUUCAACAAAAAAAGAUGUUGAGUUCGAGUUGUGAGGGUUCGCUCUAGCCUAUAAGGUUGCCAGAAAACGGAGGUUCGGGAGGAGAAUGUCCAAUGCGCGGUACAGCUGCAAGGCAUUGACGCGGAUGCAAGAGGAGGACAACCUGCCAUGGAUGCCUACGGCGCGGCGGCCGCCGCAGCUUCCAUGGAGGAACGCAGCCUUAAAAACAGUACGAAAUCAAAAAAAUAGUAAAUAAGGGACUGCAAUGGAAGAGUAUAGGACAGUUGGGAGGCAGACACGCAGUAGAAGCUCGCCCACGCCGGCGGCGCAUCAUCACGGAGGAAGGAGGAGAAGAGGUGUUCUGGAAAGAUUGCACGUGAACUGGACGACCUAUCUUGUUGGCGAGUAGGAAGACUGGGCUUGUUAGCGAGUAGGAAAACCUGGGCCUUCAACAACCCACUUACGGAGGGAAAUGGAAGGUCGUUCUAUGGAGCAGCGGCCCACGAGACGGUGACUGGAUCGCGUGGGUACAACCUGGGACGAUUGAGCUGAUCUACAUCGUAGGUUUGAGAAAUCCGACGGCUAAAACGCUUAAAAUGUUGUGGAGGCUCGUAGGUGGCUCUGCUAUAUUGUUUAGUAAUGAGUGAAUUUCUAGGCGGCUGUGCUUCUUUAAUGCGGGCAGGCGGACGGACGGGCAGCUGGUUUGAAUGCGGAGAUAACUGCCAAACAAGUCUCUUCGACACGGAACAAGCGUGGAGACCAGGACGUGGAGCGGGCGUCGCUCUUGGCCGAUGCCACUUCAAUGCUGACAUGAAUGCGGCGCCGGUGCCGCCGGUAUCGAAUGGCACAUCUGUUGCACGAUAUGCUCUCCAUACUCGGCAAUCGGUUUUGACGAAAGUGGUAGCAAAGGCGCGCGAGGUGGUGGAGCUCGACAACGACGCCCACGCCGUCGAUUGUCACCAAAGCCCUAGACUCCGAAGGGAUUUGCGUGGGCCAUGACACGGAUACAAGUGAGGGUUGGCAGGAGGUGCUACCACGGCGCGGCCCGUGUCGUUCGACUUCGUCGCCAUCCUCGAGGAUGGCUGCUCGUCCUCCUCGUCCCAUUCCUGCUUGGCUCCACGGUAGAUGUUGCAGAUGCCUUGCUUAUGGGCAUCGUGCGGCUGUUUGCAGAGAUCCGUUGCGGUGCUCCCGUUGUUUGGAGAAUGGUCAUCGUGCGCAUGAAUGUCGCAACCCCUGGCGUCCUCUGAGCUCACUACCAUGCCUUGAUGUGCCGCAUGUGUCCCGCCUCGGCGUCGUGCAUCGUGUUGCUCCUGCUUCAUGUGAGGGUUCGGUGAGAUCCACACCCCCUUCCAAGGGACUUCACCGUGGGUCUUGGGCGUCUGUUGUCUCUGCCACUGCUGCCUCGACAACCUCGUCAGAGCUGAUGUUGCAGUCCGCACUGGCUGGUCAGACUGCACUGUUACAAGGUUGUGUGGCGCGGGUUGAGAGCUUUCUGGAGCGAGCGGAGGUUGCUUUGGGUAGACUAUCCCUUGUGCCGGCUCUGUUGCAGACCACUCUGGCGACACAUUCUCCUUGUGCGGCCGGUGUUUGCUCCGUGGGUGAUAGGGGUGAGGAGUUGUACGGCUCUUUCUCCCCUCGUGUUGGAGUCCAUUCAUCGUCGAUGCCUACUUCCCCUCCUAUGGUGUCUUCCACUGAGGGCCAGUCCAUCGCCGUGCUUGUGGCUCCGGUGCUGCAGAUCAUGCCCGAGCUUAGGGAGUUAUGCCUGAGUUUAUCAGUGGACAUACGAAGGUAGAUAUGUCGGCAGCCUCGAUUGAAGGACAUGUUCCGCCUCUGUCAAGUGAGCAGUUGGAGGUUCCUUUUGUUGAUGAUGCUAAAGGGAAGGCAGCUACAAUUUCAUGAUGGGUAGUGCUCAGUGUUUUGGGUUGUCCACGUGGCUUUCGUCUUUUGAGUCGUAGAAGUUGAUGGUUGUGGUUGUUGUGUGGUGGAAGCAUUUGGCGGACCGUCUACAUGGUCGUGAAAGUGAGUCGCUUCUGGAGUGUCACUUUUGUAGUGUUUGUAUCGAUUUUCACCCGGUUUUCCAUAAAUUAACUGGGCAAUUCUCUUCUUCUUAAUUAAUCGAUGAGGCAAUCAUUUUACCUCCGUUUCGAAAAAAAAUUAGUUGUAGCACCAAAGCGCAGCAUGCGCUCCAACUUCGUGACCUGCGCAAAAUAUAGCUCCUCCUUAAAUAGGAGUGUUAACCGACUAUGUGCCUAGGAUGAUCUCAUGGCUGGCUUAAGAUGUUACUUCCUCGGUCCCAUAAUAUAAACACAUUUUUGAAACUACAGAGUAACCGUUAAGGUGACCUCAUGGCUGACCUCACCAGUUUUGAGAGGGUUUACUCCCACAGUAUUGUAUCGUGACAACCUGUGCGAUGAGAUUGUAGAUGCCCUAACAUGUUUGGUGGAUAAGAUCUUUUGAUGACUUCGCCGUUUGCUUGGAUGAGAUCUUUUGAUGACUUCACCGUUUGCUUAGUUGACAUUUGACUUGGUUAAUACCACUGAACAUGCUUAGUUGACAUCUGACUUGGUUAAUGAGCUGAACAUGCACAUCCGUGAAUGGGGUGUUGAGUUUAGCUAGACGGUACAAAUUAAAUAAAACAUUGUGCAUGCAUAUUGUAAGACGUAUGUUUUGGGAACUGUUCGACACCCUAAAACGGGGUGUGGCUAUCUCAUUAUAUAGACGUACCAAGAGGUACAAUACAAGGCAUGUAUAAGACUACGUAUAUACAGUCUAACACCCUCUCUCAAUCUUAAUUGUAGCCUGAAGUACAAAGUAAGUUAAGAUUGCGCCUACAGCCUACAAACUGUGGUUGUGGAAGAGGCUUCGUGAAGAUGUCAGCAAGUUGAUCUUUGGAGGAGAUGAACUUGAUACAAAGCAGUCUCUGUGCAACACGUUCCCGAACAAAGUGAUAGUCAACCUCAAUGUGUUUCGUCCUAGCAUGAAACACCGGAUUAGAUGAAAGGUAUGUAGCGCCGAUGUUAUCACACCACAAAACUGGAGGAUGAGCUGGAGAGACUCUCAGCUCCCGUAACAAAGACUGUACCCAUAUGAUCUCAGCGGUAGCAUCAGCAACAGCUUUAUACUCAGCUUCAGUACUGCUACGAGACACGGUGGCUUGCUUUCGUGCAUUCCAGGCGAUCAGGUUAGGACCAAAGAACACUGCAUAUCCCCCCGUGGAUCGCCGAUCAUCAGGACUGCCAGCCCAAUCCGCAUCAGAGAACGCCGAAAGGUCAAACGACGUAUGUUUUGGGAACUGCUCGACACCCUAAAACGGGGUGUGACUAUCUCAUUAUAUAGACGUACCAAGAGGUACAAUACAAGGCAUGUACAAGACUACGUAUAUACAGUCUAACACAUAUUGCACCAGCCAUGCGUGAUGAAGCACUUGGAUCCGUGAUUCUGUCCUACUCCUAGUACCAUGCGCAUGUGACGGUGAGAGCUUAGUCAUUGGUCGUCAUGCGCGUACGUUGUGAGGGUUUCUUGUUCCAAUUCCAUGCAUUCCAGUCAAGGCUUCUCCUUCUCUCCAGUAUCCGGCCCACUAUAUAUAGGUGCUGGAGCAUCGUGGUUUCCCGUGCAUCCAUCGUUCCAUUUCGCUGCCUGCUAACGAGCCAGUUUUCUCUUGCCGUUGCCUGGCUCGGUUGCUUCUUACCGUCCUCGUUACACUCUUUCUUCUCAGGGGCAACCUAGUCGCCGGUGAUCAUUGCCGCCCCAGAUAUUGUAAGUACCCGCUUGAUCGAUUCGGUUCAAUUCCAGCGGUUCUCUUUUCUAAGUAUCGGCAGCUUUCUCUUCGAGCUUGUAACACUACGAUUAUUACACAUUCUUACCACUGUAUUAUUCUCUUCUCUAACAUUUUUUAUACGUUUUCCAGUAAAAGGCGCAGCCAGUCCAUCAGUUAAAGGCGUAGUCAGUCCAUCCGUUAAAGGCGCAGUUAGUCCACCUAGUCCACUUAACCCGGUACCCUGCCCAAUAAUGUACCCUACAUACAAAAAAGCUAAACCUAUGGGCGAGCUACAAAAGGGCUACGGACCUUUCCAUCCUUGAAUAAUCUGCCUCCCUGAAUUUCACUGGGUGGAGCCCGCUCCCUUCCAUUUUCCAAUCAAAAUUUCCCACAUCAGUUCAUGUGUAAGGUGCGUAAUAUUCCGUCCGUGGAUGUAGCGUUACUCCCCUCCAUAGCCUAAAGCAUCAUCUCAGCAGCGACAACAUGUGGAUAAGCUGGAUGGUUUGUGCAGGAUACGAUGCCAUGGCAAGUUUUCUGCAUACAAAUGUAAUGUUUAAUUUAUCGAUCUACAAGUGUAGCUCCUUUGAAUAAAAGAUCAUUGUGGUUAUUCAGGAAGUGGGAAAGAGGACAUGUCCCACUAUUGUAUUGAGAAAGGUGUUGGAAAUAUGAGCAAAUUACAACGAGAUUUAAUCUGAAUAAACAGAAGAUAAAUCAUGACUUGUUCUUUGUAUCAAACUUGCCUUUGCCGUGAGUUUUGUUCUUGUUGUUUUUGAACUUCUUGGGCUGGAAGUUCUUCUUCUGUACCAUGUGGGCACUAGAAGCUCCCUCAGCAACUCGAGCACGUGUGUCCUUUACCGAAAAAGGCUUUCGCCCCGCUUUAUAUAUAAAGCAUAGACCAACAGUGCCUGAUACAACUGCACUCACCCACCACACACGCACACACACACACCCAAGGCUGGAUACAUAGGCGCUGAGCGCAGCAACACACUCCCUAGCACUAUAAGAGCCGCCGGGGGCUUCAGCCGUGAACACUGCGAAGAAGUGAAGCCGCAUAUGGCGAACCGUGGGCUCCAAGGCGGCGCCUUCAAGAAGGAUACGACACUGGAGCGCCGCCACCGCCCGAUCCAAGGAUCAGAGUUUCCCCUGGAGCAACACGAUGGGCAAUGAUAGCCGCAACCACGCCUUCAAGAAGGGAGCGAUCUUCGCCGUCGCCAAACCGUCCGAAGAUAGAGUAGGUUUUCACCCCGGCCAAUACUCACCGCCAACGAACGCCACACCCCGGCUACCACGCCGCCCACACAGCCGUGGCAGCCGGGCAGCACCGAGGCACGAGCUCUGCCCAUGAGCACCGCCACCACCACCACCAGGGCCGCCGCCCAGGAGACCAAGACCUUGACACCAAGUCCCCCGAGCCCCACCGCUAACCCAACCGCAGAAACGAGCGGAAAGGAUCCACCUUUCGCACCCCUGGCCGGUCCCAGCGCCGAGACCAAAUAGGCCGGCCACCAAGCCUCCAUUAAGCCGUCCUGCUACACCGGGCGCGAGACGAGCGUAGUCCUGCCGCCGGGCGCGAGAUGGACCGGUCAUUGCUGCCGGGCGCGAGACGAGCGCAGUCCUGCUGCUGGGCGCGAGACGGGUCGGUCCUGCUGCCGGGCGCGAGACCAGCUUGGUCCUACAACACCGGGUGCGAGACGGUCGAUGGACCGCAGCCAGGAGAAGGUCAGCUCUCCGGCGAGAAAAAUGGACGGACGCCGAGGAGAGGAGUCGACGGCCGAUACAGGCAGCCCACAGACGAGCCGACGCCAGAACAAUCUGGCCGCCACCGCAAUCAACCUGCCACCACCACAUCACCUGCGCAACCACGCCCUGGUCAGCACCACCCGACGCCCCGCCACCCCGCACCAGAGCAGCGCAGACACCGGCCGCUACACCACCACCUCCACGGGGUCGCCGGCUACCCCCGCCAUCGAAGAUCCGCACAUCCACCGGAUCUGGGCCGGGAUGCCCAGAUCCGCCGCCAGCACGACCAUGCCCACCAGAUCCCACGGGCCGCAGGUGGGGAGGGGAGGAGGAGUCGCCGGCGGGCCACAAGGGCACGGGGCGGAGCGCCGGAGCAGGAGCCGGCCGGGACCCGACGCCGCGAGAAGGAGGGAGGCAGCCCGCGACGCCAUCCAUCCGCGCGGAGGAAGAAAACUGCCCCGUCGCCGCCUCGGCCAUGCGACCUUUGGUCGGCGGCGCCCCGGGCGGCAGCGAGGGAGGGGGAGACGGGGUGGAGGGCCGGAUGGGGGGCGUGAUGGUUGCCUCCCGACGGCGCUCGCAGGAGCGCCUCGGGAGGGAGAGGACUUGUCUCUCGGGUUCUGGAUCGGCACGUGUGUCCUUUGCUCUCACCUUCUCUUCAACAUCAAGAGUACCAAUGAGAUCCGCAACGGAAAACUCUUGUCUCUUGUGUUCAGGAAAGUAGCAAAAUUGUUCCACGAAGGUGGAAGCUUGGCAAUGAUGCCUCCGGCAACAAAUUUGUCCGGCAACACACACUUGAAGUACUCAAGUUCUUUUGCGAGCGACUGUAUCUCAUGAGCCUGUUGUACAACAAAGCGCUCAUCAGUCAUCUUGUAGUCAUAAAAUUGCUCCAUGACGUACAACUCGCUGUCGGCGUUCGAGGCACCAAACUUGGCCUCGAGCGCAGCCCACAUGUCCUUGCGGUUUUCAAACAACAUAUAUGAGUCCACAAUGUAGUGAUCAAGUACACCCAAAAGAGCGCCUUUAAAGAGAGUAUCGAUCUUCUCAAAAGUUUCCAGAUGUGCCGGAUUAAGAUCGCCCUCAGGCUUGCCCUUGGUGGCGUCAUAGCAGCCCAUGGUCUGAAACCAGUAGAAUGCUCUCGUGCGCCACCUCUUAUAUUGCGCCCCCUUAAAGGCAGGCGGCUUCAGAUGCGUAGCAAAACCACUCGGAGAAAAUUGCCUAUAAUCAGGUUUUUGGAUUGUUGGAAAUAUGAGCAAAUUACUACGAGAUUUAAUCCGAAUAAACAGAAGAUAAAUCAUGACUACAGUAGCAGAGAUUGAAUUAAUCAUGCAAACUAGCAUAGUAGAUGAAAAAAUCACAUCUAGGGUACAUACUAGAAACAUGAAUUCUACCACGAUCUCAAACAGGAAAGAUAUAAUCACAUAUGUAUGCAGCGGGAGCAGCACCGCCGGCGUUGACGCUGUCGCCCAUGUUGUCGAGGAUGAGGUUGCCAAGGUUGGGGAAGAAGUCGUCAUUCGCGAAAGUCGUCGCUGCCAGCAGUCGCGUGAGUGCGCUCCCCACAAACCUGAUCGCCCCUCUCCCGUACAGGAUCACGAGAGGCGGGGUUCCGGAGGCCUGCUGUCCCUUCUCCCGGUGCACUUCGAAAGGAGGGAUGGAGAAGACUUGCUUGGCGGCACAAUGUUCUAGAACGGUGGUGAGAAACCAUACGAAGUGGCGGCGGUUAGGGUAGACGUCUGACUAACUAUAUAGUGCGGGUCGGGUAGGUCGUGGGAGUAAACCCCACGUUCGAGUAGUCACGAUCCAAAAGAAUCGGAAACGGUUCAGUAAUUAACGCGUCUGUUAAUUAUUAAUUAAUGACUCAUUAAUUUUUCUCGAGCAGCAAAAAUAUAGACAACGUGCAUAGCUCUGUCCUCGGCUCAGCUCAAUCCCGCAACCCGCGGCGCGUCAUGACGAGGCGAGGCGAGCGAAGAGGAGGAGCGCGCGUGUAGGUCUCCUCUUCUCAUGCUCAUACAAGUGGUAGGAGAGCUCACCUUAUAAAGAGGUGCAACUCUCUCUCAACUUAUGAGGUGGGACUAAACUUUAGCCUCACUCACUCCACUCACAUGUGUGCAUGAAUGGGCCAAGAGAAUUUCAGAAUUUUAGUUGGGCUUUGGGCCAAAAGCCCACUAGCAAAUUUCAACAAUCCCCCACAAAGUCUCAUUGGCACAUUUCACCAUUUGGUUCCAAAACAUUGUUUAUAUACCGGUGCUUAGUGGAGACUGUGGAGUUGAACUUCCACUUAGAGAUUUAUGCUACACUAGAUCACAACUUGAAUAGUGGACUAUGCCUUGAAUUACAAGUUUUCUGCGAGACUAGUUUCACACAAAUUCUUGAACGAUACUGGGCUGCCGCAAGGCUUCCCCGCGGGUGGAGCGUAUACGUCGUUCUCCAGGGCCUUUCAUGAAUUUAUUAGAGAGCACCCACUUCUCACUGACUGGGACGUUAAUAGUCAAAUUCAUAUAGGUGUGUUCCUCAGGAGAUGCUCUGCAGGACAACAUCUCUGCUUACUCAAAUAAGCCACUUGGAACACAUUAAGAUAGAUAUCAACCUGCCAUGCAGAUCAGGGGAGUAUUGCAUCUUCAAGGAGUAGGAUAAUUAAAAUAAGGAUACUCUCCUCUCAGCUGACCAACAGCUUGUCUUCCACUUCUACUUCACGAGAUUUCUGAUCACAUAGAGUGGGUUACCACUAUGGACAACUCAUGCAGUGGGUCUCAAACCCAUCUCCAUCGAUGCAUUAUCUAUCACAUUACGUGAUAGACCCUUUGUGAAGGGAUCUGCCAAGUUUUUCGACAUUUGGAUAUAAUCCAACGUAAUAACUCCGGAGUUCCUCAGUUUCUUGACAGAUUUUAAUCUCCUCUUCACAUGCCUUGAGGACUUCAUAUUGUCCUUAGAACUGUUUAUCUUGACGAUCACAGUUUGAUUAUCACAGUUCAUUAGGAUAGGGGGCAUUGGUUUUUCAACCAUAGGUAAGUCCAUCAAUCACUCACGAAGCCACUCUGCUUCAACAGUGGCAGUGUCUAAUGCUGUGAGUUCUGCUUCCAUAGUUGACCUCGUUAAGAUGGUCUGCUUGCAAGACUUCCAGGAAACAGCGCCACCACCAAGUGUAAAAACAUAACCACUUGUGGCCUUAAUCUCUUCAGCACCAGAUAUCCAGUUUGAGUCACUAUAACCCUCCAGUACCCUUGGAUACCCGGUGUAGUGAAUCCCUGCUACCUCUUGAGCACCGCGUUGGAUUUCCCUGAAGAGCAGAGGAUGAUGCAGCAAAGUAGCGUAAGUAUUUCCCUCAGUUUUUGAGAACCAAGGUAUCAAUCCAGUAGGAGACCACACACAAGUCCCUCGUACCUACACAAAACGAUAGCUCCUCGCAACCAACCGCGAUUAGGGGCUGUCAAUCCCUUCACGCUCACUUACGAGAGUGAGAUUUGAUAGAGAUGAUAAGUAAUAUUUUUGGUAUUUUUGGUAUAUAGAUGCAAAGUGAAAAGUAAAAGGCAAAGUAAAAACAAAGCAAGUAAUAAAGUAAUGGAGAUUGAUAUGAUGAGAAUAGACCUGGGGGCCAUAGGUUUCACUAGUGGCUUCUCUCAAGAGCAUAGAUAUUCUACGGUGGGUGAACAAAUUACUGUUGAGCAAUUGAUAGAAUUGAGCAUAAUUAUGAGUAUAUCUAGGUAUGAUCAUGUAUAUAGGCAUCACGUCCAAGACAAGUAGACCGAAACGAUUCUGCAUCUACUACUAUUACUCCACUCAUCGACCGCUAUCCAGCAUGCAUCUAGAAUAUUAAGUUAAAAACAGAGUAACGCCUUAAGCAAGAUGACAUGAUGUAGAAGGAUAAAUUCAUGCAAUAUGAUAAAAACCCCAUCUUGUUAUCCUCAAUGGCAACAAUAAAGUACGUGCCUUGCUGCCCCUUCUGUCACUGGGAAAGGACACCGCAAGAUUGAACCCAAAGCUAAGCACUUCUCCCAUUGCAAGAACUACCAAUCUAGUUGGCCAAACCAAACGAAUAAUUCGAAGAGACUUGCAAAGAUAACUCAAUCAUACAUAAAAGAAUUCAAAGAAGAUUCAAAUAUUAUUCAUAGAUAAGCUGGAUCAUAAACCCACAAUUCAUCGGUCUCAAGAAACACACUGCAAAAAGAAGAUUACAUUGAAUAGAUCUCCACGAGAGAGGGGGAGAACAUUGUAUUGAGAUCCAAAAAGAGAGAAGCCAUCUAGCUACUAGCUAUGGACCCGAAGGUCUGAAGUAAACUACUCACACUUCAUCGGAGGGGCUAUGGUGUUCAUGUAGAAGCCCUCCGUGGUGGAUGCCCCCUCCGGCGGAGCUCCGGAACAGGCCCCAAGAUGGGAUCUCGUGGAUACAGAAGGUUGCGGCGGUGGAAUUAGGUUUUUGGCUCCUGUUCUGAUCGUUGGGGGUACGUAGGUAUAUAUAGGAGGAAGGAGUAUGUCGGUGGAGGAACAGGGGGGCCACGAGGCAGGGGGCGCCCUAGGGGGGCGCCCCCCACCCUCGUGACCGCCUAUUUUGUUCCUUGGAGCAGGGUCCAAGUCUCCUGGAUCACGUUCGGUGAGAAAAUCACGUUCCCGAAGGUUUCAUUCCGUUUGGACUCCAUUUGAUAUUCUGUUUCUUCGAAACACUGAAAUAGGCAAAAAAAAGCAAUUCUGGGCUGGGCCUCCGGUUAAUAGGUUAGUCCCAAAAAUAAUAUAAAAGUGGAAAAUAAAGCCCAAUAUAGUCCAAAACAGUAGAUAAAGUAGCAUGGAGCAAUCAAAAAUUAUAGAUACGUUGGAGACAAUCAGGCAUCCCCAAGCUUAAUUCCUGCUCGUCCUCGAGUAGGUAAAUGAUAAAAAGAGAAUUUUUGAUGCGGAGUGAUACUUUGGCAUAAUUUCAAUGUAAAUCUUCUUAAUUGUGGCAUGAAUAUUCAGAACCAAAAGAUUCAAGACAAAAGUUCAUAUUGACAUAAAAAUAAUAAUACUUCAAGCAUACUAAUUAAGCAAUUAUGUCUUCUCAAAAUAACAUGGCCAAAGAAAGUUAUCCCUACAAAAUCAUGUAGUCUGGCUAUGCUCCAUCUUCCCCACACAAAAUAUUUAAAUCAUGCACAACCUCGAUGACAAGGCAAGCAAUUUUUUCAUAUUUUAAAAUUUUCAAAACUUUUUCAAUCUUCAUGUAAUACAUGAGCGUGAGCCAUGGAUAUAACACUAUAUGUGGAAUAGAAUGGUGGUUGUGGAGAAGACAAAAAGAGGAAAGAUAGUCUCACAUCAACUAGGCGUAUCAACGGGCUAUGGAGAUGCCCAUCAAUAGAUAUCAAUGUGAGUGAGUAGGGAUUGCCAUGCAACGGAUGCACUAGAGUUAUAAGUAUAUGAAAGCUCUACAAAAGAAACUAAGUGGGUGUGCAUCCAACUCGCUUGCUCACGAAGACCUAGGGCAUUUUAAGGAAGCCCAUCAUUGGAAUAUACAAGCCAAGUUCUAUAAUGAAAAAUUCCCACUAGUAUAUGAAAGUGACAAAAUGAGAGACUCUCUAUCAUGAAGACCUUGGUGCUACUUUGAAGCACAAGUGUGGUAAGAGGAUACUAGCAUUGUCCCGUCUCUCUUUUUCUCUCAUCAUUUUUUUUCUUUUAUUUGGGCCUUUCCCCUUUUUUAUGGCCUUUUUUUUCUUCUUUCUCUUUUUUUUUUGUCCGGAGUCUCAUCCCGACUUAUGGGGGAAUCAUAGUCUCCAUCAUCCUUUCCUCACUUGGGAAAAUGCUCUAAUAAUGAUGAUCAUCACACUUUUAUUUUUCUUACAACUCGAUACUUAGAACAAAGUAUGACUCUAUAUGAAUGCCUACGGCGGUGUACCGGGAUAUGCAAUGAAUCAUGAGUGACAUGUAUGAAAGAAUUAUGAACGGUGGCUUUGCCACUAAUACGAUGUCAACUACAUGAUCAUGCUAGCAAUAUGACAAUGAUGGAGCGUGUCAUAAUAAACGGAACGAUGGAAAGUUGCAUGGUAAUAUAUCUCGGAAUGGCUAUGGAAAUGCCAUGAUUGGUAGGUAUGGUGGCUGUUUUGAGGAAGAUAUAUGGUGCGUGUAUGAUACCGGCGAAAAGUGCGCGGUAUUAGAGAGGCUAGCAAUGGUGGAGGGAUGGGAGAAAGUGCAUAUAAUCCAUGGACUCAACAUUAGUCAUAAAGAACUCAUAUACUUGUUGCAAAAAUCUAGAAGUUAUCAAAGCAAAGUAUUACGCGCAUGCUCCUAGGGGGAUAGAUUGGUAGGAAAAGACCGUCGCUCGUCCCCGACUGCCACUCAUAAGGAAGGCAAUCAAUAAAUAAAUCAUGCUCUGAGUUCAUCACAUAACGGUUCACCAUACGUGCAUGCUACGGGAAUCACAAAUUUCAACACAAGUAUUCUUUAAAUUCACAACUACUCAACUAGCAUGACUCUAAUAUCACCAUAUUCAUAUCUCAAAACAAUUAUCAAGCAUCAAACUUUUCUUAGUAUUCAACGCACUCAAAAGAAAGUUUCACAUAUCUUGAAUACCAAGUAUAUUAGCAUUAAGCAAAUUACCAUGCUAUUAACGGCUCUCAAAAUAAUCUAAGUGAAGAAUGAUAGAUCAAUAGUUUCUUUAAAAAAAUCCACCACCGUGCUCUAAAAGAUCUAAGUGAAGCACUAGAACAAAAAUUAUCACGCUCAAAAGAUAUAAGUGAAGCACUAUGAGCAAAACUAUCAAGCUCAAAAGAUAUAAGUGAAGCACAUAGAGUAUUCUAUCAAAUUCCAAUUCAUGUAUGGCUCUCUCAAAAGGUGUGUACAGCAAGGAUGAUUGUGGUAAACUAACAAGCAAAGACGCAAAUAAUACAAGAUGCUCCAAGCAAAACACAUAUCAUGUGGUGAAUAAAAAUAUAGCUCCAAGUAAAUUACCGAUGGAAGUGGACGAAAGAGGGGAUGCCUUCCGGGGCAUCCCCAAGCUUUGACUUUUUGGUGUCCUUGGAUUAUCUUGGGGAUGCCAUGGGCAUCCCCAAGCUUAGACUCUUUCCCCUCCUUGUUCCAUAAUCCAUCAAAAGAAUUCACCCAAAACUUGAAAACUUCACAACACAAAACUCAAUAGAAAUCUUGUGAGCUCCGUUAGAGAAAGAAAACAAAAGACUACUUAAAGGUACUGUAAUGAAAUCAUUCUUUAUUUAUAUUGGUGUUAAACCUACUGUAUUCCAACUUCUCUGUGGAUUAUAAACUAUUUUACUAGCCAUAGAUUCAUCAAAAUAAGCAAACAGCACACGCAAAACAGAAUCUGUCAAAAACAGAACAGUCUGUAGCAAUCUGUAACUAACGCAAAAUUCUGGAACUCUAAAAAUCCUACCAAAAUAGGAAGUCCUGGAAAAUUUGUUUAUUGAACAUAAGAAAAAAGAAUCAACGCAAAAUCCCGUUUCUGUGAUUUAACAAAACUACAUUCAUGCGCACAAAGUUUCUGUUUUUUAGCAGAAUCAAAUCAACUAUCAUCGUAGGUUAUCCUAUAGGUUCUACUUGGCACAAACACUAAUUAAAACAUAAAACCACAUCCAAACAGAAGCUAGAUGGAUUAUUUAUUCCUAAACAGAAGCAAAAGCAAAAAACAAAAAUAAAAUUGGGUUGCCUCCCAACAAACGCUAUCGUUUAACGCCCCUAGCUAGGCAUAAAAGCAAGGAUAGAUCUAGGUAUUGCCAUCUUUGGUAGGCAAUCCAUAAGUGGCUCUCAUGAUAGAUUCAUAUGGUAAUUUUAUUUUAUUUUUAGGGAAGUGUUCCAUGCCCUUCUUUAAGGGAAAUUGGAAUCUAAUAUUCUCUUCCUUCAUAUCAAUAAUUGCACCAAUCGUUCUAAGGAAAGGUCUACCAAGAAUAAUAGGACAUGAAGGAUUGCAAUCUAUAUCAAGAACGAUAAAAUCUACGGGCACAUAAUUCCUAUUUGCAACAAUAAGAACAUCAUUAAUCCUUCCCAUAGGCUUUUUAAUAGUGGAAUCCGCAAGAUGCAAGUUUAGAGAGCAAUCAUCAAAGUCACGGAAAUCUAGCAAAUCACACAAAGUUUUGGGAAUAGUAGAGACACUAGCACCCAAAUCACAUAAAGCAUGAAACUCAUAAUCUUUAAUUUCAAUUUUAAUAGUAGGUUCCCACUCAUCAUAUAGUUUUCUAGAGAUAGAAACUUUCAACUCAAGUUUUUCUUCAUAAGAUUGCAUCAAGGCAUCAACAAUGUGUUUGGUAAAGGCCUUAUUUUGACUAUAAGCAUGAGGAGAAUCUAGCACGGAUUGCGACAAGGAAAUACAAUCAAUUAAAGAGCAAUUUUCAUAAUUAAAUUCCUUGAGAUCCAAAAUAGUGGGUUUAGCAACAUCUAGGUUUUUAUUUCUUUCAAUCCCACUUUUACCAAUUUCAUCAUCAAGAUCUAGAAACUCCGAAUUCUUAGAACGCCUUCUAGGUAAAGUAAGAUCAUAUUCAGUUUCAUCAAGAUUUAUAUUGCAAAACAAAGAUUUAAUGGGGGACACAUCAAUAACUUUUAGAUCUUCAUCUUGAUUUUCAUAGGAAUUGGAAGAACACGCUUUAAUAAAGGCAUCUUUGGAAGCACGCAUCCUAGCGGUUCUUUCUUUGCACUCAUCAAUGGAAAUUCUCAUGGCUUUGAGAGACUCAUUGAUAUCAUGCUUAGGAGGAAUAGAUCUAAGCUUUAAAGAAUCAAUUUCAAGAGAAAUUCUAUCAACAUUCCUAGCCAAAUCAUCAACUUUAAGCAAUUUCUUUUCAGCAAAGCAUUAAAAUUCUUUUGUGAAUUCAUAAACUCUUUAACACUACUCUGAAAUUCAGUGGGCAUCUUAUUAAAAUUUCCAUAAGAGUUGUUGUAGGAAUUUCCAUAAUUAUUAGAAGGAUUACUAGGAUAAGGCCUAGGAUUAAAAUUCCCUCUAUAGCGUUGUUUCCAAAACUAUUCCUACCAACAAAAUUCACAUCCAUAGAUUCAUUAUUAUUGUCAAUCAAAGUAGACAAGGGCAUAUCAUUAGGAUCAAGAGAAGUAUUUUUAGUAGCAAACAUCUUCAUAAGUUCAUCCACUUUUCACUCAAAACAUUGAUUUCUUCUAUAGCAUGCACUUCUUACUAGAAGAUCUUUUGGUGUGCCAUUGAGAAUAAUUAGCCAUAAUAUUAUCAAGCAAUUUUGUAGCAUCUCCUAACAUAAUUUCCAGAAACGUGCCUCCCGCGACCAAUCUAAAAGAUUUCUAGAAGCAAAAUUCAAUCCGGCAUAAAAAUUUUGUAUGAUCAUCCAUAAAUUCAAACCAUGAGUAGGGCAAUUGCGAAGCAUCAAUUUAAUUCUUUCCCAAGAUUGGGCAACAUGCUCAUGAUCAAGUUGUUUAAAAUUCAUAAUAUCGUUCCUAAGAGUGAUGAUCUUAGCGGGAGGAAAAUACUUAGAGAUAAAAGCAUCUUUGCACUUGUUCCAAGAAUCAAUACUAUUUUUAGGCAAAGACGAAAACCAAACUUUAGCACGAUCUCUAAGUGAAAACGGAAAUAACUUCAGUUUGACAAUAUUGUUAUCCGUAUCUUUCUUCUUUUGCAUAUCACACAAAUCAACAAAAUUGUUUAGAUGAGUAGCGGCAUCUUCACUAGGAAGGCUGGCGAAUUGAUCUUUCAUAACAAGAUUCAGCAAAGCGGUAUUGAUUUCAUAAGACUCAUCAUUAUUAAGAGGAGAAAUUGGAGUACUAAGGAAAUCAUUAUUAUUGGAAUUCGAGAAGUCACACAAUUUGGUAUUAUCUUGCGCCAUGGCAACAAGUAAUCCAACACACAAGCAAACAGAAAGGCAAUGGGAAAAGGCAAACGGGAAAAAGAGGAGGAGAUUGGGAAAGAGAGGGCGAAUAAAACGGCAAGGGUGAAGUGGGGGAGAGGAAAACGAGAGGCAAAUGGUAAAUAAUGUAAUGCGAGAGAUAGGGAUUGUGAUGGGUACUUGGUAUGGUUGACUUGCUCUUGCGUGAGCCUCCACGGCAACGGCGCCAGAAGUUCUUCUUGCUACCUCUUGAGCACUGUGUUGGAUUUCCCCAAAGAGGAGAAGAUGAUGCAGCAAAGUAGCGUAAGUAUUUCCCUCAGUUUUUGAGAACCAAGGUAUCAAUCCAAUAGGAGAUCACGCACAAGUCCCUCGUACCUACAUAAAACGAUAGCUCCUCGCAACCAACGCGAUUAGGGGUUGUCAAUCCCGUCACGGUCACUUACGAGAGUGAGAUCUGAUAGAGAUGAUAAAUAAUAUUUUUGGUAUUUUUGGUAUAUAGAUGCAAAGUGAAAAGUAAAAGGCAAAGUAAAAAACAAAGCAAGUAAUAAAGUAAUGGAGAUUGAUAUGAUGAGAAUAGACCCGGGGGCCAUAGGUUUCACUAGUGGCUUCUCUCAAGAGCAUAGAUAUUCUAUGGUGGGUGAACAAAUUACUGUUGAGCAAGUGAUAGAAUUGAGCAUAAUUAUGAGUAUAUCUAGGUAUGAUCAUGGAUAUAGGCAUCACGUCCAAGACAAGUAGACCGAAACGAUUCUGCAUCUACUACUAUUACUCCACUCAUCGACCGCUAUCCAGCAUGCAUCUAGAGUAUUAAGUUAAAAACAGAGUAAUGCCUUAAGCAAGAUGACAUGAUGUAGAGGGAUAAAUUCAUGCAAUAUGAUAAAACCCCAUUUUGUUAUCCUCAAUGGCAACAAUACAAUACGUGCCUUGCUGCCCCUUCUGUCACUGGAAAAGGACACCGCAAGAUUGAACCCAAAGCUAAGCACUUCUCCCAUUGCAAGAACUACCAAUCUAGUUGGCCAAACCAAACGGAUAAUUCGAACAGACUUGCAAAGAUAACUCAAUCAUACAUAAAAGAAUUCAGAGAAGAUUCAAAUAUUAUUCAUAGAUAAGCUGGAUCAUAAACCCACAAUUCAUCGGUCUCAACAAACACAUCGCAAAAAGAAGAUUACAUCGAAUAGAUCUCCACGAGAGAGGGGAGAACAUUGUAUUGAGAUCCAAAAAGAGAGAAGAAGCCAUCUAGCUACUAGCUAUGGACCCGAAGGUCUGAAGUAAACUACUCACACUUCAUCGGAGGGGCUAUGGUGUUGAUGUAGAAGCCCUCCAUGGUGGAUGCCCACUCCGGCGGAGCUCCGGAACAGGCCCCAAGAUGGGAUCUCGUGGAUACAGAAGGUUGCGGCAGUCGAAUUAGGUUUUUGGCUCCUGAUCUGAUCGUUAUGGGGUAUGUAGGUAUAUAUAGGAGGAAGGAGUACGUCGGUGGAGCAACUUGGGGGCCACGAGGCAGGGGGCGCGCUCUAGGGGGGCCACGUUCGGUGAGAAAAUCACGUUCCCAAAGGUUUCAUUCCAUUUGGACUCCGUUUGAUAUUUCGUUUCUUUGAAACACUGAAAUAGGCAAAAAAACAACAAUUCUGGGUUGGGCCUCCGGUUAAUAGGUUAGUCCCAAAAAUAAUAUAGAAGUGGAAAAUAAAGCCCAAUAUAGUCCAAAACAGUAGAUAAAGUAGCAUGGAGCAAUCAAAAAGUAUAGAUACGUUGGAGACGUAUCAAUCCCAUAGCUCGCAGUGCUCUUCAAGUAGCGCAUAACUCUCUCAAGUGCACACCAAUGAUCAUCUCCCGGUUUUGACACAAACUGACUUAGCUUGCUCACAGCAAAAGAGAUGUCAGGCCUUGUGGCACUCGCCAAAUACAUAAACGAGCCAAUAAUCUAAGAAUACCUCAGUUGAUAUCUAGCAAUCCGUCGAUUCUUUCGAAGCAACACACUAGCAUCAUAUGGAGUUUGAGAAGGCGUGCAGUCGUUAUACCCAAAACGACUCAAGACCUUUUCCACAUAGUGAGACUGAAGCAGUGUGAUCCCACCAUUCUCAUCUCUCAACAGCUUGAUGUUUAAGAUAACAUCAGCUACUCCUAGAUCCUUCAUCUCAAAACAGCGAGAUAAGAAAUCCUUAACCUCCUUGAUUAAAUCAAGUUUGGUUCCAAAGAUCAAUAUGUCGUCGACAUACAGACAAAGAAUAACUCCUUCUCCCCACCAUGGCGGUAGUACACACACUUGUCACCAUCAUUUACUACAAAGUCGGCAGAAGUUAAUGUUCUUUUGAACUUUACAUGCCACUCCUUAGGAGCUUGUUUAAGGCCAUAUAAAGACUUAAAUAACUUGCACACCUUUCCUUCCUGACCAGGUACUACAAAACCAUCUAGCUGAUCCAUGUAAAUUUCCUCCUUCAACUCUCCAUUGAGGAAAGCCGUCUUAACAUCCAUUUGAUGAAUGAGAAGACCAUGUGAGGCAGCCAGUGAUAGUAGCACCCAAAUUGUGGUCAAUCUAGCCAUGGGUGAGUAAGUCUCAAAGAAGUCUUCAACUUCUUUCUGGGUAUAACCCUUAGCCACAAGUCGUGCCUUGUACUUUUCAAUCGUACCAUCAGGUCUAAGCUUCUUCUUGAACACCCACUUACAUCCUACAGGUUUGUACCCAUAAGGAUGGUCAGUGAUCUCCCAGGUUCCGUUAGCUAAGAUGGAAUUCAUCUAGCUACGAACAGCUUCCUUCCAGUAGUCAGCAUCAGGAGAUACAUAGGCUUCUGAAAUAGUCCUGGGUGUGUCAUCCACAAGGUACACAAUAAAAUCAUCACCAAAGGACUUGCAGUCCUCUGUCUCUUACUCCUUAUAGGAGUUUCAUUGUCACCCUCAACAGGAUUCUCAACGUGUUCCAUCGCAAUGGUGGGUUCAGGAAUUACAGUGAGUUCCUCACUAGAUGAAGUAGGUAUCUCCUGAUUUGAUGAACUUGGCAUAUCCUUCAUAGGAAAUAUGUCCUCAAAGAAAGUUGCAUCAUUAGACUCCAUAAUUGUACCAACAUGCAUGUCAGAUACCUCAGAUUUUAUUAUCAAAAAUCUAUAGCCGAUGCUAUGAAAAGCAUAGCCCAGAAGAACACAAUCCACAGUUUUUGGUCCAAGCUUGCGCUUAUUGGGAAUUGGUAUAUUGACUUUCGCCAAACAACCCCAAGAACAUAGGUAAGAGAGUUUCAACCUUUUCCUUUUCCAUUCCUCAAAUGGAGUCAUGGUCUUAUGCUUUGUGGGAACUCGGUUUAGGACAUAACACGCGGUCAUUAGCGCCUCCCCCCACAAUUCCUUGGAAAGACCCGAUGUGUCUAACAUGGCGUUAACCAAAUCAGUUACAGUUUGGUUCUUUCUUUCGGCCACCCCAUUACACUGAGGUGAGUAGGGAGGUGUCUUCUCAUGGAUUAUACCAUGUUUCGCACAAAACAGAUCAAAUUCAUUGGAAAAAUACUCUCCACCAUGAUCGGACCUAAGUCGUUUAAUUUUUCAAUCAAGUUGGUUCUCUGCCUCAGCUUUAUAGUUUUUGAAGAAAGUUAAAGCCUCAUCUUUUUAUUUCAGAAGAUACACAUAACAAUAUCUAGUGGAGUCAUCAAUCAACAUCAUGAAAUAUCUCUUUCCACCUUUUGUCAACACGCCAUGCAUAUCACAGAGAUCAGAAUGUAUAAGCUCUAGUGGCGCCAAGUCUCUUGCCUCUGCAGUCUUAUGGGACUUGCGAGGUUGUUUAGCUUGCACACAUACUUGGCACUUAGAGCCUUUGACAGUAGAGAUUUUCAGAAUUAAAUUCAUAUUGGCUAGCUGCGUCAUGCAACCAAAGUUAAUAUGACAAAGUCAUGAAUGCCAAAUAUCCGACUCAUUAUUGUGGCAAACAUUAUUAAUAACUUUAGUGCAAAUAUCUGACAAAGAUAUGCGGAACAAGCCUCCGCACUCAUAGCCUUUUCCAACAAAUUGUCCACACUUGGAAAUUACAACUUUAUUAGACUCAAAAACCAACUUAAAACAAUCUCGACAUAAACGGGAACCGCUAAUGAGAUUUUGAUUGAUGGACGGCACAUGAUGAACGUUCUUCAGACGCAUGGUCUUGCCCGAAGUAAACUUCAGAUCGACCGUACCGACACCUCGAACGAUGGCAUGUGACCCGUUCCCCAUCAGCACGGGAGAAGUCCCUGUGACCUGGUAAGAAGAAAACAUUGAGGCGUCAGCACAAACAUGUACAUUGGCACCGGUGUCAAUUAACCAAUCAGGAGAUUGAAAUACUGAAAGGAUGGUAGGAAGAAUACCGUACCCAGAUUCCUUCAUAUCAGUAUCACCGAUGACAACAUUAGCAGACUUGCCGCUCUUCUCAUGUUCGCGCUCCUCAAAGCGGUUAGGACACUUCGGAGCCCAGUGAUUAGGAUCACCGCAGACAUGGCAAAGUCCCUUCCCCUUCUUGUGAGAAUUCUUCUUGAAGUUGGUAGAAUGCGAUGGCUUGUUCUUUGUAUCAAACUUGCCUUUGCCCAGAGUUUUGUUCUUGUUGUUUUUGAACUUUGUUGGGAUGGAAGUUCUUCUUCUGUACCAUGUGGUCACUAGAAGCUCCCUCAGCAACUCGAGCACGUGUGUCCUUUGCCCUCGCCUUCUCUUCAACAUCAAGAGUACCAAUGAGAUCCGCAACGGAAAACUCUUGUCUCUUGUGUUUUAGGGAAGUAGCAAAAUUGUUCCAUGAAGGUGGAAGCUUGGCAAUGAUGCCUCCGGCAACAAAUUUGUCCGGCAAUACACUGUCGGAUUUCGGGUUCCGGCAGACCCUUGAGGUUCUAACACUGGGGUGCGCACGGGGAUUUCACCCUCUACCUACCUGUUCCUCGCUGGUCGCUGAGAUCUAAACUACGAAAGGAACAACACAAGAGACACAGAGUUUAUACUGGUUCAGGCCACUUGUGGUGUAAUACCCUACUCCAGUGUGUGGUGUGGUGGAUUGCCUCUUGGGCUGAUGAUGAACAAUACAAGGAAGAACAGCCUCGCGAGGGUCUGUUCUUGGCUGGUGCGAUGAACUGCUAGGAGGAGUUCCGUCGCUAGUUUCUAGCGAGGAUACUCAAUGCCUCUACCUUGUGGUGGCUAGUCCUAUUUAUAGGCAAAGGCCCUGGGCCUCUUCCCAAAUAUUGAGCGGGAAGGGCGCCAACAAUUGGCCAUUUUGAAGGGGAACAGCGGGUACACUUAUCCUGACUAAAGUUGGUCCUCGCCUGUCAAAGGCUCUGGCAGUGACGCCUGCUUGGGCUCCACAAUACCUUCCCUCCUGCCGUUGGGCUGGUCUUGGUCUUGUUGCACCGAAAUGGAUGCCUUUGCUUGAUGCUCUCGCCUGCGCUUGCUCCCUUUGCACCAACGAGGAAAGGAGGACACUACGCAGGCUGGCGCCUGACUGGCGCCCUUGGUCGUCAUGGCUUGCAUCAUGGGCACCUCGCGAGGUACCCCGCCUUGAUCUCUCCGCCUCCUCGUGAGCCAGCCUGAUGAGGCCGUGCCUGAGGAAGCUCCUUGUCGUCCGCCCCGCGAGGCUUGGCCCCUCGCGAGGGUCUUGAGCUUGUGUUGAUGAAGAUGGGCCGUGCUGGGCCCCCUUUGAGCCACGCUGCAGGCCGCAGGCAGGCAAGUCUGGGGACCCCCGUUCCCAGAACGCCGACAGUAGCCCCCGGGCCCAAAGCGCGCCCGGACUUGGCCGAGCAGAGAGGCCAAAAAGCAAGUGCGAAACGCCGCGGGCCCUAACAGCCUGAGGCCUUGGGCGCCACGUGGCGGUUGAUUGGACGUGGGCGCCUCCACUUCCCCAUGACGCUUCGGCGACUGCGUGAAUUCACAAGUCCCUGCAUGCAGAGCGAGUCAUGAUUACCUGCGAUCGUGGAGGUCGGCGAUUGGCCUCCCCUGGCUUUAAGUACGGCACAUCGCGUGCCCUUCCAGUUUAUCCCCUCUUGCUUCUUCUUCUUCUCCAUGGCUCCGUCAAGGAAGUUCUCGGCCGCAGAGAAAGGAAAGGCCCGCCAGGUUGAGCCUGCCUCUCCCCCGCCCAAGCGCGGUCGAGGCUGCCCUCGCAAACACCCUAUGGCCUCCACGGCGGCUCCCCGCGGUCGCGGAGGUGACUUCCCGCACGGUGACAGGUGGCUGGCCGCGGCCGGGGGGCGUGCUUCGGCCGUGCGACCCCCUAGGCCGCGCUUCCAUACUGCGCAGGUGGUGCCGGAGUUCGUUGUGUGGGCGGCGGAACCGACUAGCGCCCGGCUUCAGCUCCCUCGCUUCCUCCUAGGUGAGCUCCCGGCUGGCGCCCCGGGCGGCCUCUAGCUCCAGGCAGAUGGCUGCUGCAGCCGGGCCUCGUGGGCUAUGCUGGAGUUCUCCACGGCCGAGAGCCUGGCCUUGACCCGCGGCUGGCAGACGUUUGCCCGUGCGUGUGGCCUGAGCCGUCGGUGCACCCUGCACUUCAAGUUCGACGGCGAUGCCACCCUCUACGUGAGGGCGUUUGGGGAAGAUGGUCGCCGCAUAGGGUGCUGCCCUGAAGACGACGACCACGGCCGGGGACCCAGCCCCGGCGAGGACGGAGAGGACAGCGCGCGCGUGGUUGGCGGCGCCCAAGGUUCCUCAAGCUUCACUGGUUCUUCUUCGGGCAGCGACUCUUCUAGCAGUGGCCGCGGUCAGCCUCCACGCCGUCGUGCGUGCCUGGAGGGUGGUAGCGGGUCUGCCCGCUGUCGUGCCUCGGUGAAGCGCGAGAGGGAGUCCGCCUGAGCUCCAGAGGCGGCCCGAGUCUUCCCUGAGGGGCGGCGUAGGGCGAGCUUCGCCUGAUUUGUUCUUUCUUUUCCUUUUUCCUGCGCAAAAAGAAAGUAGUGUGGGGCCCUGUGGGGGCGUGUUUGGGUUACCGUUGUUAAUCAUCAUACUAUUUCCGUUAUUUUGGUAUUGUUCCUUCCGUCCACACGCCCGCGCGUAGGUAAUCCCCAGCCUCAGCCUUGGGGGCGACCGACCCAGGUCCUGUAUUCGUGUCGCGGUGCCCGUGAGGCACGGACUGGAGGGGUGCUCCUGUAGUGGACCCGGGUUGUGAAACAUUGAACGAUAAGGACAGAAACACUCGCGAGGGCGCUCGGGCUGCCCCCUCGCGAGACCUUGCGCAAGAGAAAUCGAGGCAGGAGGGCGAAAAGUCGAAGAGCCAUAAGUCAAAAGACGGUGAUGGUUUCAAUAAAACUUCAAAUGAGAACGAACUAGCCAACUGCAGAAAGCAAAUGAAAAAGCCGCGUCCAGCACCUAGUCUAGUCUUCGACGUCUUCUCACCAGCGCGGAGCUAAGUGCUGCCACUGGGCGUGGGAGGGAGCCCCAGGGCCUGAGGCCAACGCUCCUGAGACUCCGGGGCGUGUACAGCUCCAACUCAUUAUUACGUGAGAGUGUCACGGGCGGCGAGCUUCACAGGCGCUGGCCUUCUUCACGGGCUCCGGGCCUUUCUUCGGGGAAGCAAGCUUCACGGGCAUUGGCCCUCUUCACAGGCUCCGGGCCUUUUCCAAAAAGAUAGUCUUCACAGGCAUUCGCCUUGUUCACAGGCUCUGGGCCUUUCUUUGGGGAAGCAAGCUUCACGGGCAUUGGCCCUAUUCACAGGCUCCGGGCCUUUUCCAAAAAGAUAGUCUUCACAAGCAUACGCCUUCUUCACAAGCUCUGGGCCUUUUCCAAAAAGAUGAUCUUCACAGGCAUUCGCCUUCUUCACAGGCUCUGGGCCUUUUAAGGGUAAAACCUCCGGAGGUGCUGGAUGUUCCACGCAUUCUAGACUGGCACCCCCUCCUGAGUCUCCAAGCGCGCGGAGCCGGGCCUGGAAACAUGAACAACCUUGAACGGGCCCUCCCACAUGGGAGAGAGCUUAUGCAGUCCCUCCCUGGAGAGAAUCCACCUGAGCAUGAGGUCCCCUACCUCAAGAGUUCUGGAGCGGAUGUUGCGGCAGUGGUAUCACCGCAGAGCUUGUUGGUAUCUCGCCGCUUGCAACGCGGCUUCUCGGCGACGCUCCUCCCCUAGCACGAGGUCAUCCCCCGCAUGGCGUCCUGCUGCGCUUCGUCAAACGCUAGGACCCGUGCGGAGCGACGUCUGACCUCGUGAGGGAGGACCGCCUCAGCUCCAUAGACCAAGAAGAAUGGGGUGUCUCCAGUCGGCUUGGUUGCGGUCGUGCGGAUGGACCACAACACGGACUGAAGCUCGUCGUACCAGCCUCUGCCGCGGGCUUCCAGCUUCUUCUUGAAUGUUAUGGUCUUGAGGCCCCUCAGGACCUCCGUUGGCCCGCUCGGCCUGGCCGUUGCUUCGGGGGUGCGCCACUGAAGCGUAGCAUAUCUGUGUUCCAAGGUUAGCACAGUAUGUUUUGAAGAGGUUACUGGUGAACUGCAAACCGUUGCCGGUGAUGAUGCGGUUCGGCACCCCGAACCGGCUCACGAUGCCCUUGAUGAACUUGACUGCUGAACCCGCAGGGAUGGUGCGGACGGCUUCCACUUCGACCCACUUGGUGAACUUGUCCACGGCGACGUAGAGGUAGCGAUAGCCCCCCGACGCCCGAGGGAACGGGCCCAGGAUAUCCAGCCCCCAGACUGCGAAUGGCCACAAGAGGGGUAUAGUUUGUAGACUUCCUGCCGGCUGAUGGAUCUGCUUGCCAUGGAAUUGGCAGGCUUCGCAGGCCUUCACUAGCUCGACAGCGUCAUUGAGUGCAGUAGGCCAAUAGAAGCCGCUGCGGAAUGCCUUUCCCAUGAGGGUCUGUGAUGACGAGUGGUGCCCACAGUCUCCACCGUGUAUAUCUGCCAGCAGCUCCUUCCCUUGUUCCCUGGAUAUGCAGCGUAGGGACACACCAUUUGGUCGCUUCCGGUAGAGUUCUCCAUCCCUGAUACAGUACGCUGAGGCUUGCCGCGCCACACGCUCCGCUUCCUCCUCCUUCUCCGGCAGGGUCCCUUGCGUUAAGUAACUCCGGAGCUCUGUGAUCCAGCACCCCUCCUGAGGCUCCAUUGUCAGGAGUAGGCGCGCUCCUGAGGCUGGGCCACAGACCGGAGCUCCCGAGGCAGGUGGCUGGGGGAGCUCCUCCCGAGGUUGCGCCGUGUUUGAUAGUGAUGGGAUGGCCGAGGGCUUGAAGAGCCGCUCCUCAAAGACACCAGGCUCCUGAGGUAACCGCCUGGAUGCUCGUUUGGCGAUGUCAUCGGCCUCCUGAUUGGUGCCACGGGGCACAUGUUGUAGCUCCAACCCCCAGAACUGCUUUUCCAUCCUGCAGACCUCCGCAAGGUAGGCCUCCAUGUGCUCAUCCUUUGGCUCGUACACUUUGUUGGAGAAAUUGACGAGGAGCUGUGAAUCGCCCUUGAUGGUAAGGCGCUUUACCCCUAGGGUAGCCGCGGCCUUCAAGCCUGCUAUCAGGCCCUCAUACUCCUCUAUGUUGUUGGAGACCUUUUCGCCUUGAUGGAAACAGAGCUGCACGGCGUAAUAGAGCUUGUCCUGAGUGGGAGAUAUGAGCACGGCCCCAGCCCCAGCGCCAUGCCUGGAGAAUGCCCCGUCGAAAUACAUGACCCAACCUUCUGGCUCCUCGCUUCCUGGGGAGAGGGAUCGAUCCUCGCCGGCCUUGAGGCCCGGUGCCUCUGUCCAUUCGGCCACGAAGUCCGCUAGCGCGGGCCCCUUGAUGACUCUGGUCGUGCUGAAUUCGAGCUGAAACGCUUGCAGUUCAAUGUUCCACUCGGCGACCCUUCCGGCUAAGUUUGGGCUGCUGAGCACCCUUUCCAAGGGGUAUGCCGAGACAACCUUGAUAGGGUGACCCUGAAAGUAGUGCCGCAGCUUGUGUGAGGCCACUAGUAGCGUGAGGAGGAGCUUCUGGGGCAUGGGGUACCGUGCCCUCGCAUCCCGCAACACUGUGCUGACGAAGUACAUUGGGUGCUCGACGAGGCUUGGAGCGUCGGUGCUAGCGGCGUCCUCCGGAGGCCGUGGCACCUCCUGAGGCGGGGGAGCCUCCAGAAGCUGGUUGCCUCGGGGAAGGGCCUCUUCCGUUCCCUGUGCGCUCCCCUACGGCGGCUGAUCCUCCUCAGCCGUGGUAGUGAUCUCUGCGAGUCCUUCCUGGUCCUGCUUUGCCUUGACACGGGUAGCUGCCGUGGCCUUGGUCCGACGCUCCUCCCUAACCGCCACCAGAGCCGCGCUGGCGGAGUAGGGAGUGGCAGCGAGGUAGAGCACCAAGGGCUCUUGAGGGCAUGGGGCCACCAUCACCGGAGGGCUGGUUAGGUAUCUCUUGAUAUCUUGGAACGCCUUGUCGGCCUCUUCAGUCCAUUCAAAGGGCCCCUUUUUCUUCAUCAGCUGGAAGAAAGGCAGCGCUCGCUCCCCUAACCUGGAGAUGAAGCGCCCUAGCGCAGUCACGCGCCCAGUGAGCUUCUGCAUCUCUCUGAGGGUCUUUGGCGGGCUCAUGUCCUCGACUUCCUUAACCUUUUCUGGGUUGGCCUCGAUGCCUCGGUGGGACACGAGGAAGCCCAAGAGCUUGCCCGAGGGGACUCCAAACACACACUUCUCCGGGUUCAGCCAUAGGCUUACUGCUUCGAGGUUUGCAAAGGUUUCCUCCAGGUCUUGUAUCAGGGUCUUGGCCUCGCGAGACUUCACUACAAUGUCGUCGACGUAAGCUUCCACAUUCUUCCCGAGUUGCGGGCCCAAGGUGAUGUGUAUGAGCCGCUGAAAGGUUGCCCCCGUGUUGCGCAGUCCAAACGGCAUGCAUGUAUAGCAAUACACCCCACAUGGGGUUAGGAAGGCCGUCUUCUCCACAUCUUCCACCGCCAUCUUGAUCUGGUGAUACCCGGAGAAGGCAUCCAAGAAGCAUAACAGGUCGCACUCAGCGGUGGAAUCGACGAUCUGAUCGAUGCGAGGGAGCGGGAACGGAUCUUGCGGGCAUGCUUUGUUGAGGUUGGUGAAGUCGACACACAUGCGCUCCUUCCCUCCCUUCUUUGGCACAACCACAGGGUUGGCCAACCAAUCUAGAUAUCGGACCUCGCGAAUGACCCCCGCGGCUUCUAGCUUGCGGGUCCCCUGGACGAUGAAGGCCUGCUUUUCAGUGGAUUGCUGCCUCGCUUUCUGCUUCACGGGGUGCAUGUUGGGGCACACGUUGAGGUGGUGCUCGAUUACGCCCCGUGGGAUCCCUGCCAACUGAUCGGGCUCCCAGGCGAAUACCUUCUUGUUCGCGCGCAGGAACUUGACCAGGGCUUCCUCCUGCUCGGGCCCAAGGUUGGCGCCUAUGGUGAAAGUGGCGUUAGUGGACCCAUCCUCGUCGACGGGUAUCUACUUGGUCUCCGCCUUGUCUUGGGUGAACAACUGUUUCUUCUUGGUUGGUGCAGCCCCCUUGGGCUCGGGGGUCCUCGCGUUGGUGGGCUGUGCCGACGCCGCCGUCUUGAAGGCGAGCUUGAGCGCUCGCAGCGCAUCCCCGGUGUCCCCAGGCACGGUGAGAACACCGCUACUCCCGGGCAUCUUCAUAAGGUUGUACGCCGGGUGGGUCGCGGCCAUGAAUUGGGCCAGUGCUGGAUAGCCGAGGAUGGCGUUGUAGGGGAGGCCGAUGGGGGCGAUAUCGAAAUCGACCUGCUCUGUGCGGAAAUUGUCGUAGGUGCCGAAAGUCACUGGGAGCCGGAUCUGCCCCAAGGAGCUGGAUGACCCGCCCCCGACGCCCGAGAAGGGUCGGCUGGGCUACAGGCGCUCCCGGGGUAUGCGGAGGAGGUUGAAGGCCUCAACUGAGAGCAUGCUGAGGCCUGCGCCGCCGUCGAUGACAGUCCUGGUGACAGCCACCUGGCAGAUGGUGGGGGUGCACAGCAUGGGGAGCGCACCCGAGCAGGCCGAGUUGGAGGGGUGGUCCUCUGAGUUGAAGGCCAUCCUGGCCUGUGGCUCCGAUCGGUACGGCGGAGCCCCCUGCCGCAUGGGGGCGGCGCCGACCCGGCGGACGAACGGCUUGAUGUGGUGACUGGAGGGCGGCGCCUGCGAGCCGCCUAGGAGGGCCACGACGACCGGGGAGGCCGGCGCGGCGUGGUGGGUGAGGAAGAGGCCGUGCAGCUCCUCCCAAGAGGCCACGGGGGGAUGCUGGGACGAUGCUUGCUGCUCGUUUCCUGUCGGGCCAGUGGUGGCGUUGACGGCAGGUGACGAGGAGCGACGAGGGCUCCCGCCGACGGGAGCCGUCUGGGCGACACGGGAAGCGAGGGCGGCUCAGCGCUCGGCGCGGGCCCGACGAGCAUCAGACAUGGAUGCGAUGGUCGAAGAGGAACAGGACGACGGAAGGCGAAUUCCAGUGCCCCCCUACCUGGUGCGCCAAAUAUCAGAUUUCGGGUUCCGGCAGACCCUUGAGGUUUGAAGACUGGGGUGCGCGUGAGGAUUUCGCCCUCUACCUACCUGUUCCUCGCCGGUCGCUGAGAUCUAAACUACGAAAGGAACAACACAAGAGACACAGAGUUUAUACUAGUUCAGGCCACCAUUGUGGUGUAAUACCCUACUCCAGUGUGUGGUGUGGUGGAUUGCCUCUUGGGCUGAUGAUGAACAAUACAAGGAAGAACAACCUCGCGAGGGUCUGUUCUUGGCUGGUGCGAUGAACUGCUAGGAGGAGUUCCGUCGCUCUCUCUACUGGUUUCUAGCGAGGAUACUCGAUGCCUCUACCUUGUGGUGGCUAGUCCUAUUUAUAGGCAAAGGCCCUGGGCCUCUUCCCAAAUAUUGAGCGGGAAGGGCGCCAAUAAUUGGCCAUUUUGAAGGGGAACAGCGGGUACACUUAUCCUGACUAAAGUUGGUCCUCGCCUGUCAAAGGCUCUGGCGUGACGCCUGCUUGGGCUCCUCAAUGACUUCCCUCCUGCCGUUGGGCUGGUCUUGGUCUUGUUGCACCGAAAUGGAUGCCUUUGCUUGAUGCUCUCGCCUGCGCUUGCUCCCUUUGCACCAAAGAGGAAAGGAGGACACUGCGCGGGCUGGCACCCGACUGGCGCCCUUGGUCGUCAUGGCUUGCGUCAUGGGUACCUCGCGAGGUACCCCGCCUUGAUCUCUCCGCCUCCUCGUGAGCCAGCCUGAUGAAGCCGUGCCUGAGGAAGCUCCUUGUCGUCUGCCCCGCGAGGCUUGGCCCUCGCGAGGGUCUUGAGCUUGUGUUAAUGAAGAUGGGCCGUGCUGGGCCCCAUUUGAGCCACGCCGCAGGCCGCAGGCAGGCAAGUCUGGGGACCACCGUUCCCAGAACGCCGACACACACACUUGAAGUACUCAAGUUCUUUUGCGAGCGAUUGUAUCUCAUGAGCCUGUUGUACAACAGAGCGCUCAUCAGUCAUCUUGUAGUCAUAGAAUUGCUCCAUGAUGUACAACUCGCUGCCGGCGUUCGAGGCACCAAACUUAGCCUCGAGCGCAGCCCACAUGUCCUUGCAGUUUUCAAACGACAUAUAUGACUCCACAAUGGAGUCAUCAAGGAUACCCAGAAGAGCGCCUUUAAAGAGAGUAUCGAUCUUCUCAAAAGUUUCCAGCUGUGCCGGAUUAAGAUCGCCCUUAGGCGUGCCCUUGGUGGCAUCAUAGCAGCCCAUGGUCUGAAACCAGUAGACUGCUCUCAUGCGCCACCUCUUACAUUGCGCCCCCUUAAAGGAAGACGACUUCAGAUGCGCAGCAAAACCACUCGGAGCAAAUUGCCUAUAAUCAGGUUUUCGGAUUGUUGGAAAUAUGAGUAAAUUACUACAGGAUUUAAUCCGAAUAAAUAGAAGAUAAAUCAUGACUACAGUAGCAGAGAUUGAACUAAUCAUGCGAACUAGCAUAGAAGAUGAACAGAUCACAUCUAGGGGACAUACUAGAAACAUGAAUUCUACCACGAUCUCGAACAGGAAAGAUAGAAUCACAUACGGUGCAGCGGGAGCAGCACCGCCGGCAUUGACGUUGUCGCCCAUGUCAUCGAGGAUGAGGUUGCCGAGGUCGGGGAAGAACUCAUCAUUCGCGAAAGUCAUCGCUGCCAGCAGUCGCGCGAGUGCGCUCCCCACAAACCUAAUCGCCCCUCUCCCAUACAGGAUCACGAGAGGCGGGGUUCCGGAGGCCUGCUGUCCCUUCACCCGGUGCACGCCGAAAGGAGGGUGGAUAAUACUUGCUUGGCAGCGCAAUGAUCUGGAACGGUGGUGAGAAACCAUACGAAGCAGCGGUGGCUAGGGUAAACGUCUGCCUGACUAUAUAGUGCGGGCCGGGUAGGUCGUGGGAGUAAACCUCACGUUCGAGUCGUCAUGAUCCAAAAGAAUCGAAAAUUGUUCAGUAAUUAACGCGUCCGUUAAUUAUUAAUUAAUGACUUAUUAAUUUUUCCCGAGCAGCAAAAAUAUAGACAACGUGCAUAGCUCUGUCCUCAGCUCGGCUCAAUCCCGCAACCCGCGGCGCGGCGCGGCGUGAAGAGGCGAGGCGUGGCGUGGCGAGGCGAGCGAGGAGGAGGAGUGUGCGUGUAGGUCUCCUCUUCUCAUGCUCAUACAAGUGGUAGGAGAGCUCAUCUUAUAAAGAGGUGCAACUCUCUGUCAACUUAUGAGGUGGGACUAAACUUUAGCCUCACUCACUCCACUCACAUGUGUGCAUGAAUGGGCCAAGAGAAUUUCAGAAUUUAGUUGGGCUUUGGGCCAAAAGCCCACUAGCAAAUUCCAACAAUCCCCCACAAAGUCUCAUUGGCACAUUUCACCAUUUGGUUCCAAAGCAUCUUCAAGGAGUGGGAUAAUUAAAAUAAGGAUACUCUCCUCUCAGUUGACCAACAACUUGUCUCCCACUUCUACUUCACGGGAUCUCCGAUCACAUAGAGUGGGUUACCACUAUGGACAACUCAUGCGGAGGGUCUCAAACCCAUCUCCAUCGAUGCAUUAUCUAUCACAUUACAUGAUAGACUCUUUGUGAAGGGAUCUGCCAAGUUUUUCGACGUUUGGACAUAAUCCAACGUAAUAACUCCGGAGUUCCUCAGUUUCCUAACAGAUUUUAAUCUCCUCUUCACAUGCCUUGAGGACUUCAUAUUGUCCUUAGAACUGUUUAUCUUGACGAUCACAGUUUGAUUAUCACAGUUCAUCAGGAUAGGGGGUAUUGGUUUUUCAACCAUAGGUAAGUCCAUCAAUAGCUCACGAAGCCACUCUGCUUCAACAGUGGCAAUGUCUAAUGCUGUGAGUUCUGCUUCCAUAGUGGACCUCGUUAAGAUGGUCUGCUUGCAAGACUUCCAGGAAACAGCGCCACCACCAAGUGUAAAAACAUAACCACUUGUGGCCUUAAUCUCAUCAGCAUCAGAUAUCCAGUUCGAGUCACUAUAACCCUCCAGUACCCUUGGAUACCCGGUGUAGUGAAUCCCAUAGCUUGCAGUGCUCUUCAAGUAGCGCAUAACUCUCUCAAGCGCACGCCAAUGAUCAUCUCCUGGUUUUGACACAAACCGACUCAGCUUGCUCACAGCAAAAGAGAUGUCAGGCCUUGUGGCACUUGCCAAAUACAUAAGCGAGCCAAUAAUCUGAGAAUACCUCAGUUGAUAUCUAGCAAUCCGUCGAUUCUUUCGAAGCAACACACUACCAUCAUAUGGAGUUGGAGAAGGCGUGCAGUCGCUAUACCCAAAACGACUCAAGACCUUUCCACCAUAGUGAGACUGAAGCAGUGUGAUCCCACUAUUCUCAUCUCUCAACAGCUAGAUGUUUAAGAUAACAUCAGCUACUCCUAGAUCCUUCAUCUCAAAACAGCGAGAUAAGAAAUCCUUAACCUCCUUGAUUAAAUCAAGUUUGGUUCCAAAGAUCAAUAUGUCGUCGACAUACAGACAAAGAAUAACUCCUUCUCCCCCACCAUGGCGAUAGUACACACACUUGUUACCAUCAUUUACUAAAAAGCCGGCAGCAGUCAAUGUUCUUUCGAACUUCUCAUGCCACUCCUUAGGAGCUUGUUUAAGGCCAUAUAAAGACUUUAAUAACUUGCACACCUUUCCUCCCUGACCAGGUACUACAAAACCAUCUGGCUGAUCCAUGUAAAUUUCCUCCUUCAACUCUCCAUUGAGGAAAGCUAUCUUAACAUCCAUUUGAUGAACGAGAAGACCAUGUGAGGCAGCCAGUGAUAGUAGCACCUGAAUUGUGGUCAGUCUAGCCACGGGUGAGUAAGUAUCAAAGAAGUCUUCACCUUCUUUCUAGGUAUAACUCUUAGCCACAAGUCGUGCCUUGUACUUUUCAAUCGUACCAUCAGGUCUAAGCUUCUUCUUGAACACCCACUUACAUCCUACAGGUUUGUACCCAUAAGGACGGUCAGUGAUCUCCCAGGUUCCGUUAGCUAAGAUGGAAUCCAUCUCGCUACGAACAGCUUCCUUCCAGUAGUCAGCAUCAGGAGAUGCAUAGGCUUCUGAAAUAGUCCUGGGUGUGUCAUCCACAAGGUACACAAUGAGAUCAUCACCAAAGGACUUUGCAGUCCUCUGUCUCUUACUCCUUAUAGAAGUUUCAUUGUCACCCUCAACAGGAUUCUCAACGUGUUCCAUCGCAAUGGUGGGUUCAGGAAUUACAGUGAGUUCCUCACUACAUGAAGUAGGUAUCUCCUGAUUUGAUGAACUUGACAUAUCCUUCAUAGGAAAUAUGUCCUCAAAGAAAGUUGCAUCAUUAGACUCCAUAAUCGUACCAACAUGCAUGUCGGAUACCUCAGAUUUUAUUAUCAAAAAUCUAUAGCCAAUGCUAUGAAAAGCAUAGCCCAGAAGAACACAAUCCACGGUUUUUGGUCCAAGCUUAUGCUUCUUGGGAAUUGGUAUAUUGACUUUCGCCAAACAACCCCAAGAACGUAGGUAAGAGAGUUUCAAACUUUUCCUUUCCCAUUCCUCAAAUGGAGUCAUGGUCUUAUUGUAACGCCCCGGAUUCAAUGUGCCAGGUGUCUGUCAGUUAUUCGCCAUCGAUGCCAUGUCAUUUGCGUGCGUGUUGCAUUUUAUCAUGUCAUCAUGUGCAUUUCAUUUUGCAUACGUUUUCGUCUCAUGCAUCCGAGCAUUUUCCCCGUUGUCCAUUUUGCAAUCCGGCACUCCUAUGUCCUCCGGCGUCCCCUUCUUGUCUCUCUUUGUGUGCGGGUGUUAAACAUUCUCGGAAUGGACCAAGGUUUGCCAAGCGGCCUUGGUAUAGCACCGGUAGACCGCCUGUCAAGUUUCGUGCCAUUUGGAGUACGUUUGAUACUCCAACAGUUAACCGGGUAACCGCAAAAGCCUCUUUUGUGUGCAGCCCAACACCCCUCCAAAGUGGCCCAAAACCCAUCUAAGUCUCUUCCAUGCUCUCGGUCGUUCGAUCAUGAUCACCUGGCCGAAAACCGCUCCUCAUUUGGACUCCCCUAGCUCCCUCUACCUAUAAAAAUGUCUUCCCCUCUCCAUUUUCGGAUCAAUUUCCCCCUAACCCUAGCCCCGCUCCCCUCGCGCCGCCGGACACGUCCAACUCCGGCCGGACAUGUCCAGCCUCCACGUCGCCUGGACCAAUCCCGGGGCGACACGUCACCCCGCCGCCGCUCCCGGCCAGUGGCGUCGCGCCACAUCGCCCACGCCCGCGCCCCACUUUGCCGCCUCCAGCGCGGGCCCGCGAAGCCCGACGCCGGCCCUCCCGGCUCGGACGCCCGCCGCCGCCAGNNNNNNNNNNNNNNNNNNNNNNNNNNNNNNNNNNNNNNNNNNNNNNNNNNNNNNNNNNNNNNNNNNNNNNNNNNNNNNNNNNNNNNNNNNNNNNNNNNNNNNNNNNNNNNNNNNNNNNNNNNNNNNNNNNNNNNNNNNNNNNNNNNNNNNNNNNNNNNNNNNNNNNNNNNNNNNNNNNNNNNNNNNNNNNNNNNNNNNNNNNNNNNNNNNNNNNNNNNNNNNNNNNNNNNNNNNNNNNNNNNNNNNNNNNNNNNNNNNNNNNNNNNNNNNNNNNNNNNNNNNNNNNNNNNNNNNNNNNNNNNNNNNNNNNNNNNNNNNNNNNNNNNNNNNNNNNNNNNNNNNNNNNNNNNNNNNNNNNNNNNNNNNGGAUCCGCCCCGCGCCAUCCCCGCCGACCCGCGCCUCCACCGCGUCCCCGCGCCGUCCCCUCGCCUCCUCCGCGGAUCUCGCGUCCCCGUGCACCCCGCCGUCGCCGGAGCACCGCCGUAGCUCGCCGGAGUUCCUCUCCGGUGGGAUCCGGAGAGGAUGGACCAGAUCCACCAGUCCCCGAUCCAAACGCCCGUGCCCCGUCCCGGAUCUCGUCGUCCCGUUUUCGUCGGUGUAAAAUUGCACCCAAGUCCCUGUUAUUUUGACAUUAUCAUAGCAUGUUGAUCGCAUCAUACCUCCAUGCAUACUGCUCCGUUUCGUACAUGUAAUAUGUCCAAUUGUUCGCCUCGACAAGUACUUCAUUUCGUUCCAUUGCAUCAUGUUUGUUUGAGUCCAUCUUGAUGCUCUAGUCAUCGUUGCAAGAGUGCUAUAUGAUGUUAACCUGCUGAAACUGUUAUAACUUGGUGAUUUGUCAUUUUUGCCAUGUUUGAUGUGUGCAUCAUGAGGUUGAUGUCUACUUGUGUUUUGAUCUAUGAUAUGCCAUAUUUCCAGAGGUGCUAUCCAUGUAUUUUUGUGAGUUGUGUACUGAGUGCAUAAAGCUUGUUAAGUAGGGUACUUGCUGUUGCUGUUUUGCUAGGCUGAUUCUGUUAUAUUUUGUUGCUAUGUAAACCUGCUGCUACUAGUCAUUCUAUGCAUAAUCUGGAGAUGUUCACUAAGGAUGAUUUGUUAUACAUAUCAUGAUCUAUCCAACCAUGCCCCUGGUUGGAAUUAUAGACUGCUGUAACAUGUUGUAAUCUUGCUCCAAACUUGCUAAAUAAUGUUGCUGUCAGCCUGUUAAUAUUAAGUUCAAUGUUGCCAUGAUUGUUGUUAGUGAUCCAUGCACCCUAUGAACUUGCUCUUGCCAUUCUUAGCUUCAUAAACAUGUAUUCUUACUGUUAGUUGCCUUUUAAUGCCAUGUAUUGCCCUGUGGUGAGUGGUUCAAGCUCACCAACAUGCCUACUUAUUGCUGUUUCUGCCAUGUAUGAAUCUGUCAUAUAACUUGCCAUGUUUACGUGGGUGCAUCAUAUUUUUUGUGCCUUUUUGGCUAAUGGUCAGUAAGGGAUUUUUGUUAUAUGAGAUUAGGAGAUUCAUGACAUGCCUUUGUUUGCCAUGAUAAGUUCUUGUAACAUGUUGUUUGAUAGCUCUAAACAUUGCAACCUGAUGUUAUUUCUGCUAAUGUCUGAAACUGUUAUUAUUUGCAAUCUUGCCAUGUCUUUUUGAGCAUGUUCUAGUGAUUUCUGGAGAUAGCUCAGUGUUCAUGUUUUGUCAUGCUUUACCUGUACUUCAUGCUCAUGCCUUUUCUUCUUAUGUUGGGGCGUUGUAGCUUGUUGUUUUGAUGCUUGCAAGAUGCCUAGUUGCUGUUUUGGACAGAUUGUUGUCAUAUCUUGUAUAGUGUGUGUGUGUUGAACCGUUGCUCCGUUUUGAGUGUGCUCUAUAUGAAACUUGCUUGAUUUUGCAUGAAGUUUCAUAUUAUCAUGUUGCAUCCUUGUUUUGAGGUGUUCGUUCGAUGUUUGGAUGCAUUUUGCAUCAAUGCCAUGUUUAACUUGUUUUGCUCGUAUCUUCUAGGCCGUAGCUCCGAAUUAAAUGAACUUUGUAUGUAACUUGACUAGAAUUUCGUGUAGAUCAUCUUGGUGCAUCUUAACUUGCUUUUUAACAACUUGAACAUAAGAUUUAUUCAGUUCUGGACCAAUUUCUAAAUUUGCAUAUGAGGACUUACCGGAAUUGUUAUAUGUUGUUUCCGGCCUCAUUUAAACAUGCCUUGAUGUGUUGUUCUUGUUUGCAUCAUCUCUUGCCAUGAGUAGCCUUAUCUAACUUUGUCAUGCAUCAUGCUUGGUUGUGCAUCAUGUCUUGUCUAUGUAUGGUGUGUUUACUAUGUUGUGUGCUUCUUCUCGAUAGUUCCUGUUUCGUUGCGAUCGUGAGGAUUCGUUCGUCUACGCUUGGUUCGUCUUCGUGGCUUCAUCUUCUUCAUGGACUCGUUCUUCUUCCUAGCGGGAUUUCAGGCAAGAUGACCGUCAUCUUGGAUAUCACUACUAUCAUUGCUAUGCUAGUUGCUUCGUUCUAUCGCUUUGCUGCGCUUCCUAUCAUUUGCUCUUCAAGCCUCCCAAAUUGCCAUGAACCUCUAACCUUUGACACCCUUCCUAGCACUACUAGGGAAAAGCCUAUACACAGAAUCUUAUCAGCAACGCGCUUCAAAAUAACUCGCUGCUGCUAACUAGCAGUAGCGCGCACAGACGAAACUCGCUGCUGAGAUAAAUAUAGCAGUAGCGCAUCCAUGCAAAGACGCGCUACUGCUAUAAUUCCUACGAGGCCGUCGCGAGGCUAGUUAUAGCAGCAACGCGUUAUAGCGACACGCGCUGCUGCUAUGUAGCAUAGUAGCAGCGCAUUUCUCAGAUAAGCGCUACUGCUAAGUUUCCUACAAAAAUUUAGUCCCACCUCGCUCCGUGAAGAGAGUUUCUACCACCUUAAAUAUGUUACUUCUCAAACUUUGACAAGCACUUGAUCUUCAUUGAACUCUAUGUGUAGAAUUUGUGGCUGCAAUAUGAGUCUUCACCUGUUCCUAAACCGGUGAGGACUCAUAUUGACAAAUCAGAUUGUACACAAAAAGAUCGUUGAUGAUCAAUGUAUUUUUGAUAUAUUGAACAAAGUCUAUUUUUACAUGCUGACACGUGGCAGUAGCGCUUUAUUGUGAAAGGCGCUGCUGCUAGAUAGCUUAGCAGUAGCGUCUUUUCCUAAAGCGCGCUACUGCUAAGCCAUUCAUCUCCCCAUCUCCUCCAUUCCGAUCCACUCACACACACAGCCACUCAAUCCUCUCCGAUCCGACUGCGCCGCACGCCGGUCCACCCCCGUCGCCCCUCCUCCGUCUGCGUCGCGCGCCGUCACCUCCUCCUCCUUGCUGGACUCGGUACCGGCCUCCUCCUCCGUCCUCCCUCUCCACUCGCUGCUGGCCGGCCCCUCCUCGCUCCGCCUUCCUCCUCCGUCCUCCCUCAACUGGCCGCGCCGGCCGGCCCCUCCUCGCUCCGCCUUCCUCCUCCGUCCUCCCUCAAUUGGCCGCGCCGGCCGGCCCCUCCUCACUCCGCCUUCCUCCUCCAUCCUACUCUCUUCUCCCUCCUCGAGUCGCCCCUCUCCUUCUCCCUCCUGCUCAUAUGCAACAUUUUGAUUUAGUUAUAUAAUUUAGUUGAUUUAGUAGGCUAGUUGAUUUAGUUGACUUAGAACAUUUUGAUUUAGUUGAUUUAGUAGGCUAAUUCAUUUAGUUAAUUUAGUUGACUUAGAACAUUUUGAUUUAGUUGAUUUAGUAGGCUAGUUCAUUUAGUUGAUUUAGAACAUUUUGAUUUAGUUGAUUUAUUAGGCUAGUUGAUUUAGUUGAUUUAGAANNNNNNNNNNNNNNNNNNNNNNNNNNNNNNNNNNNNNNNNNNNNNNNNNNNNNNNNNNNNNNNNNNNNNNNNNNNNNNNNNNNNNNNNNNNNNNNNNNNNNNNNNNNNNNNNNNNNNNNNNNNNNNNNNNNNNNNNNNNNNNNNNNNNNNNNNNNNNNNNNNNNNNNNNNNNNNNNNNNNNNNNNNNNNNNNNNNNNNNNNNNNNNNNNNNNNNNNNNNNNNNNNNNNNNNNNNNNNNNNNNNNNNNNNNNNNNNNNNNNNNNNNNNNNNNNNNNNNNNNNNNNNNNNNNNNNNNNNNNNAUUUAGAACAUUUUGAUUUAGUUGAUUUAGUAGGCUAGUUGAUUUAGUUGACUUAGAAAAUUUUGAUUUAGUUGAUUUAGUAGGCUAGUUGAUUUAGUUGACUUGGAACAUUUUGAUUUAGUUGAUUUAGUAGGCUAGUUCAUAUGCAACAUUUUGAUUUAGUUGAUAUGAUUUAGUUGAUUUAGUUCACUUAGAACAUUUUGAUUUAGUUGAUAUGAUUUAGUUGAUUUAGUAGGCUAGUUGAUUUAGUUCACUUAGAACAUUUUGAUUUAGUUGAUUUAGUAGGCUAGUUGAUUUAGUUCACUUAGAACAUUUUGAUUUAGUUGAUCGUUAAUCCUUUGCUCAUAUUGCUUUAGGAAGAAUGGCGCCACCACCACCACCACUAUGUCGACUGUGCAAGUCAAGAUGCGCCAGUAGCCUUGCAACUGGCAAGCUGUUCGGCAUCUACUUCCAGCUGAGUUUUCGUCAUGCGGCGGUAAGAAAUUAGAUGAAAUGUAAUAACUAUUUUAUUUUUAGUGUUGGCAUUACUGCAUUGUGUCAUUUUGCUUAUUUUACACAGAUCGUCCCAUGCAAUGUGAGGUUGAAAUUCAACAAGCUGACAGGAGACACUGUGACAUUUGAGGCUCCUGGGGGGCCAUACACUAUGGAGGUCGAGAAAGGACGCAAUUUGUCGCAAAUUGGAGAAGAUGGAUGGGCAUGUUUCGUCGCUCGCAUGCAUCUUACUGGUGGUGAGUUGAUCAGCUUCAACUUCCGAGCAGAAAGACCCAAGCUAGCUGUCAUUUAUCUCAACCUGGUGGAAGAUGAUGAAGAUGACGAAGAUGAUGAAGAUGAUGAAGAUAAUGAGGACCCACUCGAUGAAGAUGAUGAGGACCCACUUCAUGAAGCCAUCAUAGCUCAAAGAACAAGGCUGAGUGAGGAGGAGGUGUCCAACCUGUGGGACAUAAUUCCGCAACGUGCUGACUUUGUCGGGGUGCCAUUCGUGACCCGCUUGACAAAUACCAUGGUUGAUCGACAUGAUAUGGUAUGUUAUACUUACAAAUGCAAAUUAAUAGUGUGAAUUACUUAGUGUAUAGUCCAAUGAUAUGGUAUGUUGUGUGGAAUCUAGUCGAUGAUAUCUUUUAGUGUAGAGUUCGAUCACAUGCUUAUUAAUUGAUAUGUUUUUCUUAUUCAGAAAUUGGCAAAGAGCAUAUCUGUGAGUUAUGGUAUCGAGCCUGAUGAAGAAGGCUUAGCUGGACUACGCCUUACUGCAAGGGGCUCCGUCACAACCUGUACUUACCGCGUGGACACGGACGAUCGCAUACACUUAAACUCGGUUGGGUGGAAGAAAUUCCUCGAUGGCAAGAAUCUUCGUGUUGGACAGGCCAUCCUAAUUACUAUCAGGAACACCAACCGCCCAGGCUUGAGGAUGAUGAUUGUCUUCGAUAUCAUCUAGAACUACAUAUGUGUGUGUGGCUAUAUCAUCUAGAACUACAUAUGUGUGUGUGGCUAUAUCAUCUAGAACUACAUAUGUGUGUGUGGCUAUAUCAUCUAGAACUACAUAUGAUGAUCGUCAUCGAUAUCAUCUAGAACUACAUAUGAUGAUGGUCGUUGAUAUGACCUUGUACUGCUUGAGGAUGCAUGUUGGCUAUGCAUGAAAUUGUUAUCUAGUACUCCCUUCAUUCCAAAUUACUCGUCGUGGUUUGAACGAAAACCACGACCAGUAAUUUGGAACGAAGGGAGUACUACCUAGUAAUGGUUUAUGAAUUUGAUAUCUACUAGCAGUACCUAGUAUCUAGUAUCUAAAAGGAGAACUGAAAGGGAAAGGGGUAAUGGGAAAAUGAUGAAAGAUAUAGCAGUAGCGAGGGAUGGCGAAAUCGCUACAGCUAGUUAAUAGUAGAGCGUUCACAAAAAGCGCUGCUGAUAUCGUCAACAGUAGUAGCGCGGGUUAGGGCCGCGCUACUACUAUGAGUUAGCUGUAGCGCCUUAUUAGUAGCGCGGCCACCCACGCUGCUGCUAGCCUCAAAACCCGCGCUACUACUAGGGUUUUCCCUGGUAGUGUAGCAAACCAUUGCUUGGCUAUGUUACCGCUUUGCUCAGCCCCUCUUAUAGCGUUGUUAGUUGCAGGUGAAGUUGAAGAUUGCUCCAUGGUGGACAGGAUUUUGUUGGGAUAUCACAAUAUCUCUUAUUUAAUUAAUGCAUCUAUAUACUUGGUAAAGGGUGGAAGGCUCGGCCUUAUGCCUGGUGUUUUGUUCCACUCUUGCCGCCCUAGUUUCCGUCAUACCGGUGUUAUGUUCCCGGAUUUUGCGUUCCUUACGCGGUUGGGUGAUUUAUGGGACCCCCUUGACAGUUCGCUUUGAAUAAAACUCCUCCAGCAAGGCCCAACCUUGGUUUUACCAUUUGCCUCACCACCACCUACUUUUCCCUUGGGAGUCGCUCUCUCGAGGGUCAUCUUUAUUUAGCCCCCCGGGCCAAUGCUUGUCUAAGUGUUGGUCCGAACCAGAGCCACUUGCAGCGCCACCUCGGGGAAACUCGAGGUCUGGUUUUAGUUGUACGUAGUGUUCAUCCGGUGUUGCCCUGAGAACGAGAUAUGUGCAGCUCCUAUCGGGAUUGUCGGCGCAUCGAGUCCGGGAAGUGAACACGGUCUUUGGGUUAUGAUUGACGUAAGUAGGAGUUCAGGAUCACCUCUUGAUCAUUGCUAGCUUCAUGACCGUUCCGUUUGCUCUCUUCUCGCUCUUAUUUGCGUAUGUUAGCCACCAUAUAUGCUUAGUCGCUACUGCAACCUCACCACUUUACCCCUUCCUUUCCCUUUAAGCUUUGCUAGUCUUGAUACCCAUGGUAAUGGGAUUGCUGAGUCCUCGUGGCUCACAGAUUACUACAACAACAGUUGCAGGUACAGGUUAUGCGAUGAUCUUGACGCGAGAGCGAUGUUUGCUUGUCUAGAGUUCUUCUUCUGCUUCUUCUUCGAUUAGGGGAUAGGUUCCAGGUCGGCAGCCUGGGCUAGUAGGGUGGAUGUCGUUUGAGUUUCUGUUUGUGUUUCAUCCGUAGUCGGGUGGUGCUCUUAUGUAAGAUUUUGUUGUAUUCGUGUGGCAUUGUAUGCCUUUUGUAUAUAUCCCCAUCUAUUAUGUAAUGUUGAUGUAAUGAUAUCCACCUUGCAAAAGCGUUUCAAUAUGCGGGUCUAUCCUUGGUGGGACCUUCGAGUUCCUUUUGGGAUAGGGUCGCAUAUUGGGCGUGACACUUAUGCUUUGUGGGAACUCGGUUUAGGACAUGACACACGGUCAUUAGCGCCUCCCCUACCAUUCCUUGGAAAGACCCGAUGUGUCUAACAUGGCAUUAACCAAAUCAGUUAGAGUUCGGUUCUUUCUUUUGGCCACCCCAUUAGACUGAGGUGAGUAGGGAGGCGUCCUCUCAUGGAUUAUACCAUGUUCCGCACAAAACAGAUCAAAUUCAUUGGAAAAAUACUCUCCAACAUGAUCGGACCUAAGUCGUUUAAUUUUUCGAUCAAGUUGGUUCUCUGCCUCGGCUUUAUAGUUUUUGAAGAAAGUUAAAGCCUCAUCUUUUGAUUUCAGAAGAUACACAUAACAAUAUCUAGUGGAGUCAUCAAUCAACGUCAUGAAAUAUCUCUUUCCACCUUUUGUCAACACGCCAUUCAUCUCACAGAGAUCAGAAUGUAUAAGCUCUAGUGGCGCCAAGUCUCUUGCCUCUGCAGUCUUAUGGGACUUGCGAGGUUGUUUAGCUUGCACACAUACUUGGCACUUAGAGCCAUUGACAGUAGAGAUUUUCGGAAUUAAAUUCAUAUUGACUAGCCGCGUCAUGCAACCAAAGUUAAUAUGACAAAGUCAUGAAUGCCAAAUAUCCGACUCAUUAUUGUGGCAAACAUUAUUAAUAACUUUAGUGCAAAUAUCUGACAAAGAUAUGCGGAACAAGCCUCCGCACUCAUAGCCUUUUCCAACAAAUUGUCCACACCUGGAAAUUACAACUUUAUUGGACUCAAAAACCAACUUAAAACCAUCAAACUUGCCUUUGCCUUGAAUUUUGUUCUUGUUGUUUUUGAACUUGUUGGGGUGGAAGUUCUUCUUCUGUACCAUGUGGGCACUAGAAGCUCCCUCGGCAACUCGAGCACGUGUGUCCUUUGCUCUCACCUUCUCUUCAACAUCAAGAGUACCAAUGAGAUCCGCAACGGAAAACUCUUGUCUCUUGUGUUUCAUGGAAGUAGAAAAAUUGUUCCACGAAGGUGGAAGCUUGGCAAUGAUGCCUCCGGCAACAAAUUUGUCCGGCAACACACACUUGAAGUACUCAAGUUCUUUUGCGAGCGACUAUAUCUCAUGAGCCUAUUGUACAACAGAGCACUCAUUAGUCAUCUUGUAGUCAUAGAAUUGCUCCAUGACGUACAACUCGCUGCCGGCGUUCGAGGCACCAAACUUGGCCUCGAGCGCAGCCCACAUGUCCUUGCGGUUUUCAAACGACAUAUAUGAGUCCACAAUGGAGUCAUCAAGGACACCCAGAAGAGCGCCUUUAAAGAGAGUAUUGAUCUUCUCAAAAGUUUCCAGCUGUGCCAGAUUAAGAUCGCCCUUAGGCUUGCCCUUGGUGGCGUCAUAGCAGCCGAUGGUCUGAAACCAGUAGACUGCUCUCGUGCGCCACCUUUUAUAUUGCGCCCCCUUAAAGGCAAGCGGCUUCAGAUGCGCAGCAAAACCAUUCGGAGCAAAUUGCCUAUAAUCAGGUUUUUGGAUUGUUGGAAAUAUGAGCAAAUUACUAUGAGAUUUAAUCCAAAUAAAUAGAAGAUAAAUCAUGACUACAAUAGUAGAGAUUGAACUAAUCAUGCGAACUAAGAUAGUAGAUGAACAGAUCACAUCUAGGGCACAUACUAGAAACAUGAAUUCUACCACGAUCUCGAACAGGAAAGAUAGAAUCACAUACGGUGCAGCGGGAGCAGCACCGCCGGCGUUGACGUUGUCGCCCAUGUCGUCGAGAAUGAGGUUGCCGAGGUCGGGGAAGAAGUCGUCGUUCGCGAAAGUCGUCGCUACCAGCAGUCACGUGAGUGCCCUCCCCACAAACCUGAUCGCCCCUCUCCCCUACAGGAUCACGAGAGGCAGGGUUCCGGAGGCCUGCUGUCCCUUCUCCCGGUGCACGCCAAAAGGAGGGAUGGAGAAGACUUGCUUGGCGGCGCAAUGAUCUGGAACGGUGGUGAGAAACCAUACGAAGCGGCAGCGGCUAGGGUAGACGUCUGCCUAACUAUAUAGUGCGGGCCGGGUAGGUCGUGAGAGUAAACCCCACGUUCGAGUCGUCACGAUCCAAAAGAAUCAGAAACGGUUCAGUAAUUAACGCGUCCGUUAAUUAUUAAUUAAUGACUCAUUAAUUUUUCCCGAGCAGCAAAAAUAUAGACAACGUGCAUAGCUCUAUCCUCGGCUCGGCUCAAUCCCGCAACCCGCGGCGCGGCGCGUCGUGACGAGGCGAGGCGUGGCGAGCAAGGAGGAGGAGCGCGCGUGUAGGUCUCUUCUUCUCAUACUCAUACAAGUGGUAGGAGAGCUCACCUUAUAAAGAGGUGCAACUCUCUCUCAACUUAUGAGGUGGGACUAAACUUUAGCCUCACUCACUCCACUCACAUGUGUGCAUGAAUGGGCCAAGAGAAUUUCAGAAUUUUAGUUGGGCUUUGGGCCAAAAGCCCACUAACAAAUUCCAACAAAAGGCAUAUGUAGUACUUCCUCUAGAUGGUAAUAUAAGAUUCAUCGUCAAAUGAAAUUUCUAAGCAUUUUUUUGGGUAUACUACACAUAUUUUGCUAGUUAAAUUGACGAUCUAAAUUCCCGUGCUCAACUUAUAUUCCUAUCCAUAGAGAGUAUUACCAUUUGUUUGCGCAAUAGUAAUGCAUUUACUCUAGACCAAAUCAUUUAUAACACUAUGCUUCCUAAUUUUCAAGCCCUCAUAAUUAAUUGAGGUCUUCAAUUUGGACCGGGUCAACAAUUUCUCAAGGAGCUCUUUCAUUUAAUUUUUUUAAUGCAAUGUGUUCCCUAAAUUUGGAGCUCUCUCAAUCAAUUGAAUUAUUCAAUUUUUAAAAUUUGGUUCAUGAUAUUUACCGGGUCAACGAUAUUUUAAACUAAACAGCAGCAACCAGCCUAUAAAAACAUAUCAAUCUCGUGUGCCCUCUCAUCGCCUAAAAAAAAUAAGCAUCAAAAUGUUAUAUUAUAGACUACAGUAUGUCAGUAUCAAUAUAGUACAUGCAACCACCAACGAAAAAAAGCCCAUAUAAGGAUGAGUUGAUUAGCAGAUAACACGGAAUCGCACUGCGAAAGGCCCACCCAAAACACCACAUUAUAAAAAAAACUCCAUCAUCUCCCCCACUCGCCAAACCAAAUACUCCCUCUUUCCAAAAUAUAAGGUUUGUUUGGUUUUUGAGAAGUCAAAUUUCUUUAAAUUUGACAAAGUUUAGAGCCAAAAAAUAUCAACAUCCACAAUACUAAAUAAAUGAAAUAUGAAAAUCCAUUCAAAAUGAAUAUAAUGAUAUCGAUUUGAUAUUAUGGAUAUUGAUAUAUUUAUCUAUCAAUUUAGUCAAACUUAAAUCAUCUAUAACACUAUGUUCCCUAAUUUUAAAGGUCUCACAAUUACUUGAGGUUUUCAUUUGGAAUUGGGUCACCCGAUUUUGACCAGGUCAACAAUUUUUCAAGGGGCUCUCUCAUUCAAUUCUUUUAAUUCACUAUGUUCCCUAAUUUUGGAGCUCCCCAGUCGAUUGAAUUAUUCAAUUUUGAAUUUAGUUCAUGAUAUAUCAUCCCUAAUUUUUUCAAUCAAACGGCAGCAACUAGCCUAUAGAAACAUAUCAUCCCGCUCUCAUCGCCUAGGAAAAAGAAGCGUCAACAUGUGAUAUUAUAGCACUGAUGUAGUACAUGCAGCCAUCGACGUAAAAGAGUUUUCCAUAUAGUAUGAGUUGAUUAGAAAGGCCCACCCAAAACACCACAUUAUAAAAAAACACUCCAUCAUCUCCCCACCCACCAAACCAAAUACUCCCUUGGUUACAAAAUAUAAGGUGUGUUUGUUUCUUUAGAAAAAGUCAAAUUUCUUUAGCUUUGACAAAUCAGAGCCAAAAAAUAUCAACAUCCACAAUACUAAAUAAAUAAAUAUGAAAACUCGUUACGUAAUGAAUCUAAUGAUACCGAUUUGAUAUUAUGGAUAACUUAAAGAGGUUUGAUUUUUCAAAAAAUUAAUUCACCUUAUAUUCUAAAACAAAGGGGAUAAAAAUUAUGAAAAUCCAAUAGCAGCAACGACGCAUCAGAGUGCGCCCAGCCCUUCUAGUUAUUGUUAAACUAGAUAAUAUACCGCGGGUUGCUGUGGAAAUUUGUAGCAACAAACUUACCAAAAAAUAAAUUAGAAUGUAUGAGAGUAGUGCCGCACCACAUUCAAUCUAGAGGUAGAUGGAGGCUAGAUGCAUGUUAUGUUGUCUUGUGACAUUCAAGUUCAGUCAUUUAUUAUUAAAAAAAGAUAUGGAGGGUUUUCAUGUGCUUGAUGAUGUGGAGGGCUUGCAUGUGGUGGAAAGUGAAAAAUGAAAAGUAAAACGUUGAAUGGUUGCAUGGUGCUUGAUGAUGUGGAGAAUGUACAUUUGGUGGAAAGUGAAAAUAGAACGUUGAUUGGUGGCAUGUGCUUGAUGAGGUGGAUGACUUGCAUAUGCAUUUAAGUAGGAGAUAACAUGUGUUGGACAUAUGUGAUGAGGUGGAUGGCUUGCAUGUUAAGAUAAAUAAGAUAGUGGGAUGAAUUUUUUACGUAUAGAGGACUUCAUCUUCAUGUCCCAAACUGUUUAUUCGUCCUAGUAUUGAAGAUUAUUAUAUAACUUAACUUAGGGCAUCUCCAACACGGAUCAUUACUUCACCAUCAAAUGUUUGGACUGAAUGGUCCUGGCACUUAUAGGCUCCAACUUGGACCCCUUUAUUAGACCGGACAGCCGCAGACGUCCAAAGUCCCUCAAUCCGGUCCUCAAUCAAGGGACAGAGUUGGGGAGUACAAGCGUAGUAUUACCAUUUAUUUAUGCAAUAAUCUAGCAUUUACUUUAAACUACUCCUAAAUUUGAAGUCCCAAAUUGUUUCUCCAACCUAAUAUUGUAGAUAUUUACAUAACUUGCCAUUAAUGGCAGGCAUGUUCGUUUGGAAUGGUGCAAUACACAUAACCGAAUUGUGGUUGGUGGCAGUUGUGGUUCCAGUCUUCCGUGGCAACGAUGAUGAUGCGAGCGAUGUCGAUGACUCGACAAUGCUUGAGGUAGUCGUCACUUCUCCAGCGUGUUUGCGGGAUUGCCUCGAUUUAUUUGUUGAUGUGAAGUCAGUUGCCUCGGCGGAGCCCUGUGGCAUACAGUGACUGGUUGUAGGUGGACCGUUCGGUGAUCUUCCAUGGUGCUACCGGUGCCUGGUUUUGUCCUUCGUGGUUCUUCUCGAGUCAGAGCUAUGCUGCGUGGGUUUUGAAGGAUCUUCCUAAAACUUCAUUUGGCCUCUAUAGUGUAGGUUGAGUCGACAAUCGCCUACAACGAAGUCGAAGUCGUUUGCUCAUGGUUUUUUUGCUAGAAACUUAUGGGAGCUUUAUUGACGAAGUAGCAUGAAAUUACAAUCAGCCCUCAGGCUGUUAACUAGGAAAGAAGGGCAAUCCUCAAGCCAACACUCCGAAGCCAAUAAGGCGGAAGCCUUCUUGGCACACAGAUCAGCCAGAGUAUUCACCUCCCUGGGUACAUGCCUAAUCAAAAAAGAAAUAAAAGACAGAGAUUUCUCCCGAAUUUCAUCCAAGAUAGGCGCGACAAUUGACCUCGAACUAUCACGCGAAGACCAGAGGUUGACAACCUCUAAACAAUCCACCUCCAUCACUACGUGUGAGAACCCACGUAGUUGUGCGAAGAUAACUCCUUCCCAUAAUGACAGAGCUUCAGCAACGAAAGGGUCUGACACUCCCGGAAAAGGUUUGCUCCACGCUCCCACGAACGACAGAUGAGACCUUGCCACGCCUCCUCCUCCCGCGCAUGAAGCUUCAGUAUUGAUUGCACCAUCCGUAUUAAUCUUAAUCCAUCCCGCAUCAGGAGGACGCCACUGUAGACCCAAAACGCCUCGAACAGGUUUUGGAAAUUCAAGCAACAACAAAUCAUUACGAACAGUUUUAAUUGCGUGAACUGGAUCAUAAGCUGGUUGAUCAUGAGUCCACCGAUUCCUUGACGACCAGAUCGCAUGCAUAGCAAUAAUAAUUUUUCCUCUGUCCUGGUCCAUAAUCUGGUCAUCCAUGAGCACAUCCCUUGCCCACUUGCCCGAGUCCAGCAGUGGCAAAUUGAUACCCAUAAAAUCACGCGCCGCACUCCAAAAUAGCCCCACAUGAGAGCAUCCAAUCAGCGCAUGGUGCAAGUCUUCCGUCGUAGUCUUGCAUAUAUCACAUAUCGCCGUUGUACGUAUAUGACGAUGAUGAAGGGUAGCAUAGUCCGGGAGAAUAGCCCGUAACACUCGCCACCAAAAUACUCAUACUCUGGGAAUAACCUUGAGCUUCCACAAGGCAGUCCACAUGUGUUUUUCUGACGGUGAUGGUUCCGUUAUCGUUCCUUCCUUUGGAGCAGACUGCUCGUUAUGAGUCACUAGAACACGAUAAGCUGAUUUAACAGAAUAAACACCAGACCUCUCCAAAUCCCAGGCAAUAAAAUCCUCACCUCCGGAUGCUCUUAAUGGUAUGUUCAGUAUAGCUGUAGCAUCUGAUGGUAGAAAGUUCCUUCUGGCUAGUUCAACAUCCCAUGCCCCCAUCUCAUGAUCGAACAACUCUGAGACCCGGGGUAUGGGAUCAUCCCCAAUCCGACCUGUUGGCUUGCGCGUACUCGUGUUCGGGAUCCACCGAUCCGACCAGGUGGAUAUAGAUUCACCGUUCCCAACACGUUUAAUCAAGCCACAUUCCAGCGCCUUUCGACAUGCGAUGAUCGCCUUCCAGGUCGCCGAUGAUGAGCGAGGCGCCUGUGCUUCCAUGAAAUCACAAUUAUGAAAAUAUUUACCCUUCAAAACUCUAGAGCAUAAGGAGUUGGGAUGGGUCAGCAACCGCCAUCCAUGCUUGCCAAGUAAGGCUAGAUUAAAACUUUCAAAGUCCCUAAACCCCAUACCUCCAUUCGCCUUUGGAGCGGUGAGAUUUUCCCAAGACACCCAAUGCAAAGACCGGCGGUCAAUGGAGCUACUCCACCAAUACUUUGCCAUUGGAGAUGUAAGUUGCGAGCAAACUUUCUUGGUCAACCGAAAACAGGACAUGCUAAACGUGGGUAUGGCUUGAACCACCGAUUUGAGCAAGAUCUCCCUACCUGCACAUGCCAAGUUUCUCUCGCACCAUCCUUGCAUUUUGUUCCUGCCCCUCUCAACAAUAUGAGGGAAGCUGCCACUCGUAAUCUUACCAACCGCUGUUGGUAGACCCAAAUAUCGUUCAGUGAAGGCUUCCACCACGAUUCCAAGUGUUUGCUUAAUAUCCCUUCUCAACUCAUGAGAAGCAUUGGGGGUGAAGUAAACUGCACUUUUCUCACAGUUGACUGCCUGGCCAGAGCAGGCAGCAUAGAUCCUGAGAAUAUCAUUCAAUCGAUUUGCACUCUCCACUUUGGUGUUCAUGAAUAUUAAACUGUCAUCCGCAAAGAGCAAAUGAUUAAUCCAUGGGGAGUGAACGCUCACUCUGAUCCCCCUAUCAAUAUAUGCACCACCAUAAUAAUUCAUCAAGGAGGUUAGGCCUUCUGCACAUAUCAAAAAAAGAAAGGGAGAGGUUGGAUCACCCUGGCGUAAACCUCUGGAUGGUGUGAAGUAUGGCAAUAACAACCCGUUCACCUUCACAGCAAACCGGACGGAGGUAACGCAUUUCAUGACGAUACAAAUAAACUUCUCGCCGAAACCAAGCCUAGAUAGCAUGGCCUCCAAAUAAUGCCACUCAACCCGAUCAUAGGCUUUCAGCAUAUUGAGUUUAACAGCACAUGAGGAUUGCUUGCAUCGUUUCUUUUUCUUCAUCGCAUGUACCAUUUCAUAAGCUACCAGCACGUUGUCUGUAAUCAGACGUCCUGGCACAAACGCACUUUGUUCCUCUCCAAUAAUCUCGUCCAUCAAGCCCCGGAGCCUGUUUGUGAUUGCCUUUGAUGCAAUUUUGUACAAAACAGGGCACAGCGAAAUUGGUCGGAAUUGAGAGAUUUUUUGGGGAUUACGUACCUUAGGAAUGAGGGUAAUAGCUGUGUCAUUUAGGCCCAAAGGUAAUUCGCCCCCAUUCAGAAAAUCUAGGAUAGCAGCGGUGACAUCUGCCCCUAAUAUAUCCCAAUGGCGCUAAAAAAAUCCCGCAGUAAACCCAUCCACACCUGGCGCCUUGGAUGGCGCCAUCUGGAAAAGAGCCACUCGCACCUACUCCGCUGUAAAAUCCUUUUCCAACAAAGCAUUCAUAGCGUCAUUGACACGAGCAGGAACUAAUUGCAAAAGAGCGGACAUAUCAUUAAAGCCCUGCAAUUGAUAUAAGUUUUGGUAGAAACCCAUGAUUUCCUGUUGCACUUCCACCGGGUCAUCACAUGUUGUACCAUCCGCCCUCUCAAGGGAGGAAAUUCUAUUUGUUCGGCUUCGCUUCGCCGCUUGGGCUUGAUAAUAUUUUGUAUUACGGUCCCCUUUGCGCAGCCAAUCAAUUCUUGACCGUUGCUUUAGCCACACCUCCUCUUGCCUCAAGGUUUCUUGAAGCUGUGCCGCCACUGACAGCUCCUCCGCAUUCGGUCCCCGUCCUAUCGAGGCCGCUCGAAGACGCUCCAGAUUUUUCUGCAGUUUUUUCACCUUCUUGGUGAUGUUGCCAAACUCCCGAUCACCCCAUGCACCCAGUUUUUCCUGAACAGACGUUAGCGCAAGCAUAACGCCCUCCAAUCCUUGAUGACCCAUCUCUGACCGCCAAAUAUCAUUCACCAAUGCAUCAUAGUCAUUGUGAGACUGCCAAACAUUUUCAUAACGAAACGGGCGUCGACCACGUCGCUCCCCACGUUCCUGAACACACCUCAACUCAGCAAGAACAUAGCAAUGAUCUGAAGCCGUUGAGCUAAUAUGUUUCACAGAAGAGUACGCGAACAAUGACAGAAAAUCUGCAUUGCCAACAGCACGAUCGAGUCGUGCUUUCACAUUGGAAUUUCCUUGCUGUUUAUUGUCCCAUGUAAAAGGAACACCUCUCCAGCCUAGGUCUUGAAAGGAACAGUGAUCCAAAACCUCCCGGAACCCUCGCAUUUGCCACUCCGGCCUCGGAUGGAUGCUAAAAUGCUCAUCAGCAUACAUAGUUUCAUUAAAAUCUCCCAUACAGAGCCAACCAGAAUGUGGAAUUGCAUGUAAAGUACGCAAGAACUCCCAACUAUGAUGUCUAUUUUCAGUUCGAGGUUCUCCAUGAAAACUCGUGAAGCGCCAAGCUUGCUGCUCAUCGCUAGACUUGACACUUACAUCGAUGUGCGCACGACUAUAGUUCUUCAGCUCAACAGUUACAUUAUAUGUCCAGAACAAACCAAUGCCACCACUAAGGCCGUUGCUAUCAACAGCAAAACACCCCGAAAAACCCAGGAGGUUCUUCAGACUCUCAACUUUGGUCCCUUUAAUCUUUGUUUCCAUGAUAAACAGAAGGGAGGGUCCUUCCUGCUUCACAAUCUUGCGAAGCUCACGAACUGUCGAUGGGUUCCCAAGCCCCCGACAGUUCCAGCUCAAGCAAUUCAUUGGGACGGGCAGGGCUGUCCAGCAGCCUCUGCCGAAUUCUCAGGAGUUGGCUUCUUCUUCUUCGGAAGCAUGUUAUAACCAUACUCAGCCCCAGAGUCGUCAUCCACUUUGUCAUCCUUUGCAUCAGCCGGAGGAACAAUCCCAGGCUGCUCGCCGGCUUCUGUCAGCAGAAGCUGUGGUGUAGUUUCCACAUGACGGUAGACCUGCUGAGGUGCUUCCUUUCUUUUUUGUUGAUUCUUCUUCUUAAUCGGUGAGUUCACCUCGUUGCCCCCCGCCGGUACAUUGCUGGAAUUCUUAGACUCCCUCUUGCUGUCCGAGCCCGACUGCUGUCUGGCCGCAGACUCCCCCGAUGCAGUUUUCCUGCGCUCCUCCGGUGCCCUCAACUUCAGACCAAAAGGUAGCUCACCCUUAUCAUCCCGUUGACCCGGAGUUGGGCAAAACGGAUCAGAGUGACCAAGACGGCCACAAGAGAAACAGAAGUGGGGUAUGUUUUCAUACUGGAUAUCAUAGGGAUCCUACUUCUGUCUCUUUGCUGACUCGAUGACAAUCCACCGUCGUAGCGGUUUAUUCACAUCAAUGGAAACUCUCGCCCUCAGAAAGCCACCCAUGUGAUCAAACUGUGCGUGAGUAGCUCCUUUAUCAAUCUGCUUUGCAAUAACUUUUCCCCAUGAGUCAUCCCGAAGGUUGUAGGGUAGGUUCAAAACCCUAGCCCAUAGAUGCAAACUAUCAAACUUCACCUCAUCGGGUCUCAUACAAUCCUUGAAAUCUGCCAAGAUGACCGCAUUCUUACUGAUAUGCCAAGGCGAUCCGUCCCAGAUGCGGUCCCUAUCUCGCUGCGAUUCAAAUUCAGCAACAAAAAUAUUCUCUCCCAUCGAUCUGAAUUGAAGUCCCCGAGGGUUCCCCCACGCCGGACGCAGAGCAUUAGUGAUGGUAUGGAUGUGGAGCACGCUGCGAUGCAGCACCUUCCCUGCUAGUAGCCACUUCUCCGGCGCAUCCUCCUCGCGAUCAUCAAUGACCAACGGAGUAGCUUCCUCGCCGGUGAUCCCCAACUUCCCAAGAGCCUCCUCCAAACGAGCCCUAUCUGUGCGCAGCGGGUCCGAAGCCCCCGCUGAUUGCUUGCCAUGAUCAGAUGUAGCCAUCUUCUCCGGAGAUCGAUGCGCUCCGCCGGACGAGAUCGACGAGCGCGAGUUUUUUCCCCCGAGCCCCCGUCGCCGCCGCCAGGGAGGUUUAGGGUUUCGUGGAAAAGUUACUGGACGCUCCCAUAGACUUUGCUCAUGGUUUAGGGAUGACGAUGACGUCUCUAGGGGAGGAGUGAUACAGUAACGCCUGUGUGUUGUCUCAGCGAGGCCCACUUUGGAGUGGUGCGCGUGAGUUUUUCUUACGUGUGCCGCUUAGCGGUUGUGAUGGUUUUGUCCGGUUUUUUAUAAUUAACUGGGCAAUUUGAUUUUCCUUAAUUAACUAAACAAUUCUUUUUCUUCUUGAUGGACGCAGGAAUCCCGUCAUUUCGAAAAAAGAGAGCUCCGUGCUGUAAAAAAGAACAGAAACAAAAAUGGAGUUCGUACUGCCGAUGAGCACGUUCAAAUCCAGUCGACGAAGCUUGCAGGCCAGCCGCACUGUCGACUGUCAGACACUCGCGCACCAGCUGAUGAGCAAAGCCGGGGCAGUUCCUAGGAGGGUGCUGUUCAGAUCCGGGGAGGCGGGGGUUUGCUUCUGAUUAUCCGCUGUUCAGACCCUCUCGCUGUCUUCAAUCCCCAGUCACCCAAUUUUGAGGAUGCUUCUAGAUGCAGGAUCGUUGGGCGUGGACCGUGAGAAAGACCAGUGGCCGACGAGGCGCUCGCGCCCUCCACCAACGGUGUGCUUGCCGGCAUGUCCAACGGCGAGCGGCGCCCCUGGAUGGGCAUGAACGCCCACCACCUGUUCGACCAAAGGUUUCAGAGCAGCCACCGCCCCUUUGUACAUCCAUCCAGGUCAGUGAAAAUGAGGUUAUGUUGUGUGUACAGUACAAACUUGGAAAGCCAUCAAAACCCCGUCAACACAGCCAUGGCAAACGACCUUAGGGUGUGAUUCAACCUGGUUCUGGAAUAUUAUUAGGAGGUUAACUAGCGAACCAUGCCACACCGCCUUAGGGCCAAUUUAACCUGGUUUUUCAAUUAUUCUUAAGGGUGUUAAGAUUAUAUAACCAGUUCUAUAAAUGACGGGCUUCAGUAUUUCUGGGAUUUAAAAUGGAGUUACUACCUUUAUCUACUGUCGUGCUACUUUUAACCGUCUUAAUCUUCAUGUUAAGUACAAAUACACAUUUUUAAGCAGAGGAGCAAUAUAUGCAUGCCUGGCAACAGCAAGCAAAUUGAAAAACAGAGAAACGGAAUAAAUAGUACUACUAGUUUAUUAUUAGGUGUCAGAAAAAAAGCAGAGUAAGACAGGAAAGCUUCAAGGCUGAACAUUAUUCCAUAGAGCUAAGUUGGUUGAAAUUUGCAUACACAAUAGAUUUUUUUGGACGAAUGCAGCUGGGCUGCUUCAUUAUAUUUAGAUAGAUAGGGUUUACAUUGAUGCCGUGAGGCGCGGCAAAGCAAAAGAAAAAUCACAAGCUACAGGGGAGGGGCAGGCUAGGAAAAGCUUCACAAUAGGCUUUCCCUUUUGGACAAAAGAAUUACUUAGUCAAGAAACGUAAACUAGUCUUCUUCAAGGCACCAUAUGCAUUUUCCUUUUCCUCAGCCCUGCAAUGCUGAAAAUGAUUCUUUGAUUGCGACAACUUCGUUGUGUAUUUCCUGCAUAGUUGGCCGAUCUUUAGGUGUCUCCGCAGAGCACAACAACCCAAGCUCAAUGAGCUUUAUGAUGCAGUUCAUUGCAGCCAUUGGAUGAGUUUCCCGGUCUAAAUCACCGCCUGCAUCUUCACCUUCAUCUCUAUAACCUGGAACUACUCUAGGGUCUAGAAUCUCCUCAAUCUUUUGAGGAAAUGAUUUUUCAACAAAUUUGUAAAGGCUCAGGCCAUCUUUAAACAUCUCAUCAGUUGGGCGCUUUCCUGUUAGCAUUUCUAAGAUGAUGACUCCAUAGCUAAAUACAUCGCCUCAGUGGAGAUUUUGCUCCCAAAUCCAUAUUCUGCAGUAUGCAUAAGUCAUUCAAACAAUCAAUUAACACAACUUGCAUUCUUUUUAAUUAAAAGCAAAGCAUCUUCUAUUUAGAAAAUAUUACCUGGGGCAAUGUAUCCAACUGAUCCUCUUGGCCCCACUAAGCUUGAAGAAGUAUGAAUGUCCGAAGAAUUGUAACUAUGCAGGAACUUAGCCAACCCGAAAUCGCCAACACGUGCGCCCAUGAAAUCAUCCAAAAGGACAUUGCUAGGCUUCAGAUCGCAGUGUGCCAUGGCACACAUUGGUUAUGGAGGUAAUCCAAAGCAGCAGCUAUGUCCACUGCUAUUACUAUUCUUGUACCGAAACUCAAUGGCCUUCUCUGACCAUCCUCAUGGACUGUUGGAUGGAGCCAACUUCCCAGGUCGCCGUUAACACUAUAUUCAAGAACAAUAGCUUUGAAAUCAUGUCCUGUUGGAUCAAUGGUUGAGCAUGCAGUAAUCACCCUUAUAAGAUUCCUGUGACGAGUAUUUCUCAAUGCUUCACACUCAGCAAUGAAGCUUUUUGGUGCACCGAGUUGAUUGAGUUUGAAAACUUUGAUGGCAACUUCAUGUUCUUCAGAUUCAAUUCUACCUCUGUACACAGACCCAUAUUUUCCUGAACCGAUCAAGUUAUCUGAUGAGAAACCAUUUGUUGCCCUCAUUAAAUUAGCAUAUGUGAACUUCUUCAACUCUUUGCAGGAUGGAUGAGCUGCUUGUUUGAGUUUCUUUUUCUUCUUCAAAAUAAUGGUUGCAAAGCAUGAUAACAGGACCAAAGAGAGAACUGUAAAUCCUACUAUCUUGAGAAUGCUGGAGCUAUUCCUUUGUUUGGAUGCCUCUGCAUUGCAAAAUGGCACCCGUAGCAAUCGCGUGCUGGUACAUAACUUCAUGUUCCCUUGAAUAAAAACCUUUCUUCCAUUCUGAAAUAUUCCAUCUGCUGGUACAGGACCCUCGAGAUUGUUGAAGGACAAAUUGAGAAGCUUCAUAGACUUAAAGGACUUAAAGAUGUCAGGGAUUUCACCUGAUAAAUUGUUUUGAGAUAGAUCCAUCUCAAUGAUGCCUCCCAAACUUAUGAAGGAGCGAGGGAUUUUCCCAUGAAAGAGGUUACCCUCCAUGUGGAGGGACUCCAGAUGGACGCACUGACCUAGAGUGGGGGGUAUUUGUCCAGACAGUUGAUUAUGGGAAAUAUUCAGUGGCCCAAGAUUUUUCAGGCUGCCAAUCUCCGGAGGUAUCUGUCCAGAGAGUUGGUUGUGGGACAAGUCCAAACCCUGGGAAAGGGAGGGAAGAGAAAACAACUCCUUUGGUAUUCUCCCAUCAAAGCUGUUACAAGAAAGGUUUAGUGUUUCUAACUUCUUGCAACCUGCUAAAGCUCCUGGGAUAGGGCCACUAAAAUUAUUUUCCUGUAAAUAGAGCUCACUCAGUUGACUCAGUUUACCGACAGAAAGUGGAAUUGAUCCGGAAAGUUUGUUCUGAGACAAGCUUAAGACAAACAAGUUGGAAAGAUUUCCAACUGAUUCAGGAAGAUUUCCAGUAAGCAAAUUUUGUUCCAUGUAAAGACGUCUGAGGCUUGUCAAGUACUGUAUCUCCAAAGGUAUAGUGCCAGAUAUUCUAUUUGAUCUUAAUAACAAUAACUCUAAACUCUUUGAAAGGCCUGCAAUGGAAUUGGGCAAGACACCCUCAAGGUUGUUUGCAUCCAAGCGCAACUUCUCCAGUUGUGUGCAAUUGGUCAAUGAGAAUAAGAAAGACCAAUCUCCUGCUUGAAGUUGGUUCCAGCCUAGAUUCAGAUCUACUAGACUAGGAAGAGUCCCAAAAGAAGGAACAAUACCAUGGAAUGAAUUGUCACGGAGGUUGAUCACCUGAAGAUUGGUUGUGUUGGCUAUUGAAAUGGGGAUUUGUCCGGUGAAGUUGUUUCCUUGCAUAAUCAAAGUGUGGAUGUUUGGAAGGGUAUAUCCGAUGUUAUAUGGAAUUUCCCCCACAAGUAUGUUCAUACCCAUGCCAAGGUAUGUAAGUGAUGAUAUGUUGUAAAGAGUGUCAGGGACUGUCCCAGACAAAGAAUUAUAAGUGAGAUCUAGUACUCAGGUACAGAAUAUUGCCUAUACUCAUUGGGAUUCUACCUUGGAAAUUAUUAUCUCCAAGCAAGAGGUAGCGAAGCGAAGAAAAAUUCCCUAAAGAAGAAGGUAUGGUGCCAGAAAGAUUGUUUGAUUGCAAUUUAAGAUAUUGCAAGGGUGGGCCAAUGUUCGACAAAGCUGGUAUGGACCCGACAAAGUUGUUCAAUCCUAGUGAUAAUUUUUGAAGCGACAUGCUGUUAAGCAACGCAGAAGGAAUCUCACCGGUCAUGUGAUUGUUUGUUAAGUCCAGAAGUUGAAGGGAUGAACUAUUAGCGAGGAGAGGCGGGAUAUGUCCAGUGAGGCUAUUGUUCACAAGAACAACAGAGCGAAGAGAAGAGCUGCUCCCAAGUGCAGUCGGGAUGUUGCCCGUCACGCUAUUUGUAGCAGGAUGUAGAAGUGAGAGGUUGCGGAGCGUCCCCAAUCCUUGCGGGAUACCUCCACUCAGCUUGUUGCGACCCAAGUAGAGCUGCUGCAUAUCUGAACAUUGGCUCAGGCUUUGGGGGAUCACUCCAUCAAGGGAGUUGCUUCCAAGAUCAACAAUUUGAAGGUGAAAGCAUGAAGACAGAGUGCUUGGGAUCACUCCACUAAGAUAGUUUGAGCUGAGGUUAAGGUACCGCAACCGAUUUAGUUGGCCAAUUUCAGGUGGAAUUUGACCACCGAGUUGAUUGUUGGGGACGUGCAUUCUUGUGAGGAAAGUGAGGUUGCCAAUGCAAGCAGGUAUUUGGCCAUCGAGAUUAAACGACUCGAGGUCCAGCGCAACGACACGAGGCGCGUGUCUCUUGCUGCAAGUAACACCGGACCAACCGCAGAAGUGCAGUGAGUCGUUCUUCCAUGAAGCUUGGGAAUUGGGAUGGUGAGGUUGAUUGAGACGCUUGAAUCUGUGAUGGAUGUGAUUCAUCCGGCGCGUACUUAUAGGGCGCCCGCUACUUGCAUCCAUGCUUGAUCGGAGUACAUGUGAAUAGUAAGUUGAUCAGUAGUGUUCCAUGCAAGUACUCCGUCGUGUGUAGAGUAGUGAUCCACUUGCGUCCAUUUGAUCUAAUGUGAACGGCGUAUCAGUGGUCUAUGUACGACCGGUGACUCCGUGAGCCGGAAUUGGGGAUCAUCAAGGCUUACCUUGGAUGCAGUUUGAAACUGGCUACGCGGAGUGCUAGCCACUUGACGUUUAACCAGAUUCCAUAUUCAGUAGCACCGGAUGCGGAAUCGUAGAGAAAAUGUGAGAUAACGAAUCUGGUUCUCACCUACAGAGGAAGCGGCAAGCUCGCCCUCUCUUAGUCUUGAAUAAUCUGGCUCACGAAAGCAGUGAAGUCCGGCCUACAGGCAGAGGAAACGGCAAGCAGUCUCAGUAAUCUGAUUCGCGACGGCAGGUCGGCAGCGAAGCCAGCAACACUAUCUCAUAAAAAUCCACCAAACGGGAGGGGAUAAUGCAAAUUGUGUUUGGAAGUGAUAAUUGCAAUAAAAUAAAUACGAGUUCAGAUUAUAAACAGAAAUAAGAGUGCUUUGAUCGAGGUGGAAAGCAAUAGGGAUGAAUGGUCCAGGAUCCUUAGUUUCGCUAGUGACAUCUCUCAAUAACAAAACACGACAUGGUGACCAAAUUACAAUUGUGUAUCUAUUAAUUGCAGUUUACUCCCUCCUACGAAUAAGCGUAUGUUUGGCAUUCAAAAUUUGUUCAUAAAAGAGUGUACUUAUAUUUUCUCAGUGCAUUUUAAAGUAGAAGAAAAUGCUUCUCUCUCGUCACCGGUAACUAAGACCAAUAACGUUCAACACAUGGUCUUUUCAAUUUCUACAUGCACAUAAAUCAUUGAGGGUGGGGUAAUUAAAAAUGAAAGAGAUGGUGGUUUGCACCUUCUCAAUGCAUUUUUUACUUCACUUCAUAAUCGUCCUAAAAUUUCUAUAUAUAUACACUUAUUCUUGAGUUAUUUACCCAAAACCAUCACAAUUGGGGCUAGGAUAACAACUUAGUACCACAUUGAAGGCAGGGCACAAAAAAACACCGAAAAUGCGCCUAAUUCGUAACAUGGAGCACUGAUGCUCAAAUUUGGUCGCGAAAACGAUAGGUAGGGCCCGCCUGUGGGGUUGAUGUGCCAAAGACAAAGCAGAAAAAAAAAACUUUGGCCAACUGAAGUGGCAAAUGAGACGCGGAUCCCGCCUGUCUGUGACUACAUGAUCUUCAUCCCAUUUCUUUUUCUAUGUGACAUUACAUCGAGCAGCUUGUGGGCGGUAGGACUCCGGCGACUAUGCCCACACCGGCGAGCACCAUGGUGGUGGUGGCGGGGGGGCUUUUAGCCCGAUGCUGCUCCUGUCGGUGUGGACGCCGCUCUUUGUGCCCGUGCGCCCUGAGAGCUCCAUGGCCACCAUGGCCAUGGCCGAGCAGCUGCUCGACCUAGCCUCAGGCCACCUUGUCUACGCGCGACCCACACCACGAGCACGCACGCACCUACAUGCGCCCAGCAACACUCCUGCAAGAUCCGGCAGCAGCUCGUCCCGCGCUGACCUUAGUAGUCAGCCAUGGCUGACCUUGGCCGCAAAGACGCACCUCACACGUGGCCCUACCCGCGCGCGCUCGCGUGGCCCCGCCUCACCACCGGCCACCAUUGUUGCCCACGCCCGCGAGCGCACUGUGCUUCUCGUGCGCCUCCCCGUGGCCACGCGCGAGGUCCAGUGGCCGCACUCUGAGCUCUGGCGAGAUCCCGCACUGGCUGUGUCCGCGUCCACCUUUGACGGGCGACCACUUGCAGGAUGCGGCCCUCGCACACAACAUGGUCUCUCAGUGUGACGGCCUGGUCAGGCGUUGCCGUUGUGCAGUGGUUGCGCCGGUGAUGUCCAUGUCCAGUGCUCACAACCUGUUCAGCUAAAUGCCCAGAAAGAAAAGGAGGAAGAAAUAAAAAGAAAAGGUGAAAAAAUAAUAAACACUUGAGUCAUUGACAAGUGGGACCCUCGUCCAACUCAGCAUAUUGUCCACACAAGCAUGCCACCUCGUCUUGACAGGAGGGCCCCACCUGUCGGUUUUGCUGUUUUCGCGACCAAAUUCGAGCGUCAGUUCUCUGCGUUACGCAUAGGCGCAUUUCCGAUGGUUUGUUGUGCCCUGCCUUCAAUGUGGUAUUAAGUUGUUACCCUAGCCUCAAAUGUGGUGGUUUUGGGUAAAUAACUCCUUAUUCGUGGAUGAAGGGAGUAUAUGACUAUGAUCAUACAUGACAUAAUUGUUGGGGAACGUAGUAAUUUCAAAAAAAAUUCUACGCACACGCAAGAUCAUGGUGAUGGCAUAGCAACGAGAGGGGAGAGUGAUGUCCACGUACCCUCGUAGACCGUAAGCGGAAGCGUUAUGACAACGCGGCUGAUGUAGUCAUACGUCUUCACGAUCUGACCAAUCCAAGCACCGAACGUACGGCACCUCCGAGUUCAGCACACGUUCAGCUCGAUGACGAUCCCCGGGCUCCGAUCCAGCAAAGCUUCGGGGAUGAGUUCCGUCAGCACGACGGCGUGGUGACGAUGAUGAUGUUCUACCGGCGCAGGGCUUCGCCUAAACUCCGCGACGAUAUGACCGAGGUAGAAUAUGGUGGAGGGGGCACCGCACACGCUAAGGAACAAUCCGUAGAUCAACUUGUGUGUCCUAGGGUGCCCCCCUGCCCCCGUAUAUAAAGGAACAAGGGGGGAGGCCGGCCGGCCCUAGAGGGCGCGCCAGGAGGAGGAGGAGGAGUCCUAGUAGGAGUAGGACUCCCCCUUUCCUACUCCUACUAGGAGGGGGAAAGGAAGGGGGAGAGGGAGAGGGAAAGAGGGGGGCGCCGCCCCCCCCCCUCCUAGUCCAAUUCGGACCAGAGGGGAGGGGGCGCGCGGCCCAUGCUGGCUGCCCCUCUCUCUCUCUCCACUAAGGCCCAUAGGGCCCAUUACUUCUCCCGGGUGGUUCCGGUAACCCUCCGGCACUCCGGUUUUCUCUGAAAACGUCCGGAACACUUCCGAUGUCCGAAUAUAGUCGUCCAAUAUAUCAAUCUUUAUGUCUCGACCAUUUCGAGACUCCUCGUCAUGUCCGUGAUCACAUCCGGGACUUCGAACAAUCUUCGGUACAUCAAAACUUAUAAACUCAUAAUAAAACUGUCAUCGUAACGUUAAGCGUGCGGACCCUACGGGUUCGAGAACUAUGUAGACAUGACCUAGAACUAUUCUCGGUCAAUAACCAAUAGCGGAACCUGGAUGCCCAUAUUGGUUCCUACAUAUUCUACGAAGAUCUUUAUCGGUCAAACCGCAUAACAACAUACGUUGUUCCCUUUGUCAUCGGUAUGUUACUUGCCCGAGAUUCGAUCGUCGGUAUCCAAUACCUAGUUCAAUCUCGUUACCUGCAAGUCUCUUUACUCGUUACGUAAUGCAUCAUUCUGUAACUAACUCAUUAGCUACAUUGCUUGCAAGGCUUAUAGUGAUGUGCAUUACUGAGAGGGCCCAGAGAUACCUCUCCGACAAUCGGAGUGACAAAACCUAAUCUCGAAAUACGCCAACUCAACAUGUACCUUUGGAGACACCUGUAGUACUCCUUUAUAGUCACCCAGUUACGUUGUGACGUUUGGUAGCACCCAAAGUGUUCCUCCGGUAAACGGGAGUUGCAUAAUCUCAUAGUUAUAGGAACAUGUAUAAGUCAUGAAGAAAGCAAUAGCAAUAUACUAAACGAUCAAGUGCUAGGCUAAUGGAAUGGGUCAUGUCAAUCACAUCAUUCUUCUAAUGAUGUGAUCCCAUUAAUCAAAUGACAACACAUGUCUAUGGCUAGGAAACAUAACCAUCUUUGAUUAAUGAGCUAGUCAAGUAGAGGCAUACUAGUGACUAUAUGUUUGUCUAUGUAUUCACACAUGUAUCAUGUUUCCGGUUAAUACAAUUCUAGCAUGAAUAAUAAACAUUUAUCAUGAUAUGAUGAAAUAAAUAAUAACUUUAUUAUUGCCUCUAGGGCAUAUUUCCUUCAAUAAUUGCAUAUAUGCAUCAUGUUUGUCAGACGGGACAUCCCUACGUAGGGUAUCCCGGGUUAGUGAUUAGGUCGGAGGGGAAACAAGGAGACAAGUGUACCUAGGUUUGGGUUCUCCCUGCCAUGUGUAUAUUGUGAUUAGGUGUAAAAAGUACAACUAAUACCGAAGGAUUGUAAGAUCUAAGUUGUGUUCUAUCGACUAGCCCAGCUUCCGCCUAUGUAAGAUACCCCCCCCCUAGAUUUACAAGGAGUCCUAGUCAGCUACAUCGGUGGAGAGGAGUCCUCCACGGAUCUGGCUUCCUUGCCUUGAACGACAAGGCUUCUCGAAUCUUCCUUCUACAGGGCCCAUGGGCUGGCAUGAUGGCCUAGGACGGAAACUGACCUAGGGUCAUCAAGCCAGCCUACUUGGGCCGGCAAUCAGCAAGGUAAGGCACCCUGGGCCGUAGCACCAGCAACGUCCGUACAUUUAUAGACCAUUAAUUAAACAACAUCUAUAGCUAAUAUUCCACACCAAGGCGGUUAUCGAGCGUGCAUCUCAAAGGAACACGGAUCCUCUGACGUAGCCAACCCUGACUUUCACUGCCUUUUGGUCGCUGACAGGUGGGCCCCACGCUUGGUGGGACCCAUGUAUCAGUCUCUCAAUGGCAGGACAACCCAUGUCAGGGAUCCUCGUCCAUCUCAAAGUAUUAAGUAAAACAGAGUAUUUGCAUUAAGCAUGAUGACAUUAUGUAGAUAAUAUAUUGUCCUCACCAUGCGUUUAAGGGGCAACUACGCAACUAUCUUUCUUAUCUUUAGUGCGAAUAACACAAUACAAGUCUUUUUCUCUUUCUGUCACUUGAGCAGAUUACUUGCAAGAUUGAACCCAACUAACAUACUUAACUCCCUCUUAGAGAUCAUUCAUCUAAAUAUUGUUGAUGCAAGACUAAUAGAUCAGAGAGCAUAUAUGCAUAUAAAUUAUGCAUCAAAGAACUCAUAUGAAUCCAUGAAUAAAAAUAUAUAAAUUUGAUCAUAAAGUGAUAAUUCAUCACAUAUUCACACCACAACAAAUACACCAUAAAGAUUACAUCAGAUGGAUCACAAUCAUGUAGGGCAACUCAUGUGAUCAUUGUAUUGAAGAACAACUAGGGGCGUCGAGAAGGUGGUUGAGAAGGUGCAUGUGGGGCCAAUGUGACCUUUGCUCACGUCCCAUAACCCCGUGCCAGAAGCUAGGAAAGGCGGUCGAGGGGAUUGUUAGGAAAUUAGGCAGUUCCCUUUAACAUUAAUCAAGAUCAGCAUCAUCACAAGAUUACUAACAUGGCAAACCGCAUAUGACAGACUAGUAACAUCUGGCAUAUGCGCAUAUGGACCAAUGGUGUCAAUAGAUAUAGGUUUAGAACAUAAGAGUUCACAGGGAACUCCAGUGCUACAACGUCUUCAAACAUGGUGGUGAAGACGAGGUGGUCAUCCGUCGUAGAGGAAGUAGUGUGUAUGGAUCAAGGACCCACCAAAAUGUACAUGACUCAAGCAUGGUGAAAACGAGAAAAGAAGCUAGCUUUUUAGGUUAAACUUGAGUUACAGGGAUCCCACACUAUUAAGAGAAGAUCAAAGGGGUUCGUGAAAGAUUUGCUCAAGUCGACAUUUUCACUACAUAUUCACUUCUCAUAUGCAUCCCAAAAAUCUUAGCCAAAACACCCAACCAAAAAAUGGCCAUCCUCAUAUGAUAGACUAGUAAAAUCUUAGCCAGUAAAGUUUUUCAAGCAUGGUUUAGUAGGACGUGGAGGCUCUACACCCAGGAGCAAAUGCUCAUAACAGUAAAAUCAAAAAAAUUCAGAAAAAUAUGAUUUUUUUUUUGGCAUACUUUCACAAAUGUUUGUCGUGAAUGCAAAAUUUCAUCGUAAAAUCACAUUGGUGGAAGGCGUAGUAAAAAACAAAAUCGAUGCUCUGAAAAUGUUACUUACAAAAGCAUUUUGGAGCUCCAAUUUUGUUUUUUUUGUACAACUUCCACCAAUGUGAUUUCGCGAUGAAAUUUUGCGUGCACGACAAACAUUUGCGGAAGUAUGUCACAAAAGAAAUUCAAUUUUUAUUUAUUUUCUUUUAUUUUACUGUUCACACCCGGAACAUUUGCUCCUGGGUGUAGAAAGGCACUUUCGGGUUUAGUACAGUUUUAAAGCAUAACUUUUGUCAAAAAAAAAGUUCGUCCAAAUAUAUCAAUAUGAAAUCUAGUUACUGAAUAUCUCAACGCGAGUAGCGCAACAGUGAAACCAUACGUGAUUUGGACGCGUUAUUCGAGAGAUAACUAAUUUUUCUAAAUCAAAUAUAUGAAGAAAAAAAAGCAAAAAUAAACUCGCGCAUCUCUUCUGCACAUGGGGAAAAAUCCCAUCAAAACUCUACUCCAUCUGUCCCAUAAUAUAAGAGCGUUUCUGACGGUACAUAGUAUAAGAGCGCUUCUGACACUAGCAUAGUGUCAAAAAUACUUUUAUAUUAUGAGACGGAGGGAGUAAUUACGACAAAUGACCCAACGCGGUGGGCCACUUGUCACCACCACAGGAGUUGGAGUAACCUUUGCGAUGGGCAAGUGAUUUUGCUUUCUAACGUGCAUGCCCUGACAUGUUUGGUGCGAUGGGAUCUAUGGGCAUGCAUUCCCACUAGCUAUGACUUGACCGGUUGCUUAUUCGACAUCUAGCUUGGCUAAUACUACUGAGCAUGUGCAUUGUGUUAAGCUAGGUACUAAAAUUAACCGCUGCACUCCACAUGCAGAUGCAAUGCAGCAACCUGUCGGUAGCGCGCGGCAACCGUUCCCAUGAGGAGUGUACGUUGGUGGAAGUGCCCUCUUUGCACCAGCAUGAGAAUCUCUUCGAUGCGUCCUCCUGAUCCCGAGUUCCAGUUCCACACAUUCCAGUCAAAGUCCGGCUGGGCCUCUAUAUGCAGGUGCUGGGGCAUUGCGGUUUCCAGUACACCAACCGUUGUUCCAUCUCGCCGACAAAAAACUAGCGCAGCGCCACCGCGAAUCACAAACAAUGGCACCCAAUUUCUCUUGCCGUUUCCUGGCUCGGUUGCUUCUCACCGUCCUCAUCACACUCUUUCUUCUCAGGGCCGACCUUGUCGGCGCCGCUCGUCAUCAACGUCCUUGCAAGAGUAAGUACAGAAACGAUACGAUUCCUACACUCUUACCUAAGUAUCGGCAGCUUUUUCUUCCGUCUAUAGUAAGAGUAUAUGGUUAUAUCACAUUCAGUUACCGCUGUAUCACGCUCUUCUCUCACAUCAUUCAUAGGCCGCCUUCGAUUUGAAAGAGUUCCGUAGGAUAGGUUUUUUUUAUAGAAAAAGAUCCUUUAAAAUCAUUCGGGAUGUUUGUAGGAAUAUAAUUCUAUUCAUAUACGGAGGAAAUCUUCAUAUCCUCCACAUUUCAUAGAAAAAUAAAUAUUAGCCUAGACUCGAUAGAAAAUAUCAUAUGAUGUGAACCCGAGGAGAUCUCUUUUACUAUCUCGGCAUAGAAUUUGAGAUACACGACAUCUCAUUUCCUACAAGUUUUCUAUUCCUACGAUAUUUCGGCCUGAUAUACGUUUUGAACAUUGUCACAGUGCAUAACCCGAACGGCUGCCCGCCAAUCCCCAAUCCAGGUCACCGAGGAUAGCCGCAGUCGGCAGAGCACAUGAGAUCCCGAAAGCAUCUGCGACGGCCCUUGGAUGAGCUGGAUGGUGUUUUAGGCUACGUGCCCAUAGCUGGUUUUCUGCCUACAAGUGGGAUUUUUCCGUUAAUUUAUUAUAUACCACUAUUAGGUGGGAAACCAGGCAUGCCCCACUUUUGUAUUGAGAAAAGACAUGUGUAUCAUUUGUUUGCGCAAUAAUCCUGCAUUCACUCCUAAAUUUCACAUCUCAAAUUGUAUCAGUUGUAUCAGAGUUCAUUAGACAAAACACACCCUUUUUCUUCACGUGUAGACAAAACAUACCCCUUGAUUGGGCCUUAAAUGGCAGCCAUGUUCGUUUGGAACGCGUGAGUGCAAAACACAGAAAUUGAAAAUGGCCUUUGCACCAACUAAACAUAAAUACAUAUCACAAAAGUUAAGUACCGGAUGCAAUCAAAAGAACGAGAAACAUGGCCUAUAAAUGAUGUUCUGGGUAGAAUAGACCUAACAACAGCUAAUCCCGCCUUCCACUCAGACACUCGGUUACUGGUCCGGUUACACCAUCGUAAUUAUCGUCUGAGCAAGCGCCUCAAGUAAAGAUAGACAUGAAUGCAGAAAGUGUAAUCCAAGUCAAGCACCAGAGAUGCAGGAGGGUGAUUCAUCAUGUUCAAAUAAACAAACUUAAAGAUGAGAGUUGCUACCACCAAUUGCAAAGUGACGGUGAUUUUGUAAGAAAAAAAAUGCAAGGGUGCAAAAAAGCAAAAGAAUUACAGACAACGACCAUUAGGUACAUUUGCUUCCUGGGCCCAGUGGAGUUGUACUUCACACAAUAUGGGUGUCCAGGGCAACUCGCAUACCCUGAUGGUUGAAAUUCGUAUACAGCAAAUUUAGGUGGAAGACAUGUUGAGGCUUGGAGCAGCUUUAGAAGAUUUUUGCAAUACUCAAACGACUUAAUCUGAUAUCCCUAGGGAAAGCUGCUCCCUCCAAAAACUUGUUGCAUGAUCUAUGACUCAGCUAUCUUAUCUUUGAAGGGCCUUACAGCUUGCUCAGGGUAAGUGACUCAUCAGGUUUGAAGCAUUCAUUAUAUACCACUAUGAGCAGACAUCAGUUGUUCUAUAUGGUAGCAUGGACGCGGAAGCCAAUUUCGUAACCAGAUCCAUCUCCAUAAGAUGGCGUCAACACCCUGUUUUGACCAUCACGUAAAAUCUCCUUUCCCCUUUUUACCAGUAAAAACUAACGCGAUAGCUUUUUGGUUAACCUGUCAUAUUCUACGCUACAUCAUUCCUACAGUUUAGAUUUCUCACCGACUCUCAGUCUAUCUUGUGCUGAUGAUGGGCUUGACUUGCAUUCAUUACAAUGCUCGCGGAUUAGAGUACUAAUCAAGCAGCAGGACAUCACGUAGGAAAACAGGGAGAGCAAGAAGUGGGACACAACUUAAGCUUCUCAAGGACAUUAUUCAGGCUUUCAGCUUAAUAUAAAGACAAGAAGGGUUUUCUCCCUACGUAACACAAAUCCUACCAUACAAAGGGCUGACGGCACUACUUAGUAGUAAAGAUAGUUGCCUAGACAUAAAUCUGAAUAUCUGAUGACUCAUAUGACAGCUCAAAUAUGUUGAUUUAUUUUUUUAUCGCAUAAACCAGAAUGUGAAAAGAACUUGACAUGUUGUAACUUGUAACACCUAUCAAAACUGUUCUUUUUUUACACCUAAACUGUCGAGUUUAACAUCUUUAAACUAGACAUGAUCAUAGAAUGCACGCAGCGAACAUGGUAGGGAACAUGCUAGUCAACAAAAUAAAACACAUAAUGUCUGCAAAAUCUAGAUCAACAUUAUGUAUGAAGGGCAAUUCAGGUACAUUAAACUUACAAGACAAGUGGAAGUGUUGACUUCCUCAAAUAAUCUAGAAUACCUCUUAUAAGUUUAUCUUGGAACAAGAUGCACCCAUUCCCAGUGUCUAGUCACUGCUCCAUGUAAUAUGCAAGGAUGCAAUUUCCCGGCAGCUGUCAACUAUGAUCGCAUCAGGUUGAAGCUUUCAAGUAGUAUCCACCAACAAAACUGCUGUCAGAACUCAG